CUCAACUUGGUCCAUAAAAUGAGGAUGUGGAUAUUGUUCUUCACUAUUAACAAAAGUAAGAGUAACAAAUCGUAUGACUUUGUAGUCAUCAGUUUUAGAAUCAAACCCAAAAGAAGCGUGGUCAAAAGAAACGUCAUCUAAAGUAAGGUAGGUUUCUUCGAAUGGUGAAAAAUAUGGAGGGCGUUGGAUUGAAGAUGGUGGAAGGAUUUUAAACUCUCUGGUUGAUGGGUUCCAAAUGGCAGCCUUAUCCUUUGAAGGAUCAAGUAAACACAACAAUCCAUGACAAGCACCAUAAACAGCCUUGUCCAACCCCAUCGUCGCCUUCCCUCUCACUUCUCACUGUCCCAACCCCCACCACUGCUCACUUCCCUCUCACUCCUCACCGUUUAUCUCAUUGGCAUCUCUUCUAACAUUUGUGGUGAGAUCAACAGUGAAGAGUGAGAGGGAAGGCAGCGACGACAGGGGUUGGAUACAAUGGCAACAGUAGCUAGAGGGGAAAAUAGAAAGAGGAGAAGAAAUAAAUUGAAAUAAAAUGAAAAAAAAAUAUGUUAAACAAUUUUGUUUAUAGAAGACUUCAUCUAUGAACUCGUGCUUAUGUGGCACGCCACAUAGGCUACUUUGUUGACCUGUGGUUUGACCGACGAUCAACUCACAUUUUUCGUUAAAAUUGGGUUGAUUUAUUAAAAAAUCAUACCAUUAAGGGUGUCAAUCAAAAAAAAAAAAGGUUAAUGGCUCAAACCCAAAAACUCAAAAAAAUUGAAGGUUUUUUUCAAAAAUUAUGCCAAAUUCUUUGUUAAAUUUUUUGGUUUGAUAUUCUUUGUUAAAUUUGUUAGUUUGAUAUUCUUUCAAAAGUACAUUAUAAUGCUUUUUUUUUUUUUUUUGUUAACCCAAGCCCAAACUUUUGAAAGCAAAUACUAUUUUGAGAGGGAAAAGAUUUGAUUUUUUUUUUGUUCAAUUGCUUGAAUCUGGUUGGAUAGUUUCUAUUUUCAUUUUAUUAACCAUUUAAAGAAAGAUAUUGAAUGUUAUGGGAUUAGGUUUAGGUUAUUUUAAAUCUAUAUUCGAAUUAGUGUUAUUUUAAAAUCGAAUCAUUUUGAGUUUAAAUCAUUCAAAUUUGUUAAUCGAAUUUUAAAGAUAAAAGAACAUAUUAAAAAUAUGUAAUAUUAAUUGGAUUAUUUUAAACCAUGACCUAAAUACUUGAGUCUCAAAGUAAGCCCUAGCUCAAUAAAACACAUAUGAUAGUUUAGAGUACCGUAAUAAAAUACAUAUUGAUAAUCAAGAUAUUACAUUAACAUUUGUAAACAUAUAUGAGACAAUUGUGGCAAAGCUAGCUAUGGAAAUUCUAUGGUAUCGGAUCCACUAUUGCACCGGCCGUAAAAUAAGUUGGAACAAUUUUGAGGCCUUCCAAAGAUAUAGGAUGGCCUUGGUCUUCCAUAACAAAUAAAAAACUCCCCGAGUAGUAGAACAUUAGUUCUUUUGUGUUUACUGCAUGAAAUUUGUGGAGAUGCUCCUAUAAAUCGGAAAACUGUAUCCGCAACUUACCGGACCGUAUAGGUGGAUCCAAGUGUGAGUCCCAUAGCUAAAUCCCAAAAUUCAUUAAAACAAAUAAGAGACAAUAAAGUAUAUUAAACACAAAUAGGAAUGUGAAGGGAAAAUAAAAAUAAAUUAUUUGAUAUACCUGAAUUUAAAUUUGUCCUAAGCUGUAUGGCCGAUUGGAAGUAUGACAGAGGAUGUUGUGCAAAGUCGGAACAUGUGCCAUGUUUAAUCCAUUCCUUGAACCAAAACUCAAAGUCUGACCCUGUCAAUACCAAGUCCGGCCAUAGUGUGGGCAGUUGGUUCCAAAGAGCUAUAUCACCACUCAACAAUUGCUUUUAAAUAAGAAACAAAAAAAUUGAUUAGAUUACAGAUAAAUUACUUAAUAGUUUCAAGCAAAGAAUGUACGUAUGCGUACUUGGAGUGGUGGCCGGGUUAGAAUAGGUUGUGGAUAGGUGCAAGGCUUCCUUGCAUUGUACGGGGGCACCGGCAUGUCAUGAGCGUCUUGCGCCCAAAUUCCAUGUAUUUUGAAUUCAGUUGGGAUUGGGAGUUUACAGUUGAGAGUAGAGCUGCAAACUGAGGGAGGCCAUUGAAAUGCCAGCUUAUAGAAGUCUACCACUGGAAUUACUGGCGGCUGGGGUACUGCAAAUGCUACCCAUAAUGCAAAAUGAUACAAUGCAUUUUUACAAAUUUACAAAUCAAAAGAGAACUACUCCAUAUAUAGAUAUUACAUGUAUAGAUGGUCGGGCUGAGAUUGGAUGAUUGUGCAUUGCAAGCAGCUGGUUUAUGAUCUCCUUUAUAAGCUUGGCACACAAAUUUCACGAAAUUUUCAAAGUCCUGCAACCAUGAAAUAAAAUAUUGAAGUUACUUGUCACAAAAUGUUACUUUACAGUCACACCAAGAGGGAGAAAUAAACAAACUCACUUGUCCGAGUGGCUGAUUAUUCACCACCACCCAUGGCACAUAUUCUUGAGGUGGCUUCAGAUGUGCAGUCUCGUUAGCAUAUUGCAGCAGAAGCUGCAUUUUAUUAAUUUGGAAAUUCAAUGUUAAUUAAAUACUAUGACAUGCAGCCAACCUUAUAUCCAAAUCCAGUAGUAUAGCAUUAAUUUGUUGAUUAUCUCCUCAUUCAAUCUCAGCUUUUCACUGCAAUUUUUCCACAGUGCUUCAACUGGCCCCGUUUUAAUCUUUGUUGCUCUGUGCUGCGAAUGAAUUCCUCAGUAGAGUAAUUAAACACGAGUUGGGGACAAGUACAAAUACUUUUGGCUAACAGAGUUUACCACAUAUGACGCAUAUUGUUAUCAUCCCUAAAAAACAACUAUACACCACCUUAAAAAAUGAUUUGCCUGAAGAUUGCAAAGAUAAUAAAAUUGUUUAUUUAUUUAUAUAUGUACGAAGGUCGCAGUUUACAGGCCCUCAGAUGAAAAGGAUUUAAAUUAAUCCCAAAGUUUUAAUGUACAAAAGAAAACAUGUGCAAAAGUAUCAAAGUUAAUGCCUAAGAAGUUGAUUUCAUGCAUGGUAAAUUAUUAAGAUAUAAAAUUGGACAUUAUUUAUAUAUAUAAAAGCCUUCCAUUGAAUGCCUAAAAAGCUCUUUGGUUUUUCAUGAAGUUAGAAACUGACUUGAGAAAUUCAUGGUUCCCUUCACUAAGUACCAACCACAACAGCAUCAAAACAAUUUAGAAGAAAUGGAUUUACGUACCAUAAUGUUAAUGUAGAAUUGUUUAGCUGUUACUUUCAUGCAUGAAAGCUGAUCCAAUUUUGCUAAUAUAUUUUUUGUUAAAUUGCGCGUUAUUAUUAACCCAUUGAAAGAAGCAAAAUAUUUUUAUUGAUCAGUACUCAAAUUAAAUUUAAUUUCCUUUCGCAACAUUCUGUCGAAAUAUAAUUUGUUGUCAUCAUCAUAUUGUAAAAUGAACCAGACACUAAAUUCAAUGCAUUUAAGGAAUAUAAAGAUGCAAGACAAGAAACUAGAUAUAAUCACAAGAUUUUGGCAGUUUUCAUUAAAAUUGUAGUCUUUUGUCAAUGUUUUCCACCAUAAUUGUGCGUUAUCAAUAAAAAUAAAAAUAAAAAGCACAAAAUCAAGGCAGGGCACAUUACUUGACUAACAUGCUACCAUUGUAGUCAAUAGAAACAAUAAUGAAGAUACAGAGCACACACAUCAAGGCUAACACAAACAGGUACAUUGUUGAAAAAUUUCCACUUAUCAAUGUUAAAGCUUUGAAUUUUACUGAUAACAUAAUAUUGUGUGCUUUUUUUUAGGAUAUAUAAUGCAAAACUUUGUAAUCCCUGUUAUGCAUUUUGAGGUUAUAUACAUUUCCCCACUUUUGAAGUUUAUUCAUACAUAAUGGUAUUUUCAAACUAUGGCAGAAAUCUUAUAGUUACACUAACCAAAUAAAAACAAACAUAAACUGAACAAUUCUCCAAAUCCACAAACCAGGCAAAGGUCAACAUCUCAAACAUAUAAUUCGAACAAUAAUAGCAAUAUUAAAAAGAUCACAACAAAAAAUUCCUAUUACAUCUUACACCUUUAUGUUAUGGUUCCUAUCCUUCUUCAUAUUUAAUAUUUAUUUGAUGCAUCUCCAGCUGAUCGACGUAUUAUAUGUUCUUCAGGCUCUUGUAUUCCAUUGAUACGAACCAAGCUCUCAACAUAAACAUGAAAAAAGAGAUGGAUAGCGGAAAAUGAUCUUGAUAAGUGAUAAUCUCAAGCUCCUUAAGUACUUGAGUGGACGGGUCAACUAGUAAUAUUUCUUUAUUUGAGCUUAUAAGAAUCAAUUUACCAUUUUCCCCAAACCCCAGUGGGUGUACAAAUGGAGGAAUAGAUUUAAUACUGAAUUGUUUAGUCCGAACUCCAUCAUUCGUAACCCAUAAAUCUAAACACGUGUAAGUUUCUUUCGAUAGGUAAAAAAUAACACUGAGUGAUACAUUAAACACCUAUAGGCUUGUAAUAGCCCAUUUUUGACCGGGCCAAAUAUAAAAAAAAAAGUUAACAAUCCCAGUCUAUUUACAACAAAUCAGACAGGCCCAAAGCCCUAACGGCCCAAUAUGGCCUAAAAACUAAACGAAAUCAGAAAACCCUAGGGUUCCCUCCCCUCUCGCGCCGCAGCUUCUUCCAUGUACGCCUUUGGUGUGCAUGACGCCCGAUGACGACUCCUUCACCGAAGUUGCACCGAAAUGGCAAUGGUUUCUACCCGUUGACUCCUCAUGACCUGUAAAAUAGACGAAAACAGUAGCCAAUAGACAGAAACAGAGACAGUAAAAGAAAAAGCAGUAUAAUCGGCUAUAAAGCCCGAACGAAAAUGUAAUCUUGUUACAGGCGGAUAGUUGAAUGAAAAAAGAGAACAAAAUAUCAAUCAAAAGAUCCCGAAGGUUUACUUCUACCAUUAGUUUAAUUUUUAUUUUAUUCUACUUUUUUUUUAGUUUUUACAUACGAAAAUAAAGCAAAAGGAAAAAAAGGGAAUAAUAAAACUAACCUGUAUUCGGGUUUUUAACGCUGUGGACGGCCGAGGGAGUCACCUCCAAGGAUAGGUGGCUGGAAACUGAAAAGUUUCUCGAGCUUUUGGGGUGUUUUUGUUAACAUUUUUGGAUUUUUGAACCCAAAUUCGGAUUUAGGAGAGUCUAAAGGAUAGGGCUAGGGUUUUUACCCCUUUUCAACAACCGCGGACGUCGUUCUGCCGAAGACCCGCGCAUGCAACCCGACUCGCCAGAGGAUCCGCGCGUUUUUAACUUUUGGGCUAUUUGCGUUUCAGGCCGUUUUGCAUUUUUUGUAUGUUUCAAUUUGGUCCUUUGCAUUUUUUCUUUAUAUUUUCAUUUGGACAGCAGAUUUGUCUCGGUUUUUAGUUUGGUCCUCGAUUCGUUGGACCCUUGGGGAGGAGAUGCAUGGCCUAAAAGCGGGUUUAUUAGUCAUUUGGCCCUCGCCCUUUCGUGCCCUCUUCAUUCUGGUCCCUCUUUGUUUAUUUUAUUAUAGCUUUGAUCCUUAAAUUUCAUUUUUAUCCUGAUUUAGUCCAUUUUUGUUAUUUUUUAUUUUCUUAUUAAUUAAUAUAGUAUUAUCAUACUUAUAUUUUUUAUAUUUAUUUAUGAAUUAUUAUUAUAUCAUUAUAUUAUACUAUUAGCAUUGUAUCAUUAUUAUUUAAAUAAGUUUAUCUUAUUAUUGAUUAUUAUUAUUUGCUUAUACAUAUCCUUUUAUUUCAAACUUUAUCAUAUAUAUACACAUACAUAUAUAUCUUUUAUAUUUUAUAGUUUUUUAAAAUAAGUAUACACAUACAUACAUUUCUUAUAGUAUAUAUAUAUACAUACAUAUUUUAUAAUUUAUAUAUUUAUACAUUNNNNNNNNNNNNNNNNNNNNNNNNNNNNNNNNNNNNNNNNNNNNNNNNNNNNNNNNNNNNNNNNNNNNNNNNNNNNNNNNNNAUGUAUAUAUACAUACAUAUGUUUUUUCAUAUAUUUUAAAAUAUACAUACACACAUUUUUAUAAUAUACAUACGCACAUAUAUUUUAUGUUUUAUAUAUUUAUACAUACAUAUGCAUUUUAUAUUCUAUAACUUUAAAAUAUAUAUACAUACAUAUAUUCUCUUUUAUAUAUACUUUAUAAUCUUAAAAUAUACGUAUACUUAUAUACAUUUUAUAAUACAUAUAUGUACGUAUAUUUUAUAAUUUAUAUAUACAUAUAUAUUUGUUACAUUAUAUAAUUUUAAAAUAUGUAUAUAUAUACACACAUUUUUUUUAUUUUUUUAUAGUUUUAUUUAUUUUAUUUAUUGUAUUUUUUGUUUUACUCGAUGUUUAUUUGUUUAUUUGCAUAUAUGUUCAUUAUUAUUUUAAAAGAAUGUCCUAAUUAUUCAUUUAUUUACUUGUUAUGGUAUAAUUGAUUUGCAUUUUCUAUUAUUUGCAUCAUCGUAUUCAUUAUUGUGUUGUUAUACACAUUAAUACUGUGUUUUAUUUCUACAAUUUCGAGUUAGAUUAAUUUAUCUCGAUGCAUAGAUUUUGACUUUCGAAUAAGCAAAAUUUCGUGUUUAGAUUCGAGAAGGUCGUACCCUAACUUAUGGGGUUUCGAUUUUCGCAAUAAAUCUAAAUACACGAAUCAUUUCAAACUAAAGUUUUCUUUUUUUUAUGAUCUUGAGAAUUAACAAAAGGUCGUGUCCUAACUUACAGGACACGAUCCUUUUUUAAACUCGAGAUAGUUGAAUAUAUUUUCAAAUAGGUAAAUUUUCCUGCGUUUAUUCUCGUAUCGGGAAUUUAAGAUAUUGUGUCAUAACUUACGGGAUAUAAUUUUCUUCCUCGAUUAACGUGAAAUAUGCCUUAUUCUCAAAAUUUUUAGCAUUUCAAUAAAGGAUCGUAUUUUAAAUCUCUUUAAAGUUUUCAAUUUUCGAGACUAAGACAUUAAUCAAUCAACUAGGUACCAAUUUUGGGCGUUACGAGGGUGCUAAUCCUUCCUCAUACGUAACCAACUCCCGAACUCGUUUUUCUGAAUUUCAUGGACUAAAAUCUUUGUUUUAAUAAAAUCAAAUUGUUUAUUAAAAACCACUUUUCAAGGUGGCCCGAUCACACAUUAUCAAAAAGGAUUGGUGGUGACUCCCAUAUUCGUUUUCAUUUUUAAAAUCCAAGUCGAUCGCGUUUUCAAAAAAAAUGUUCGAUAUCAUUCCUCAGGUCAAAUGAAAGAAUUAUUUCUCUAAAACCAUAAUAUUCCCCCAUUAUUGUUUGCCAAUAGCAAAUUCCAUCUAUGUAAUUAUUUCCCAAAAUUAUAUUAGUUGGUUUAUAAUUAAGAAAUGGAAUUUCCUUCCAGGAAUCACUUCUAAGUGAAUACAACUCAACUUGGAGAACAUUUGGGAACUCAAAAUCACAAUAUAUUUCUCCUACCUCACAAAUAUCAAAAGUAAGAGUAACAAAUUGUACGACUUUGUAGUCAUCAGUUUACAAUCAAACCCAAAAGCAAUGUGGUGAAAAGAAACGUCAUUUAAAAUGCGAUAACCUUUGAUGCAGGGAAGAUAUGAAGCGCGUUGGACUGAAGAUGGUGGAAGGAUUUUAAACUCUCUGGUUGAUGGGUUCCAAAUGGAAACCUUAUCCGUUGAAGAAUCAUGUAAACACAAUAAUCCAUGAGAAGCACCACAAACAGAGACUUCUUUCUUAAAAAGGGGCAGGUAAACGUCUUGUUUUACUAAAAAAUUAUUUUAUUCGGUUGAAAGUUGGAAGAUGUCACUAUCAUACCGCUUGAGAAGUAGAUUAAGGUUGGUGUUUUUAAGGUUGUUGUGGUGAUGUUUGGAAAUGAAAUGAGGAGUUUGAAAAAGAAGAACACCAAUACUUACAAACACAGUUGAAGUAAGGGAUUUAACUGGAAGCUUUGACAGAAUUUCCAUCUCAAAAGCUUUGGCAAUUCAAAUUGUAAAACCCAAAUUCUGCCCGGGCCCAUUAAAACCAAAUUAUAAUAAACCAAAUAUAAAAGCCCAUCUACACAACCCAAAAAAUCAAACCCAUUACAUCAAACCCAAUCCCCGGCCCAAAUAUCCAUUAACCCAAAUAGCCCAAUUACAUUAAAGCCCAAAAAAAUAGUUUUCAGAAACCCCUAGGGUUUCUGGAACAAUCCAAGCGCCGCUCCUGCCCUCCGCAGACACCAGCCUCUCGCCUCGGCCGCACGUACGCCUCCACCUCCAGGCUGGUUGUGUACUUGCAAAAAUUCAAACAACCAACAAAAGAAAGCACUAGAAAGCCGUGAUUAAAUACUAAAAUUACAUAUUUUAUGUAAUUAAUUUGGUAUAUUUAUGAGAAUGCACCACUAAUUUUGCCAUAUUUAUUGAAUUUUGUGCAGGAAUGUAAUUUGGGGCUAAAUAGAAGAAAAAGGAAACAAUUGGGCUGAAUUGAAGAAAGAAGCGAAAAAGGAGGGCCAAAGAUUAAUUAGCUGAAAUUUUUGAGUUAGUGGGAGAAUAUUUUGGGAUUUAUUUUAUUUUGGGAUAUUUUUUUCCUUAAUUUCCUAUGACUAGUUGGCUCCUAAUUUAGUAAAUCAACUAGUAUAAAUAGAGCUUGUAUUGCUCAUCAUUUCAUCAAUCAAAAAAUAAUUUAGCUUUUGUCUUUCAAUUCUCUCAUUUCUCACGUAGCCUUUGUUAUUUCUUAGCUUGUUUUCCUUCAAUUUUCAUUAGUUCCAGUAGCCUACCAUCCAUUUCACCUUUAUUUUCAACUUUUCACAAAUUUAUUUAUUGUCUUUAGUUUCUUUAACUUUUAAUUCCUAAAAACUUCCAGCUUUUACUACUUUCCAUUUACAAUACCUUUUUCAAAUUCCCUUUUUCAACCACCCCCACACUUAAUCACAUCACCCAUCUUUUCACCUCUUCUACCUUAUUUAAUUUAUCAAAUACCAACAUGUCCCAAACCUUAGCCAACUAAACCCAUUUUCAGCUUUAGGCCGAAAUUAGCCUCGUCAAAACCCGUGAGUUACGAACCCGAGCCAUUUAACUCCUAAAAUUCCAGUACUUAUUACUUCUCCGGAUUAAGAGUAUGAUUUUGUCAGCUCAUAAAUUCAGAUCAACACUAAGUCAAAAAAGACGUCGUUUGAUUUGGUGUGAUUAGACGUACAGUUGGAAUUUCGAAAAGAACGUUUCUAAUCGGUUUUCUGUGAACACAUUAGCGUGCCAAGUGGAGGCUGCUAUUUGGUUCCGUCAAGGGAAGUAGUAACCGGAUUUAAAUGUCCCACGCGGUUGAGGGCAUUGGUUCGAGCUAGGCUCUUCUAGAACGCAAAGCUGCCGGAGUUCUAAAUCACGAACGUUUCGUGGUUGUUCGAUCGGUAAGAAUUAUUUAUUAGACGUUCCAUAACUAAUUUACACAAGGAAGAGUUGGUGUCCGAGGCGUCCUUGGUAGCUAUAACUAGCUUAUUGGAAAAUAGCAGUUCAUCCAAUUUCGAGGAUCGGUUCAAAGACGAGGAAAAUUCGCGCCUAAAGCUGAGCUCAUUCUAAUUAAUUUUUCUUAAUAUUUAUUUCACAGUUAUUAUUAUUCUGUUUUCAACUUUUACUUUUGACAUUAUUUUUCUGUUAAUUUCAGGUUUUCAAAUUUUUAUCCCCCCAAACGUCUUGGGCACGACAGCUGCCCCGACAUAAAUCUGGUCAAACGAGCAACAAUUUACAGUAAACCAGUCUCUGAGGGAUCGACCCUACUCUCUAUACUGCAUAAUUUGCAACUUAAGGCGUAGGUUUAUAUUGGUGGAUUCGACACCCAUCAGUUUUGGCGCCGUUGCCGGGGACUAGCAACACUUACAAAUUGCUUAAAUUAUCUUCAUGACCAGAUCUUCAUCCGGAGAUCUCAGAGAUCGAAAAAUCAGCACGAGCACGACGUAAAGAGACGGAAGUUCUUAAGCGUGUAGCAGUAAUUGAACGUGGAAAACAAGUCGAAGUGGUUGAUCCUGAGACCGAACCACCUCCUACAACAAAAGAAGUAGAAGACAACCUCGGUGAACCAGAAAGGAUGGCACACCGAACCAUUCGUCAACUAGCUGCUGCUUCCAACGACCAAACACCGUUAUGCAUCAACUAUCCAAUCGGAAAAACCCCAUUCGAGUUGAAGUCAGGCCUGAUCCACCUUUUGCCCACUUUUCGAGGCUUGAAGAACGAAAAUCCACAUACCCACUUGAGAGAAUUCCACAUGGUCUGCUCAAGCAUGAAACCACAGGGAGUAACCAAAGAUGAAAUUAAACUUCGGGCAUUUCCUUUUUCUUUAGUUGAUACAGCAAAAGAAUGGUUAUUUUACUUACCUCCAGGUUCUAUUACAACGUGGGAUGACUUAUCUCGUGUUUUUCUUGACAGGUUUUUCCCAGCAUCGCGAGCAGCUGAACUUAGGAGAGACAUAGUGGGAAUUCGACAAAUGGAGAGCGAAUCGCUCUACGACUAUUGGGAGCGAUACAAAAAACUGUGUGCAAGUUGUCCUCAACACGGUUUGACCGAACAAUCACUUCUUCAAUAUUUCUACGAGGGUUUGCUCCCUAUGGAAAUGAAAAUGAUUGACGCUACUAGUGGAGGGGCGCUUGUCAAUAUGACUCCUCAAAGGGCAAGAGAACUGAUAUCCACUANNNNNNNNNNNNNNNNNNNNNNNNNNNNNNNNNNNNNNNNNNNNNNNNNNNNNNNNNNNNNNNNNNNNNNNNNNNNNNNNNNNNNNNNNNNNNNNNNNNNNNNNNNNNNNNNNNNNNNNNNNNNNNNNNNNNNNNNNNNNNNNNNNNNNNNNNNNNNNNNNNNNNNNNNNNNNNNNNNNNNNNNNNNNNNNNNNNNNNNNNNNNNNNNNNNNNNNNNNNNNNNNNNNNNNNNNNNNNNNNNNNNNNNNNNNNNNNNNNNNNNNNNNNNNNNNNNNNNNNNNNNNNNNNNNNNNNNGUGGAAGGAUCAUCCCAACUUUAAUUACGGAGCUAACCCCCGAUAUAAUCCGUCAUACCAACCGAGACCUUUGCAACCACCGCAACUGCCACCCAAGCCGAGCACAUCUCUAGAAGCUAUUGUGGAAAGACUUGCCGUCGAUGUUGCGAAGUACCAACAGAGGACAGACGCAUCAAUUCAGGAGUUAACUAAUCAAGUUAGUAAACUCUCGAUGGCGGUUAAUCGUUUGGAAUCUCAAGGUAAAUUACCUUCCCAGACAGAGCCGAAUCCUCGGCAGAAUGCAAGUGCAAUAACUCUUCGUAGCGGAAAAGUUCUGGAAACAGUUCCAGACAAAAGUCAUGGGCAAGAAAACAAAUGGGAAAAACAGAUCUCUGAUCCAAAAGCCAGACCGGAGUCAGAAAUUCAAAAACCAGUUGUGGUGCCACCUCCUUUUCCAGGGAGACUCGCGAAGGAUAAGAAAGAAAAGGAGGAAAAAGAAAUCCUUGAAACGUUUAGGAAAGUGGAGGUGAAUAUCCCUUUGCUCGACGCUAUCAAGCAAAUCCCUCGUUAUGCAAAAUUUCUCAAGGAAUUGUGCACUAGCAAGAGGAAGUUAAUAGGUAACGAAAGAGUAAAUGUAGGAGAAAAUGUCUCCGCGGUACUACAAAAGAAAGUUCUGCCUAAAUACAAGGACCAAGGUAUGUUUUCUAUUUCCUGUGAGAUAGGUAAUGUAGGCAUUAAGAAAGCCAUGUGCGAUUUAGGGGCUUCCAUUAAUGUUAUGCCUUAUCCUAUUUAUAAGUUGAUUGACGCGGGUCCUUUGAAAAAGACAGGAGUAAUAAUCCAGUUGGCGAGCAGGUCAGUCAUCUAUCCCGAAGGGUUGCUUGAAGACGUCCUUGUUAAAGUUAACGANNNNNNNNNNNNNNNNNNNNNNNNNNNNNNNNNNNNNNNNNNNNNNNNNNNNNNNNNNNNNNNNNNNNNNNNNNNNNNNNNNNNNNNNNNNNNNNNNNNNGGAAGGCCAUUUUUAAGUACCGCAAGUGCAAAAAUUGAUGUUCAGAGUGGAACAUUGACAAUGGAGUUUGAUGGCGAAAUCAUGAAAUUCAAUGUCUACGAAGCCAUGAGUCAUCCUAACUCAUUGUCAAAUAUUUCCAGUAUCGAUAGUAUAGAUUGUUUAACUCAAAAUUAUUCUGAAUAUCAUGACUUUGAUGAAUUGGAAACUGUCUUUUACAGAAGCAUUGACAUGGAUGUAUUGAGUCGUCUCGAGGAGUUAGAAGUUAUAGAAGAUCCGUUGCGAGAAAUUGUCAAACACUUGGAGACUCAACCAUCGUCGACGAGUUGAGGUAACCAUCUUGAACUAUUACCUUCCCAAGUUAAAAUGUUGCCUUCGAUUUUGCAGCCACAACCUUGGAGCUCAAAGCGUUACCAGACCACCUCAAGUAUGUUUUUUUGGGAGAGAAAGACACCCUACCGGUAAUAGUGUCAAACAGACUAACCAAAGACGAGGAGGAAAGUCUAGUUCGAGUUCUGAAGGAAUAUAAGGAAGCUAUUGGUUGGACAAUAGCUGACAUAAAAGGGCUAAGUCCAUCCACCUGUAUGCACAGAAUUUCCAUCGAAGAUAACACGAAACCAAAGAGAGAUGCUCAGAGGCACCUUAAUCCACCCAUGACGGAGGUAGUAAAGAAGGAGAUCCAGNNNNNNNNNNNNNNNNNNNNNNNNNNNNNNNNNNNNNNNNNNNNNNNNNNNNNNNNNNNNNNNNNNNNNNNNNNNNNNNNNNNNNNNNNNNNNNNNNNNNAUGUUGGAUGCUGGAAUGAUAUACCCGAUCUGUGACAGUGAUUGGGUUAGCCCAGUUCAUGUCGUGCCCAAGAAAACUGGCGUGACAGUGGUGCAAAAUUCAUUAGGAGAGCUAGUUCCUACCCGAGUCCAGAAUGGAUGGAGGGUUUGCAUCGAUUACAGGAAGUUGAACGCAGCUACCCGAAAAGACCAUUUUCCACUUCCCUUCAUCGAUCAAAUGCUCGAGCGAUUAGCUGGUAAGACUCAUUAUUGUUGUCUCGAUGGAUAUUCAGGAUUUUUCCAAAUUCCGGUGGCGCCUGAGGAUCAAGACAAAACAACUUUUACGUGCCCCUUUGCAACAUUUGCGUAUAGACGAAUGCCGUUUGGACUCUGUAAUGCUCCGGCCACCUUCCAGAGAUGUAUGGUAAGCAUAUUCUCCGAUUACAUCGAGAAAAUCAUUGAAGUCUUCAUGGAUGACUUCACGGUGUACGGUAACUCUUUUAAUGAAUGUCUCGAUAAUCUUGCUAAGAUAUUACAAAGAUGCCUAGAAUUUAAUCUUGUUUUAAAUUAUGAAAAAUGCCAUUUCAUGGUUGACAAAGGACUAGUUUUAGGUCAUAUAGUUUCCUCAGAAGGUAUUGAGGUCGAUAAAGCAAAAACAGAUAUUAUUAACUCAUUACCUUACCCCACAUCUGUGAGGGAAAUUCGUUCGUUUCUUGGACAUGCAGGAUUUUACAGACGAUUCAUAAAAGACUUCUCGAAGAUCGCGCAACCGCUCUGCAGUCUGUUACAGAAGGAUAAAGAAUUUAAAUUUGAGCAGACUUGUAAAGAUGCAUUUGAUGUACUGAAGCAGAAAUUGGUCUCCGCCCCCAUAGUGCAACCACCGAAUUGGAACUUCCCGUUUGAAAUCAUGUGUGAUGCAAGUGAUCGAAGUGUGGGAGCUGUUCUUGGCCAAAGAAUAGGGAAAGAGCCUCAUGUUAUCUACUACACUUCGAAAACUUUGGAUGCUACCCAAAGCAAUUACACAACCACUGAGAAAGAAUUAUUAGCUGUUGUGUUUGCUUUAGAUAAAUUUAGGUCUUACCUGAUGGGAACUAAAGUGAUUAUUUUUUCUGAUCAUGCAGCUUUGAAAUAUUUGAUAGGGAAGAAGGAGGCAAAACCUCGACUAAUUAGGUGGAUUCUACUUCUGCAAGAAUUUGAUUUUGAAAUCCGGGAUAAGAAGGGAUGCGAAAACUUAGUAGCCGACCAUCUGAGUCGAUUACCGAUUCCGACAGAUGACACACCAUUGAAAGACAACUUCCCAGAUGAAAACCUGUUUUCAGCAAAUGCGGUUCAUCCUUGGUACGCAGAUAUAGUAAAUUAUCUCGUCACAGGUACUAUACCUUCAGAAUUACCAAGGUCCAGAAAAGAUAAGAUUAAAAAAGAUGCUCGAUAUUACAUUUGGGACGAUCCUUACCUAUGGAAGCAUUGCUCCGAUCAGGUAAUUCGACGGUGUGUAGCAGAAACAGAGGUACAGUCUAUCUUAACUUUUUGCCAUUCUUAUGCAUGUGGAGGACACUUUGGACCUAAACGCACCGCACAUAAAAUUCUCGAGUGUGGACUAUUUUGGCCAAGUAUAUUUCGUGACGCCUUCUUAUUUUGUAAAACCUGUGAAAAAUGCCAAAAAGUCGGUAAUCUUAGCCGUCGAAAUGAGAUGCCCCUUACUCCCAUCCAUAUUUGUAAAAUUUUCGAUGUGUGGGGCAUCGAUUUUAUGGGUCCUUUUAUUUAUUCUUUUGGAAAUUUUUAUAUACUCUUAGCUGUUGAUUACGUUUCUAAGUGGAUAGAAGCAAAGGCUACUCGUAAUGAUAAUGCUAAAACUGUGGUUGACUUUCUUAAAAGUUCUAUCUUUUCCAGGUAUGGCACCCCACGAGCAUUAAUCAGUGAUAGAGGAACCCAUUUUUGCAAUAAGCUCGUAAGUGCACUUAUGGAGAAGUACGGAGUGACUCAACGAAUUUCUACCGCCUACCAUCCACAGACAAACGGACAAGCUGAAGUGUCAAAUCGAGAAAUCAAGUCCAUCUUGGAGAAGACUGUUAAACCAAACAGAAAGGAUUGGAGCUUGAGACUAAAUGACGCACUCUGGGCUUAUAGGACAGCUUACAAGGGACCAAUCGGCAUGUCACCUUAUCGACUCAUUUUUGGUAAACCGUGCCAUCUCCCGGUCGAAUUAGAGCAUAAAGCAUUUUAGGCAGUUAAGCAGUGUAAUAUGGAAAUGGAGACCGCAGGAAGAGCUCGAAAGUUGGACAUUCAGGAACUCGAGGAAAUUAGAAACGAUGCAUAUGAAAAUGCUCGAGUUUAUAAAGAAAAGACGAAGGCGUUCCACGAUAAGAGGAUCACUAGAAAGCAGUUUUCAAUAGGACAAAAAGUUCUCCUAUACGACUCCACCUUAAAAAUUUUUACGGGUAAGCUUCGAUCCAAAUUGAUAGGUCCAUUUACUAUCACUAAUCUAUUCUCAAAUGGUGCAGUGGAAAUUCAAAGCGAAGAAACCCGAAAGUGCUUUAAGGUGAAUGGUCAACGACUGAAACCCUUCUACGAGAAUUUUCAAAUACACACAGUUGAGGAGAUUGUUCUCGAAGAGCCCAAAACUUGAAUAACACAGGUCGUCGAGCUAAACGACGUUAAACAAAGCGCUGUUGGGAGACAACCCAAAUUUUCUUUUCCUUUAUGCAAAUAAAAUUUUUGGUAAAAUGGAAAAUGGAAAUGCAUGUCAAGGAUUAGUUCUGUCUAAGGAAAGACUUGGUACUUAAGUAUGUCCAUUGUGACUCACCUCUCUUUCCUGGGAACUUACUUGGUGCAUUUAUCACGACUGUUUUACCAAAUCUCGUAAUCUUGGUUUUUAAUAAUUUAUUUCUCGAGUUUAUAGCUUAGCUAAUAAAUUUGAAAAAAAACAUUUUAAUUUCCCUAUUAUUAUUAUUUAUUUUUACUAUUUUAUUUUUGCAGGAAAACAUUCCAAGACAAAAUUAAAUUCCACAUGUCAACCCACAAAAUUCUUUUUUCAGUUAAGGCCCACUCUACCUACGAGACCGCCCUCCAUGACGUUGAAAUACAUGGGGAGUUUCUUUUUCUCUCUUUCUCCUACUUAUCUUUACUUUUAUUUUUUAAAUUACAUUGGGACAAUGUAAAAUAAGUAGGGGGGAGGGAAACAUAAAUUGGUUCUAAUUUGCUUAUCUGUCGUCGCUAUUUUUGCAUGUUUUCGGUAAAAGGUAAAUUUUUCUUUUAAUUGGGAUGGUACACUUAUGGUUUGACCGAUUUAGCUAUUUAAUUCUUUACACAUGAAACUUUUCAAUAACCUAGACUUAGUAGGUAAGAAAUUUUUGGAAUUAUGAGUUUGCUUGAUUGCCUACCUUUUAUCAUAUGUUUUUAUUAUUUUUUCAAAAAAAAAAGAUUAAAUACUCCUCUGAUACAAAUGUUAAGAGUGAAAAUUUGGGUUGUAUAUCGAAUUAAGUAACCGGAAUGUGGUGCUUGGGUUGUCAUCACAUCUCGUGUAAAAAGGUUCAUGUGACUGUCCAAUUUAUUUGCACUCACUCCGCUGACAAGUUAUUAUGAGUAGGGCGAAAUAACCCGCUUAGAGACGUCCGAAUUGAGUAACCGGAACAUGGUGCUUGGGUUGUCAUCAUGUCUCGCGUCAAAAAAUUCGAUAAUGUCCUAAGUACAAAAAUAAAUAAAUAAAAUAAAAUGAAAGGUAAAUCUAUCAAGCUCUCAUAAAUUCUGAUAUAUAUUUACUUACUGCUUAGGCUAGGUUAUUUGAGUUGUUAAUGUGCUAGGAUUGAAUUGUUGAAUUGUGCAAACGAUGAGUAUCAAGUCCUAUUUUGGAGAAUUUUUUUCCUUUUGCAGAUACAUACAAAAUGCUCGAGGACUAGCAUAAGCUAAGUAGGGGGAAUUGAUUAAAUACUAAAAUUACAUAUUUUAUGUAAUUAAUUUGGUAUAUUUAUGAGAAUGCACCACUAAUUUUUCCAUAUUUAUUGAAUUUUGUGCAGGAAUGUAAUUUGGGGCUAAAUAGAAGAAAAAGGAAACAAUUGGGCUGAAUUGAAGAAAGAAGCGAAAAAGGAGGGCCAAAGAAGAAUUUUUCCAAGAUUAAUUAGCUGAAAUUUUUGAGUUAGUGGGAGAAUAUUUUGGGAUUUAUUUUAUUUUGGGAUAUUUUUUCCUUAAUUUCCUAUGACUAGUUGGCUCCUAAUUUAGUAAAUCAACUAGUAUAAAUAGAGCUUGUAUCGUUCAUCAUUUCAUCAAUUAAAAAAUAAUUUAGCUUUUGUCUUUCAAUUCUCUCCUUUCUCACGUAGCCUUUGUUAUUUCUUAGCUUGUUUUCCUUCAAUUUUCAUUAGUUCCAGUAGCCUACCAUCCAUUUCACCUUUAUUUUCAACUUUUCACAAAUUUAUUUAUUGUCUUUAGUUUCUUUAACUUUUAAUUCCUAAAAACUUCCAGCUUUUACUACUUUCCAUUUACAACACCUUUUUCAAAUUCCCUUUUUCAACCACCCCCACACUUAAUCACAUCACCCAUCUUUUCACCUCUUUUACCUUAUUUAAUUUAUCAAAUACCAACAUGUCCCAAACCUUAGCCAACUAAACCCAUUUUCAGCUUUAGGCCGAAAUUAGCCUCGUCAAAACCCGUGAGUUACGAACCCGAGCCAUUUAACUCCUAAAAUUCCAGUACUUAUUACUUCUCCGGAUUAAGAGUAUGAUUUUGUCAGCUCAUAANNNNNNNNNNNNNNNNNNNNNNNNNNNNNNNNNNNNNNNNNNNNNNNNNNNNNNNNNNNNNNNNNNNNNNNNNNNNNNNNNNNNNNNNNNNNNNNNNNNNCACUAAGUCAAAAAAGACGUCGUUUGAUUUGGUGUGAUUAGACGUACAGUUGGAAUUCUGAAAAGAACGUUUCUAAUCGGUUUUCUGUGAACACAUUAGCGUGCCAAGUGGAGGCUGCUGUUUGGUUCCGUCAAGGGAAGUAGUAACCGGAUUUAAAUGUCCCACGCGGUUGAGGGCAUUGGUUCGAGCUAGGCUCUUCUAGAACGCAAAGCUGCCGGAGUUCUAAAUCACGAACGUUUCGUGGUUGUUCGAUCGGUAAGAAUUAGUUAUUGGACGUUCCAUAACUAAUUUACACAAGGAAGAGUUGGUGUCCGAGGCGUCCUUGGUAGCUAUAACUAGCUUAUUGGAAAAGAGGAGUUCAUCCAAUUUCGAGGAUCGGUUCAAAGACGAGGAAAAUUCGCGCCUAAAGCUGAGGUCAUUCUAAUUAAUUUUUCUUAAUAUUUAUUUCACAGUUAUUAUUAUUCUGUUUUCAACUUUUACUUUUGACAUUAUUUUUCUGUUAAUUUCAGGUUUUCAAAUUUUUAUCCCCCCAAACGUCUUGGGCACGACAGCUGCCCCGACAUAAAUCUGGUCAAACGAGCAACAAUUUACAGUAAACCAGUCUCUGAGGGAUCGACCCUACUCUCUAUACUGCAUAAUUUGCAACUUAAGGCGUAGGUUUAUAUUGGUGGAUUCGACACCCAUCAAGCCGUAACAGAAUAUAACAAAUAAUAGAGAAAAUAUAAAAUAAAAAACAAAUAUUUUUUGUAUUUUGAUUCGACUAUAUAAAGCCGAAUUUUGCAUCUGUAAGAGGAUUUUUUUUUUGGAAUCAAUCAAAAAAGGAAAAAGUAUUCAAUACCAACAAUCAGAGAAUUUAAAAUACAAAAUAGAGAUCUAAGGUAGUCUUCUGCUAUUUUUUUCUUUCUUCGUUUUGAUUUGUUUUUUUAAAAUAACAUAGAAAAUAAAAAAAGGAAAGGAGACUUACCUAAUUGCCUUACGACGCAUCGUUGGAGGUGCCUCCCCCGCUGCCUUCAAAUCUGCUUCAAAAAGGAAUAAAAAGCCAAUUAUGGUGUGGCUCCGACCACCGUUCACGGUGGAAUCGCGGAGGAGGCACGGUGGACUGGCGACGGCUAAUGCUGGGUUUGAAACCCUAGCAGAGAAAAUGGAUGUUUUUUUUAAACAAAAUAGCAGAAUGUUUUUUUUAAAUUGUUGUUUUUAUAAAGGGUUUGAAACGGCGUCGUUUAGGCCUGUUAAGGUGGCCUCAAAACGGCGUCGUAUAAGCCAUGACCCACUCAGUGACCCGACCUGAAGAAAGGAUCCGCGUGUUUUGUCUCAAUGGUUUACUUGCGUUAAUUGGUCCCCCACUUUUGUAACGUGUUUAAAUUGAUCCUUUUAUGUUUCUUAAAUUUUGCCACAUAUUUCAUUGUUUGUUUCAAUUUGGUCCAUGCUGAAACGCAGCGUUUUGCGGCUGGGGAUAUUUUCCUCUGUAGUCCCCAUGUUCUUCGUGCGUGCCUUUUUGGUCCUCAAUUCUGCUUUAUUUUCAUUUUUUUUCUUUUUAUUUCAAAUUUAAUACAAUUUUAUCCAUACUUAUUUAAUUUAAUGUACUUGAUUUUUAUUCUAUUUAAAAUUCAUUUUUCUUUUAUUUUUAGAUAUAUUUAUUUUUAAAUCUAACUUUCUUUUUAUGUUUAAGUUUAAUAUAUUUUUAAUUUUAUUAUCAAUACGAUUUCAAUAUUAUAAUAUAUUAUUAUUUUAAACCUAUCAUUAAUAUUAUGUAAAUUCUGUUGGGAUUGGGGUUUUACAUCUCAGAGUAGAGCUGCAAACUGAUGGAGGCCAUUGAAGUGCCAGCUUGUAGAAGUCCGGAAUUGCUGGUUGCUGGGGUACUACAAAUGCUACCCAUAAUGAAAAAUUGAUACAAUGCAUUUUUACAAAUUUACAAAUAAAAAGAGAACUACUCCAUAUAUAAAUAUUACAUGCAUGGAUCGUUGGGCUGAGAUUGGAUGAUUGUACUUUGUGAGUAGCUGGUUUAUGAUCUCUUUUAUAAGCUUAGCACACAUAUUUCACAAAAUUUUUAAAGUCCUACAACCAUGAAAUAAAUAUUGAAGUUACUUAUCUCGAAGAGUUACUUCACAAUCACACCAAGAGAGAAAUAAACAAACUCACUUGUCUGAGUGGCUGAUUAUUCACCACCACCCAUGGCACAUAUUUGUUGGUGUUAAUAACAAAGAACAAACAAGUUGGCUGAGACUUGAGCAGCAAGGCUCGAUUCUUGCUGAAGAAAUAACAAAAUUUUCAAGACAGAAAAUUGAAAAGAAAAGUAAAGAACAAUGGAGAGUAUUUGAAACAAAAAACUGAUUGAAUUCAUUCAAUUUGAAAAAUGGCAUAAUGCCAAUACAUAAAUUAAGCACUGAGCUUGUCAAAAACAGAAAGUGGUCACCUAAUCAACACCUACUACCACUUAGACAUUGAAACUUGAAAAACAAAACUUGUAAACAUAGAUAAAGUUGAGUUUACAGCUCAUUCACCAUCUAAUUACAUCAAUCAUAAACCUAACUUAGUUUAAAAUGAACUAGAAUACAUUUCCUUAAACAAAAGUUACAAAAUGAACAAAAGAUCACCAGUUGCACUUGCUCCAAUAGCUUCUGCAUGGCUCGACCUGCAUGUCUUGUUUUUUUACUGCUCUUGGUGCUACAUGCUGACCAUAUUUCAACACUCCUCCUUGGUUAGCAUGUUGCAAACUCCAAUCUCUUUCUCAAAUGCUCGAACUUUGUCACACUAAGGGGCUUGGUUAAAAUGUCAGCAAGUUGAUCCUCUGAAUUGCAAUGAACCAGUUUCAUUUCUUGUGCUUGCUCCAUUUCUCUAACAACAUGAAGUUUAAUGUUGAAAUGUUUUGUUCUUCCAUGGAACACUGGGUUCUUUGCAAUUGCAACAGCGUACUGGUCUUCACAAAAGAUCUUUAUUGCUUCCCUUUGAUACACAUUUAAAUCAGCCAUUAUUUUCCUUAGCCAAUUGGCUUGGUUUACAACAUUUGAUGCUGCAACAUAUUCUACUUCAGCAGUAGAUUGUACAACUACUGUUUGUUUCUUCAAGCUCCAACAAAACAUAGCUGAACCAAGAUUGAAAGUAUACCCUGAGGUCUUUUCAUGUCAUCCAUCGAACAAGCCUAGUUACUAUCAGUAUAGCCAACCAACUUGAGGAAUUUAGCAUUUCUAUAUAUCAUUCCAUGGCUCAGUGUACCCUUGACAUACCUGAGCACUCUCUUUGCAGCUUGAAAGUGUCUCAUAUUGCUACAAUGCAAGAACCUUGAAAGCAAACUUACAGCAAACAUAAUGUCUGCCCUAGUGGCUGUUAGGUACAACAAGUAACCAACUAAGCUUCUGUAGAUUAUUUCAUAAACCUUCUCAAAAUCAUCAUGGCUCGAUAGUUUUUCUCCAACAGCAACUGGAGUAUUGGUUGCUUUGCUAUUUUGCAUUGAGAACUUGGUCAGAAUCUUAGAGGCAAAGGCUCUCUGACUUAGGAAUAUCCCAUUGUGUGUUUGUGUUACUUCCAUACCAAGAAAAUAGGUUAUCAUUCCUAGAUUAGACAUCUCAAAUAUUUGUUGCAUUUUGGUUUUGAAAUUAAUCAGUGUUGUUUGGUCUCCUCCUGUCACUAACAGGUCAUCAACAUACAGAGAUACAAUGAGUUGAGCCUAUGCCCCUUCUUUCUUAACAUAAAAAGUUAGCUCACUCUUGCUUCUUUUAAAUUUCAAGUUGACCAGGUAGCUAUCGAUCCUGCUAUACCAGGCCCUUUGAGCCUGUUUCAAGCCAUACAAGGCUUUCUUCAGUUUAUAAACCAAGUGUUCUUUACCAGCUAUUUCAAAGCCCUGAGGUUGUUCAACAUAGAUAUCCUCUUCAAGAAAUCCAUUGAGAAGGGCAGACUUCACAUCGAGCUGGUGGAUUUUCCAUUGCAUUUGUGCUGCUAAGGCAAUCAGCAACCUAAUGGUGUUGAGCCUGGCCACUACUGCAAAGGUCUCCAAGUAAUUCAAACCAUACUUCUGGCUAAACCCCUUAACAACCAGCCUUGGUUUCAGCUUAUUCAAGCUCCCAUCAGCAUUGUGCUUGGCUCGAUAGACCUAUUUUACCCCAAUAACCUUCCUAUUUGCUGGUCUUUGAAUCAGCUCCUAAGUCUGAUUCUUCUUAAUCAUGCUGAUUUUAUCAGCCAUUGCUUGUUUCUAGCCUAGGUGUACUUUAGCCUUUUCAAAGUAGCUUGGUUAUACUAUAACUACAUGAGCUCUUUCAUAAAUCUCAACCAAUGGUCUAGUGCCCCUGAUUGGUUCAUCAUCAAUGUCUAUUUCAGGACCAUUUUGAUCUGGCUCAGUUUGAUUUGCCAUUAGAUCUUUAGGAACUAUUUUUGGUUCAUUCUUCUCCCAGUUCCAACAUGUUUUCUCAUCGAACACCACAUCUCUUCUUACAGACACUUUGUUUGUUGAAGGAUCCAAGAUCCUAUAGCCCUUUUUGACUGUACUGUAGCCCACCAGAAUACCAGGUUGAGCUUUCUUGCCUAAUUUGUCCCUCUUCACUGCUGGGACAUGAGCAUAGCAUAUGCUACCAAAGACCCUUAGAUGAGCGAGUGAAGGUUUGAACCCGAACCAGGCUUCAAAUGGAGUCUUGUCAGCCAAGGCCUUGGUUGGAAGUCUGUUUUGGAUGUACACACAGUGUUGACUACCUCAGCCCAUAAGGUUUUGGGCAAAUUCUUCUCAAACAAUAGGCAUCUGGCCAUAUCCAUCAAGCUCCUAUUCUUCCUCUCAUUUACACCAUUCUGUUGAGGAGUAUAGGUGUUGGUGGGCUGGUGUUUGAUACCUACUUCAUCACUAAAAGCUUGGAACUGAGCUGAGGUGUAUUUAGUCCCAUUAUCGGACCUUAUGGUUUUUAGCUUGCAGCCAGUUUUAGUCUCUGUAGCAAUCUUGAAUUUGGAAAACACUGAGGCCACUUCUGAUUUCUGUUUCAAGAAGUAAAUCCAGCAAAACUUGAGAAAUCAUCAAUAAAUAGAAUAAAGUACCUGCUUCCAUUCAGUGACUCAGUCUUCAUGGGGCCACACAUAUCAUUGUGCACGAGCUGUAGCCUUUCUGAGGUUCUCCAGGCCUGAUUCGAGGGAAAUAGGAGUUUGGCCUAUUUUCCUAGCUGGCAUACUUCACAAACUUCCUAUUUUUCAACUGAACCAAUGAAAUUUUUAGCCAAAUCUUCUCUGGUCAGUUGCUCCAUCGAUCUAUAGUUGGCAUGACCAAGCCUUUGAUGCCAGAGCUUGGAUUCAUCUGAUGUGGCUAUAUAAGCAGUGUUUGAGCCAUUUGUCCAAUUAACAACAAAACUCUUAUCAUUCACAGUGAAUAUCAUGAACUUGGAUCCACUUGGAUCACUAAUUUGACACUCAUUGCGUUUGAACACUACAGAAUACCCUUUUUCUAAUAGCUGAGCAGGUUUCUAUUGAUUUCAGGCACCAACAACACAUUUAAAAUGAGCUCGUUGCCUGUAGGAGUGCAUAUCAAAACAUCUCCUCUACCUUUUGCCUUUAUAAAAUGGCCAUUGCCAACCUUUACCUUGGUUUUGUAGCUUUUGUCUAAUAAUUUGAAGAUGGCAGCAUCUGGUGUCAUAUGGUUGGUGCAACCAAUGUCUAAGAGCCAGCCAUUUGUAAGCUUCUCCUGAGCAGCUGAGCAUGACACAACAAAAACUUGCUCUUGUAAUAGCCUAGGCUCACAAAAAAAAACCCAAAAUAAUAAAACCAAGUCUAAGUCCAGUCCAAAAUUAUAUCAUUUGGCCCAAUCGAAAUGGCCUGUUACUUGAAAAUGUUGAAGGUCCAUCUACAAGCUUGAUGCAUAUGGAAACAUAAUCCUCGAGGAUAUGCAAUCUUAGAUAUGAUAUGCAAUCUUAUAAGAUAUGAUUUUGUAAUCUUAGAUAUUUAAUUUGUAGAUACCCUUUAAUCUUAGCCGUUGAUGUAAUUGACCUGUAGCGUUGGAUUUGGGGAGGAUCAACUAUAAAUAGGGGCCUCUCCUUCAUUGUAAAAACACUUAAGUUUGGAGCAAUAAUAAUUCUUAAGAACAUUCACUCAAAUUUCUCCCUCUCUUGCGUUCUUAUUUUCUAUGGCUUGUUCUUAAUUUGUUCUUCGUUCAUCUUCGUUUCUUUUUAAGUUGCUUUCAUUUGAGUUGGAUUUUGGUGGAGGAAUUUCGUUGAAUCUUCAUAUUGUGAGAGUUAGGCUGACUUAAACGUUUUUUUAACCUUUUUUAUUUAUCUAUUUAAUUGUUUAAUCAUUAAUUAUUCUUUUACUUUUAUUCGUUUAUUUUAUAUCUAUCAACUUUCUUAUUUACAUAUUGUUCAUUCAUUUAACCAUUCUUAUCUUUUUUUUUCUUCCAUUAAUUAUAUACUUUAUUUUUUUAAUAUUAUGUCACACAUGUUGUUUAUUUUUUAAAAACUCGUGUUAUAAAUUAUUCAUUUUAAAUUGUUUGAUUAUUUGCUUAAAUUUUUUUUCUCAUAUAUUAUCNNNNNNNNNNNNNNNNNNNNNNNNNNNNNNNNNNNNNNNNNNNNNNNNNNNNNNNNNNNNNNNNNNNNNNNNNNNNNNNNNNNNNNNNNNNNNNNNNNNNUUUAUUUUUAAACUCAUUUAUAUAUUAUUACUUUAUAUAUUACCUAUUUUCAUUUUUUAUAUAUUAUUUAUUCCAAACUUAUACAUAUAUUACCUACUUUUUUAUAUAUAUAAUUUAUUUAUUGAUUUGUAUAUUGUUGAUUUCAAAUUUCUUUUUCCCUUAUUAUUCAUUUUCAAAUUCAUUAUUUUUAAAUUUGUUUACAUUUUAUUUUGCCUUAUAUAUAUAUAUAUAUAUAUAUUAUUUUAUACUCUUUGUUUUAAAUUCAUUGGUCUAUGAUUAUUGAUGCUAGUAUUUAAAUAAUUGCCAUUAUGUGUUUUAUAAAUUAUUUUUUUGUAUUUUCAUAUUGCCUUUUUUAUCAAAGUUUUUACGCAUCGUUUUAAUAUUGCAUCAAUUUUUUCCAAUUUUAGAAAAGAAAACUUUUUGAAAUAAGGUAAUAUUUGAUACUUUGGAGCUUUGAGAAAAUCGUACCCUAACUUACUGGGUUUCAAUUUUUUUGAUCCAAAUAACCGAAUAUCCUUUUUAAACUUUAAUGCAUGAGACAAGCUUAGUUUCGAGGGUUAAAAUGUCGUAUCCUAACUUACUGGAUGUGACAUCUUAUUACUUUGGGACAAGGAGCUCUUAACAUCAAAUUCGAUUUAUUUAGUUUUUAAAGAGGAUCGUAUUUUAAAAUCUUUUCAAAUUUUCAACAUUAGGACAUUAAUUAAUCAAUUAGGUACUAAUUUUUGGGCAUUAUGAGGGUGCUAAUCCUUCCUCGUGCGUAACAGACUCCAUAGCCCAUUUUCUCAAAUUUUGUAGACCAAAAUCAUUAUUUUAAUAAAUCAAAAUGUUUUAUUAAAAUGAUUAAUCUCAAGGUGACCCGAUCACACCUCGAAAAAAGAUUGGUGGCGACUCCAUUUUCGUUUUAAAAGUUGACCCCGUUUUUCAAAAUAAAAAUGGUUUCGACACUCAUGGUCACUGCCUUCUUUUGCCAUUUGAGCUUCAGCCUUUGGUGUUGUGGUUGGUACUGCCUUGGUUUGCCUUUGCUUCUGCAAACCUUUUCAACAUGUCCCAUCUUUUUCCAGUGUUGGCACUGUACAUCUAGUCUAAACCAGUAAUUUGCUUCUGAAUGACCAAGUCUUUUGCAAUGCCUGCAGGGUUGGUCCCUUCUUCUUGUAGUAUCAAACUGUGGCUUGUCUUUCCAAGUCUUCUUGCCUUUGUAGGCAUUGUUGCUCAAGGAAAAAUUGGUUUUUCCUGGAAGGCACCUUCUUGGUGCUCCUCUAAUCUGCUGGCUCUUCUUUGCUCCUGUGCAUAGAAAGCAUUGAUCAGCUCUGUCAAUGUGAUGCUGGUUAGGUCCCUUGAGUCUUCGAGGGAUGAAAUUUUUGCCUUAUACCUCUCAGGCAAGGUUGAAAUCAUCUUCUCCACUAUCCUUGCUUCACUAAACUCCUCACCAAGGAGCCUCAUGCUGUUUACCACAGCCAUAAUUCUAUCUGAGUACUAUUUGACAGUUUCUUCUUCCUUCAUUUUCAAAUUCUCGAAGUCCCUUCUCAGGUUCAACAACUAUUGCUGCCUUGUCCUCUCUGUCCCUUGAAACUCCUCUUUUAACAUGUCCCAAGCCUGUUUUGGUGUCUCACAGGCCACGAUCCUUGUAAAGAUCACAUCUGACACUCAAUUUUGGAUGUAGGACAUGGCCUUGUACCUCUUAGUCCUUUCAUCAGCAUGCUGCCUGAUCUGAGCUAUUGUUGGAUUGGCUCUGAGUGGCUCUGGUUCAACAUCUGAGUUGACCACCUCCCACAAAUCGAAUGCCUGUAGGUAGGUCUACAUUUUGACCACCCAUAUGUGAUAGCUUUCUCUAUUGAAGAUUGGUGGUGCAGCUGGUGAGAAGCUUGAUGAGGCCAUUGUUAUAAGUAACAGGUCCCUUAAGAUUACAGCUCUAUAUACCAAUUGUUAGUGUUAACAACAAAGAAAAAACAAGUUGGUUGAGACUUGAGCAGCAAGGCUCGAUUUUUGCUGAAGAAAUAACAAAUUUUUCAAGACAGAAAAUUGAAAAAAAAAGCAAAGAACAAUGGACAAUAUUUGGAAAAAAAUUGAUUGAAUUCAUUCAAGUUGAAAAAUGGCAUAAUGCCAAUACAUAAUCAAGCACUAAGCUUGCCAAAAAUAGAAAGUGCUCACCUAAUCAACACCUACUACCACUAAUACAUUGAAACUUGAAAAAUAAAACUUGUAAACAUAGAUAAAGCUGAGUUUACAACUCAUUCACCUUAGACAAAAGUUACAAAAUGAACAAAAGAUCAUCGGCUGCACUUGCUCUAACAGCUUCUGCAUGGCUCGGCCUGCAUGUCUUGCUUCUUUAUUGCUCUUGGUGCUACAUGCUGACCAUACUUCAACAAUAUUCUUAAGGUGGCUUCAUAUGUGCAAUCUAAUUAGAAUAUUGCAGCUGAAGCCGCAAUUCAUUAAUUUGAAUCAAGUCAAUGCCAUUCGGAAGUCAUAGCGAAGAUGUUGCGAGAAUGGAUUAUUUUAAACUAUAGCAUAAAUACUUGAGUCUCAAAAUAAGCACUAGCUCAAUAAAACGCAUAUGAUAAUUUAGAAUACUGUAAUAAAACACAUAUUGAUAAUUCAGAUAUUAUAUUAAACAUUUUUAAACAUAUAUGAGACAAUUGUGGUAAAGCUGGCUAUGGAAAUUCUAUGGUAUCGGAUCCACUACUGCACAGGCCGUAAAAUAAGCUAGAACAAUUUUGGGGAGUUCCAAAGUUAUGGGAUGGACUCGGUCUUCCAUAACAGAUAAACAUCUCCUCGAGUAGUAGAACUCUAGUUCUUCUGUGUUUACUGCAUGAAAUUUGUGGAGAUGCUCUUAUAAGUCGGACAACUAUGUCCGCAACUUAUCGGACCGUAUAGGUGGAUCCACGUGUGUGUCCCAUAGCUAAAUCCCAAAAUUCAAUAAAACAAAUAAGAGACAAUAAAGUAUAUUAAACACAAAUAGGAAUGUGAAGGGAAAAUAAAUACAAUUUAUUCGAUAUACCUGAAUUUAAAUUUGUCCUAAGUUGUAUGGCCAAUUGGAAGUAUGGCAGAGGAUGAUGUGCAAAGUCGAAACAUGUUCCAUAUUUCAUCCAUUCCUUGAACCAAAACCCAAUGUCUGACCCUGUCGAUGCCAAGUUCGGCCAUAGUGUGGGCAAUUGGUUCCAAAGAGCUACAUCCCUUAUCAACAAUUGCUUUUAAAUAAGAAACAAAAAAAUUGAUUAGAUUACAGAUAAAUUACUUAAUAGUUUCAAGCGAAGAAUGUACAUAUGCGUACUUGGAGUGGUGGCCGGGUUAGAAUAGGUUGUGGAUGGCUGCAAGGCUUCCUUCCAUUGUAUGGGGGCCCAGCAUGUCAUGAGCGUCCUGCGCCCAAAUUCCAUGUAUUUUGAAUUCGGUUGGGAUUGGGAGUUUACAGUUGAGAGUAGAGCUACAAACAGAGGGAGGCCACUGAAAUGCCAACUUAUAGAAGUCUACCACUGGAAUUACUGGCGGCUGGGGUACAAGAAUAUAAUAUGUGAGAAGGUGGAGAUGAUCAAAUCUUUCAGCAGGGAUGUCGUCAAGGAGGCUAGUAGGAGUUUUGGCUCUCUAAUGGUAAAAUCUUUAAAAUAGAAUUGUACGUUCUUCAAAGUUGUAUUUGUCCGCUCGGACACAUAAAAACCAAUAUAAUGUGGUGGAGUUUAUUCGAGCAGCUCGUCAUGUUAUGUUUGGAUAAUUCCAUAUAUGUAUGGGUCACCUUUUCCUUUUAUUUUUCCAUGUAAAAAACAAAAGAAAAGAAAGCACUCUCUCCUUCUUAUUAAUAACAUUUUAUACUUAUUAAAUACAUUGGGCAAUCGUGGAAAAGCUACAUAGGGAAACUUAUGAUAUCUGAUAGGCUAUUACAUUGGCCAUGAUAUAAAUGGGAACAGUUUUUAAGUGUUCCAAGGAGAUGAGAUGCUGUCGGUCUUUCAUAACAUAUAUACAUCUCCGAGAGUAAUAAUUGUCUAUUGUUUGUUCUAUUUCUAUUACACGAAAUUUGGGGAUAUGCGUGUAUAAGCUGAAAAACUGCAUUCACAGCUUGUUGGACCGUAUAGGUGGAUCCACGUGUGAGUCCCAUAGCUAAAUCCCAAAAUUCAUUAAAACAAAUAAGAGACAAUAAAGUAUAUUAAACACAAAUAGGAAUGUGAAGGGAAAAUAAAAACAAUUUAUUCGAUAUACCUGAAUUUAAAUUUGUCCUAAGUUGUAUGGCCGAUUGGAAGUAUGACAGAGGAUCUUGUGCUUUGUCGAAACAUGUGCCAUGUUUCCUCCAUUCCUUGAACCAAAAUUUAAUGAUUGACUCUCCCAAUUUCAAGUUCGGCCAUUGUGAGCGCAAGUUGUUCCAAAGUGCUGCAUCCCUUAUUAACAAUUGCAUUUAAAUAAGAAACAAAAAAAUUUAUUAGAUUAUAGAUAAAUUACUUAAUAGUUUCAGGCGAAGAAUAUACGUAUGCAUACUCUGCGAGCUAAUUGUGAUGUCAUAGGUUGUGGAUUGGUGCAGCGAUGAUUUGUACCAUAUGGGGGCACCGGCCUGUCAUGAGCAUCUUGUGCCCAAAUUCCAUGUAUUUUGAAUUCAGUUGGGAUUGGGAGUUUACAGUUGAGAGUAGAGCUACAAACAGAUGGAGGCCAUUGAAGUGCCAGCUUGUAGAAGUCCGGAAUUGCUGGUUGCUGGGGUACUGCAAAUGCUACCCAUAAUGAAAAAUUGAUACAAUGCAUUUUUACAAAUUUACAAAUAAAAAGAGAACUACUCCAUAUAAAAAUAUUACAUGCAUGGAUGGUUGGGCUGAGAUUGGAUGAUUGUGCUUUGCGAGUAGCUGGUUUAUGAUCUCCUUUAUAAGCUUGGCACACAUAUUUCGCAAAAUUUUCAAAGUCCUGCAACCAUGAAAUAAAUAUUGAAGUUACUUAUCCCAAAGUGUUACUUCACAAUCACACCAAGAGAGAAAUAAACAAACUCACUUGUCUGAGUGGCUGAUUAUUCACCACCACCCAUGGCACAUAUUCUUGAGGUGGCUUCAUAUGUGCAGUCUCAUUAGAAUAUUGCAGCUGAAGCCGCAAUUCAUUAAUUUGGAAAUUCAAUGUUAGAAAAAGCAAAGGAGAGUUAAUUAAAUACUAAGACAUGCAGCCAACCUUAUAUCCGAAUCCAGUAGUAUAGCUGAUGAAGUUGUUCAGUAUGCGGCAAACACUCAACAGCAAGCAGGCCAUGAAGACCAAGUAGUGCAGGAGCUGCUGCAAUAAGUUAUUUUUGCUUAUUUUGUAAACUUUAGUUAAAGAAAUGAGUCUUAGUUCAUUUCUAACUAAGUUAAGUCUUUGAUUGAUGUAGUUAGCUUAUGUAUGAGCUGUAAACACAGCAUUGUAUAUGUUUACAAGCUAAAAUUCCAAGUUUCCAUGUAAUUAGUGGAGGUAGGUAAUGAUUAGGUGCUUACUUGCUGAUUUUGACAAGCUUUAUGCCAUUUUUUUUCUCAUGAAUGAAUUAAGUUUUGUUCAUCAAAUACUCUCCAUUUUUCUAAGCUUUUCUUCUUCUUUCUUUUGCUCGAUUUCAUUUGUUUGCUCAACAAGCAUCAAAGCUUGUUGCACAAGACACUUGCCGAGUCUGUUAUUACUGUUAGUGCACCAACAAUUGGUAUCUAGAGCCUACUUCUUAAGGGAUCUGUUAUACAAAUCCAUGGCUUCAUCAAGCUUUUCACCAGCUGCACCUCAAGUCUUCAAUGGAGAAGGCUAUCACAUAUGGGUGGUCAAAAUGAAGACCUACCUGCAGGCUUACGAUCUGUGGGAGGUGGUCAACUCAGAUGUUGAACCAGAGCCACUUAGAGACAAUCCAACAGUGGCUCAGAUCAGGCAGCAUGCUGAUGAGAGGACCAAGAGGUACAAAGCCAUGUCUUGCAUCCAGAACUCAGUGUCUGAUGUGAUUUUCACAAGGAUUAUGGCCUGUGAAUCACCAAAACAGGCCUGGGACAAGUUGCAGGAAGAAUUUCAAGGGACAGAGAGGACAAGGCAGCAACAAUUGUUGAACUUGAGGAGAGAUUUCGAGAAUUUGAAGAUGAAGGAAGAAGAAACUGUCAAGCAAUAUUCUGACAGGAUUAUGGCUAUGGUUAACAGCAUCAGGCUCCUUGGAGAGCAGUUCAAUAAAGCUAGGAUAGUGGAGAAGGUUAUAGCAACUCUGCCUGAGAGGUAUGAGGCAAAAAUCUCAUCUCUUGAGGACUCAAGGGACCUGUCCACCAUCUCCCUAACAGAGUUGAUCAAUGCUCUAUAUGCUCAAGAGCAGAGGAGAGCAAGCAGACUGGAGGAGCACCAGGAAGGUGCCUUUCAGGCAAGAACAAAUACUGCCUACAAAGGCAAGAAGGCCUGGAGAGACAAACCAAAGAAUGAUGCUGCAAGGAGAGAAGGUCAGACUUGCAAGCACUGCAGAAGGGUUGGUCAUCCAGAAGAAAAGUGCUGGUUUAAUCCAGAUGCUGUAUGUCAGCAUUGUAAGAAGAAGGGUCAUGUUGAGAGAGUCUGCAAGAGCAAGACCAAAUCGAGGCAGAAUCAGUUUCAACAGAUGAAAGCUGAGGCUCGAAUAGCUAAGGAGGACAGUGACCAAGAGGAGCAAGUCUUUGCUGUGUCAUGCUCAGCUGCUCAGGAAAGGUUCUCAUCUGGUUGGCUCCUAGACAGUGGAUGCACCAACCACAUGACACUUGAUGCUGCAAUCUUCAAGUCUUUAGACAGAAGCUGCAGAACUAAGGUCAAAAUAGGAAAUGGUCAUUUUAUUCAAGCUGAAGGCAAGGGUGAUGUGCUGAUAUGCACCUCUACAGGUGCCAAAGUGAUUUCAAAUGUGCUCUUGGUGCCUGAAAUUGACAGAAACCUACUCAGCAUAGCUCAACUGCUGGAGAAAGGUUAUUCUGUUGUGUUUAAAGACCAUCAGUGCCAAAUUAGUGAUCCAAGUGGAUCCAAACUGAUGGCAGUCCCUAUGGCUGAUAAGAGCUUUGUAGUUGACUGGACUAAGGAGUCAGACAUUGCCUACAUUGCCACAUCAGAUGAAUCCAAGUUGUGGCAUCAAAGGCUGGGACAUGCCAACUUCAGAUCGAUGGCCCGAAUGGUCAGAGAAGACCUGGCUGAAAACUUCUUCAACUUAGUGGAUCAUGAUGAUGUAUGUGAAGUAUGUCAGCUAGGAAAGCAGGUCAGACUCCCAUUUCCCUCGAAUCAAGCCUGGAGAGCCUCUGAAAAACUCCAACUGGUGCACACUGAUGUGUGUGGCCCUAUGAAGACUGAGUCAUUAAGUGGAAACAGGUAUUUCAUACUGUUCAUUGAUGAUUUCUCGAGAUAUUGCUGGAUUUAUUUCUUAAAACAGAAAUCAGAGGUGGCCACUGUGUUUUGGAAGUUCAAAACUGCUGCUGAGACUGAAACAGGCUGCAAGAUGAAGACCAUAAGUCUGAUAAUGGGACUGAGUACACCUCAGCUCAGUUCCAAGCCUUCUGUGAUAAGGCAGGCAUCAAACACCACUUUACCAACACUUAUACACCUCAACAGAAUGGUGUAAGUGAAAGGAAGAAUAGGAGCUUGAUGGAUAUGGCCAGAUGCUUGAUGAUUCAGAAGAAUCUGCCUAAAGCACUAUGGGCAGAAGCAGUUAACACUGCAACAUACAUCCAAAAUAGACUUCCAACCAAGGCUUUGGAUCAGAAAACUCCAUUCAAGGCUUGGUUUGGCUUUAAGCCAUCACUGGCUCAUCUGAAGGUCUUUGGAUGCAUCUGUUAUACACAUGUAUCUACUGUUAAAAGGGACAAAUUGUCUGAAAGGGCUCGACCUGGUGUUCUGGUGGGCUAUAGUACUGUUAAGAAGGGCUAUAGGAUCUUGGAUCCUUCAACAAAGAAAGUGUCAGUCAGCAGAGAUGUGGUAUUUGAUGAAAAGUCAUGUUGGAACUGGGAGAGACAUGAACCUGAAGAAGUUUCUGAAGAACUUGCACCAGAUCAACCUGAGCCAGAUCAAAAUGUUCCUGAAAUGGACAUUGAUGAUGAACCAGUUAGAGGAACAAGACCAUUGACUGAGAUUUAUGAAAGGGCUCAUGUAGCUAUAGCUGAACCAAGCAAUUUUGAAGAGGCUGAAGCUCAGCAAGGGUGGAAGCAGGCAAUGGCUGAGGAGAUCAGCAUGAUUGAGAAGAACCAGACCUGGGAAUUGGUUGAAAGGCCAGUCAAAAGGAAGGUGAUUGGGGUGAAAUGGGUGUACAAAGCCAAGCAGAAUGCUGAUGGUACCUUAAACAAGUUGAAAGCAAGGCUAGUUGUCAAGGGAUUCAGUCAAAGGUAUGGGUUGGACUACCUGGAGACCUUUGCACCAGUGGCCAGGCUUGACACCAUCAGACUGCUGAUUGCCUUAGCAGCACAGCUCGAGUGGAAGAUCCAUCAGCUCGAUGUAAAAUCAGCCUUUCUGAAUGGUUUCCUAGAUGAAGACAUCUAUGUUGAACAACCACAAGGGUUUGAGAUAGCUGGCAGAGAGCAUAUGGUUUACAAAUUGAAGAAGGCCCUAUAUGGCUUAAAACAGGCUCCAAGGGCCUGGUACAGCAGAAUUGAUGGCUACUUGACUGAUCUGGGAUUCGAUCGAAGCAAGAGUGAGCCAACACUGUAUGUCAAGAAGCAAGGAACACAAACACAACUCAUUGUGUCCCUGUAUGUUGAUGACCUUCUAGUGACAGGAGGAGAUCGAGCAGUGCUGGUUGAUUUCAAGACCAAGAUGCAGGAAGUGUUUGAAAUGUCUGAUCUUGGGGAAAUGUCCUAUUUUCUUGGAAUGGAGGUGUCUCAAGCACAAAAUGAGAUAUUUCUAAGUCAGAGAAGCUUUGCCACAAAGAUUCUGACCAAGUUCUCCAUGCAAAACAACAAGGCAACUAAAACACCUGUUGCUGUUGGAGAAAAACUAUCGAGCCAAGGUGCUUUUGAGAAGGUAUGUGAAACAACCUACAGGAGUCUAGUUGGUUGUUUGCUAUACUUGACUGCCACUAGACCAGACAUCAUGUAUGCUGUAGGAUUGCUCUCAAGAUUCUUGCAUUGCUGCAAUGAGAAGCAUUUCCAAGCUGCAAAGAGAGUGUUGAGAUAUGUCAAGGGCACUUUGAACUAUGGUUUGAAGUACAGCAAAGAAGGAAAUUUGAAGCUGAUUGGGUACACAGAUAGUGACUGGGCUGGCUCAAUAGAUGACAUGAAAAGCACCUUAGGGUAUGCUUUUAACCUUGGUUCAGCCAUGUUUUGCUGGAGCUCGAAGAAGCAAAGCCUGGUGGCUCAAUCUACUGCUAAAGCAGAAUAUGUGGCAGCAGCAAGUGCUGUCAAUCAAGCUAUUUGGCUAAGGAAAGUCUUGGCCGAUUUGAAUUUGCAUCAAAAGGAAGCUACUGAGAUCUUCUGUGACAACCAAUCUGCUGUUGCAAUUGCUAAAAAUCUAGUGUUCCAUGGAAGAACAAAGCAUUUCAGCAUAAAGUUGCAUGUUGUUCGAGAAAUGGAGCAAGCACAAGAGGUGAAGCUGAUUCACUGCAAUUCAGAGGAUCAACUUGCUGACAUUCUGACUAAAGGUCUUAAUGUCACAAGGUUCGAGCAUUUAAGAGGAAAAUUAGGUGUUUGCACCAUACUAACCAAUCAGGAGUGAUGAAGUUGGUCAGUAUGCGGCAAACACUCAACAGCAAGCAGGCCAUGAAGACCAAGCAGUGCAGGAGCUGCUGCAACAAGUUAUUUUUGCUUAUUUUGUAAACUUUAGUUAAAGAAAUGAGUCUUAGUUCAUUUCUAACUAAGUUAAGUCUUUGAUUGAUGUAGUUAGCUUAUGUAUGAGCUGUAAACACAGCAUUGUAUAGGUUUACAAGCUAAAAUUCCAAGUUUCCAUGUAAUUAGUGGAGGUAGGUAAUGAUUAGGUGCUUACUUGCUGAUUUUGACAAGCUUUAUGCUUGUUUUAUGUAUUGGCUUGAUGCCAUUUUUUUUCUCAUGAAUGAAUUAAGUUUUGUUCAUCAAAUACUCUCCAUUUUUCUAAGCUUUUCUUCUUCUUUCUUUUGCUCGAUUUCAUUUGUUUGCUCAGCAAGCAUCAAAGCUUGUUGCACAAGACACUUGCCGAGUCUGUUAUUACUGUUAGUGCACCAACAAUAGCAUUUGUUGAUUAUCUCCUCAUUCAAUCUCAGCUUUUCACUACAAUAUUUCCACAGUGCUUCAAUGGGCGCCCCCUUUAAGCUUUGUUGCUCUGUGCAGCGAAUGAAUUCCAAGUGCUCUUUCUACACCACAGGAGAGUAAUUAAACACGAGUUGGAGAUGAGUACAAAUACUUAUGGCUGAUAGAAGUUACUGCAUCAGGCCAUAAAUGGAUGACACAACUAUGUAUAGUGUUUAAGUGACGUUCUUCUUCUCCAUGUUGCACAUUGUUGCAAAAACUAUAAUUAGUUAUAACACCGAAAAGAAAUUGAACUUCAUUAGUUAAUAAUGAUAAUAUAUACAUUAAAAUGAAGAAGGGUGUUGUAAACCUAGCAAUGGAUUUCAGCAUUGCCCCAAGGGACCAAUCUUAGAUUGAUAAUGCUAUGGAGGUCAGUGCGGAAGACCUUGAGUAGGCCAUUGGAGAUAAGCGAGAAUAUUGCAAGAGCAGCCAGAAUAUAGAAGAUUAAUGGUUGAAGAUAAGCCAUUGUUUCAGUGGUAGCUUUUGCACAAUGCUAAACCUCCAUUGUGCAAGGCUUCUUAUAGUUGAGAAUUGGGAUGAUGAGUAUUGCUUUCUGUCACUUUCAGAAACCAUGAGACAAAUUUACAAAGUUAUCAUCUUUAAAAAAAACAAUUAUUCACCACUUUAAAAAAAUUUAUUUACAUGAAAGAUUGCUUAUCUGUUUAUGUAUGAAUAUUGUCUAAACAUGAAAGGAGAAAUCUUAUUAGAUAAUAGAGUUUUAUAAUAAUUUAUAAUUUGAAUUAAGUUGGCCUUCUAAAAUGCUCUUAGACCAUUAUUAGUGAAUUAAAUAAAACUACUUGGCUCAUAUAAAUAAUUUGAACCAUCGUGCAGUGACACGAGACAAGAAUCUACUUAGUCUAAAUGAAUAUUAAUGGUAAAAAGCCAGUAUGUAAGUCCUUAUCAUAAUAAAGAUAAAAGAAAAUUACUUUGGCACCACCUCUCAUUAAUUCUUAAUAUUUGUGUGAAUGUUUAUUAAUCUUCACAAAGGAUGGACUUCUUUAAUUAUGAACAAUUCUAAGUGCUUGUCAAUUCUUAUUAUGAAGUCAUUCUUUAAUAUAAAUUAUAUAUUAGUCUUGAUAUGGCUUUUCUUUUCUGCAGUCAUCGUAUUAAGCGACUUCGAGGAAAACGAUGAUGGAAGAGAGUGAUGAUGAUAAUAAUCCACCACAAUCAAGUAUUGACUUGAAUAAUAUAAUUCAAUUUCAAUGACUUAAUUAAAUUAUACAAAUCUCAUAUUGCUAAACUGAAUUUUUGAGAUUCUCUAUAAGUCAUUAUACUUCAUUAAGUUAAUAAAAAUUAAGUUUAGACCUUGAACUUGUGGCCUACAAGGCUAAUGCAAUUUACAUCCAAGUCUUUUUGUUUUUAAAACUUCUUAACCUGUAAAAAUAUUUUAAUCGACUGAAGCUAUUUUCAGUUAAGUUCGUAUUAAUCUUUUUCAAACUAUUUUUAGCUAAUUCAAUCAACUUACCUUUGCUAUAUUUAACCAGUGAAAUUUUUAUAAAUACACCUUCAAAAUUACCAAUUUAUUCUUUACAUUCUCUUUCAAACACUCCUUGUUUACUCAAAAGCUUUCUUCUAUAAUUUUAGCCGAAUAUUUAUUUGGUUUGUUUUUCCUACUGAUUAAUAGAAUUGUUUGUUGAAUUAUGAAAUAUUUGUAAAGACAAUGAUAUUCACACCUCAAACAAUAAUUCUAAUAUUCUAAACCUCCUAUUUCUAACCAUUCCAAGGAUAAAAAUUAGAUAUAAAUGAUUUUCUCCUUUUAUUGUGUUGAAUUUAAUUACAGAACAAAUUUAAAGGAAAAUGAGUCGGGUGUUCAAAUUCUUUUAAUUUAUUUUAAGACUAAUCAUGUUUGAAGAGGCAUGAAUAUUUUUCCCAAAUUUCAAGAAUUUGAUUUGAAAAUUACAAUAAUUAGUUCGCAAAAAGGUAUGAAGUGAAUAAGAUAUAGAUAUAAUGACCCUAAUGUUUUUUUUUUCAUUUUUAUUAUAUAUUUUUAUUAUUUUCAAAUUUCAAAUUUUAAUCAAAUUGUUAUUUUUUUAUAAAAAAAUUAUCUAAAUUGUUAAAAUUUGAAUGAUGUUGAUGUUGUGACCUAGGUGAUACUCCACUUAUACUUCAACGUUGAUGCGAUUUUUUAAAAAAAAUUGAACUUUUAAUGUUUUAUGUAUUUUUUAUUUUUUUAUACAGUACAUGUAUAUUAUCAUAUAGGUUAUAACAUCAUUUUUUUUAUGAAAUACAUGUGUAUUAUCAUACCGUAUUCAACAGACUGUCAUUCAAGUGGCCAUCCGAGUUUCCUACUUUUCAUCAUAUGAUGAUCCCUACGAAAUUAGCCCUUUAACUGUUACUUUUUCAAUAAUUUCGCUUUCAAGAGAAAUAGUAUUGACAGACAUAUCUGUCACUUAGUUCAUCCUUUCUAGUACCUCUUACCGUCAAAGGGAUUCUAACUAACUCUUCUUUACCGAUUUGUCUGUAGCUUUUCUUUACAAAUCAAUCCUUCCCACACGACAAACCUUGUCUUCUUUAGUUAUGAACAAAUCUAAUUACUUGCAAACUCAAUGGGUCAUACUUUAUUACUAAAACAUUUCUAGCUCCUUUUUUUAUUAAGUCAUUCUUUAAUAUAAAUUAUAUAUGGCUUUUCUUUAUUCGAUUUCUUGUGGGAAAACGAUGAAGAAAUCAGCAACUCUAGUGGAAGAGAGUAAUGAUAGUAAUUCAUCAGUGUUGAAUUGAAUUUAAAUCAAUUAAUUAACUCAUAGGUAGAAUUCGAAUCUAAAGGUUUAAGAUUCAAAAAUCUUUUUCUUUUUAAUUAAAAAUUUUUAAAAUCUUAACUUAUUAUCAAUAAUGUCUAGAUUUUGUUUACAUGUUAAUUUUCCUAGAUCACAUUUUAAAUAAAUUGUUGAAAUCUUAAUAUUUUAAAUUUUUAAGAUAAUAAGAUUGGGUUUAAUAUAGCAUAGAAAUCUCUUCAUCUUUUAGAAUGUUACUUGGUCAGCUUUUGAAAUCGUCAAAGUUUCUCUUAGUUAGGCACAACAGUUUGAAUCGAGUCAGAGCAUUUAUAAGGCCAAUCUUCCAAAUUUAUGCUACCAAAAGCACACUGAAGGAAUGUGGGUUCAUCUUUUUUCCAAUGUUGCAGUGGAGCGAGCCAUUGGGAAUGCUUUUGCUGGAGGAGCGAUACGCGAUCAGAUCGGUAAUUGGAUAUUCGGAUAUAAUCGAUACAUGGGCAGCUAUACUCCUUUUGAGGCGGAACUCUAGGGUAUUUUAGAUGGGGUCCUCAUUCUGUUAAAUAAAGGAUACAAAUGGGUCACAAUUUAAAUAAACAAUUCAGAUGUGGUCCAUCACAGUUCUUGAAGGGUUCAAAGGGUUAUGCGUUUUGAAGGACAGUGGCAAAUAAGAGUUAUGUCUAAAGAAACAAACUUAAUUGCGGACCGAUUGACUAAGCUUUUUCCUUGCAUAGAAGUCAAGCUUACAAAUUUUCGAUGUACCUCCUAAUGAGGUAUUGGAGACUCUUCAACAAAAUAAAGCUUGUGGUGCUUUUGAACAAUUGAUUUGAUAUGAUUUUGUUUUACUUUCACCAAAAAAUACAAAUUAUAACAAAAAAAAAUAGUAUAGAUAUAUAAUCAUAAAUUUUAUAAAACAUAACUUCUCAAAGAGGCAUAGCACAUUAACUACAAAGGUAGCCUACUGGUGAUAAAAUCUUCCAGUUAAACAGAUGAACUCCAAAUUUAUCAUAUGACAAUAAAUGAAAAAGAAAGGUGGAACAAGCCAAAACAAGCAGAUCUUUUAAGCAAAAAGAGCACAAACAAACAAACAAACAAAAAUUCCUUCUUUUCUUAUGUUUAGUCGUGUCGUCUUUGUAAGGAAUAAAAAGGUGGCAAGAUGUCUUUAUUCCCAGGCUCGUAAACUCGCUCCUAGUUCUUCUUCCAUUUUCGUCCAUCAGGUAAGUGAUAAAGUACAAUUUUACUUUUACUGAUUUAAAAUUUUUGAACAACCUAAAUGAAUAAUUUUUUAUUUUAAAGGGGAGCUGGGCCCUGCUAGUCUCCCCUAAUUACACCACUGAAGGUGGACUUGUGCGAUGAGCCGAAAGGUUAGCCUAAUAUAGCUUCGAGUUUUUUAUUUUUUUGAAAUUAUUUUUUACUAAAUUUUUUAGAAUUUAUGAAAAGUUGCCUUGUUAACCUACAUCAACUAUACUUAGUCAAACUAAAAAUAACUAAACCACUUAAAGCCAUUUUUAAUUACGUCUGAAUUCAUUGAAUCAUUUUUAAAUUAUAUUUAAUUAGUUCAAUCAACUUACCUUUUCAAAUUAUAAUACUAGGAAUGUUCCAUCUCAUGUUGUGGCAUCUCAAAAAAUAGCAUCUCCACAGCCAUGAGACAAGAAUCUACUUAAUCUAAAUGUUGAAUUAAUUUAUUUUGGUUAAACGUCGAUCAAUGGGGCUGACGUUUGGCCCCCUUUUGGUUCAGCUUUUAGGUACAAACUAAAUAAAUAAGAAAGACUAAAAAAGAUAAAGAACAAAUUUCUUGGAGCUUUCCUCUGACAAAUAUUUUAAUUAUGAAUGGCAUUCUAUUGUGCUAAUUACAGUUUAAUUUCGGUCCUUAAAAAAAGUUUUUUUUUUAAUUUCCUCUUUGUGAAAUUCCUUGGACAAGUAUUUUCAUAUGAAUGGCAUUAUAGUCCUUUUAUUCUAUUGUGCUAAUCACUUGGUUUCUUUGGGUUAUGGGAUUAUAAACCUUUCGUCUUCAUUAAUUAUAAACAAUUCUAAGUGCUUGCCUAUUAUUAUUAUGAAGUCAUUCUUUAAUAUAAGUUAGAUAUUAGUCUUGUUGGUUCUCAAUUGUUGAAGGGUUCAAUAUCAUUUCUACUCUCCUUUUCUGCUGUCAUCAUAUCAAGCGAUUUCCCAGGGAAAACGAUGAAGAAAUAGUGGAUAAUUGAUGAAAGAGAGUAAUGAUAAUAAUUCAUCAUAAUCAAAUCUUUACGACUAUUGAAUUGAAUAAUAUAAUUAAAUUUAAAUCAAUUAAUUAAUUCACACAUUUAUUUUAUAAAGUAGAACUUAGAACUUUAAUGUUCAAUAUUCGAAAUUAUUUUAAUAAAUCUUUUCUAAAAUCUUAACCUCAAGAUUUUAUUGACAUUUCAAUUGUCAAUUGUAACCUUAAUGCUUAUGCAUUUUAAAAAUUAUACAAAUCUCACAUUGUUAAAGAAAGAUUUUGAAAUUCUUGUUUAUAAGCAGGAAAAAUUAAGUUUAGACGGUCUUGUGACUUGUGCAUUGAGCCACCAAGCCGAUGCAAUUUACAUCCAUAGUCUUUUUGUUUUUCAAAUUAUUUUUUUACUCAAUUUUUGAGAGUUAAAAGAGAAGUUAACUUCUUAACUUGUAAGAUCUAUAUUUAGUCAAAUUAAAACUAACUUAAUCAAUUAAAGUUAUUUUUAGUUAAAUACAGAUUCAUUUUGAAGAUCAACAGAGAUUGGUGUUUGAGUGAAACAUGGAUGACAAGGGGAGAAUAGAGCAAUAGGAGAAAUAAUGAUAUUGACUUGUUGUAGAUUGUAUUGGAACAGCUAGUACCAUAAUUAGGGGACCCAAAAAAUUUUAAAUUUUGAGUUAAUUGAAUCAAGUUAUUCAGUUUUUUUAGCCAACUCGAAUAAGUAAUUUGAGUUUUGAGUUCGAGUCGAGUUAUAUUUUACAAUUUGAAUAAUAGAUUGGUGUAAAUACACCUUUACUCCCUGUCAAUUUUAAAAAUAAGCAAAAUGAUUUCUCUCAAAAAAAAAAAAAUCAAACUUGUUUAAAGUAUUGUGAUAAGGGGAGUAGUUUCACAUGGAUGAACACACAUUUUCAUUCUGUUAUAGACCGAAGAAACCUGAAGAAGAUCAUGUGGCACUUGAUACUAGCAUACUUGUUACCACAACUAGUUUAGAUUUUGUGAAAAAGAGGGAGCACUGUGUGCUAUUGCUAUUGCAAUUCUACUGUUGCAAUUUUGCUACUACAAUUUAGGGAGACUUAUUUUUAUCAACAAAAAUGUGACAAGGUUAUCUCGAUUUAAAAAUGCUUUAUUCUCAUAAAAACGUAAGUAUGAACAAACAUAAAAUAUAUUAAUCGAUCAUGAUUGUCCACACAUGAAAGGAGAAAUCUUAGUACAUAAUAUUUUUUACUUGUUAUCUUAUUACAUAAUAAAGUUGUAAAGAAUUUAAACUAUAGUAAUUUAUAAUUUAAAUUAAAUUAAUAAAUUAUAAUUUAUUAAAGUAUUUACUGAAUCAUUAGCCUUCUAAAAUUUUCUUUGACCAUUAUUAGUGAAUUAAAUAAACCUAAUUGACUCAUAUAAAUAAUUUGAACCAUCGUGCACUGCCAUGAGACAUGAAUUACUUUCUAGUUAGUCUAAAUGUUGUAUUAAUUUCUUUUAACUUUUGGUUGAGCUUUCGGGUACAAACUAAAUAAAUAAGAAAGACUACAAAAAUAUAAAGAGAUGUCCUCUUUGCAGUGGCGUAGGUUGGGGUUAGCAAGGCACGGCUCUCUUAAAAUAGAAAAUUCCUAUUACAUCUUACACAUUUAUGUUCUCCCUCUCCAUCCAUCUUCAUAUUCAAUAUUCAUUUCAUGCAUAUCCUUCUUCAUAUUCAGUAUUCAUUUGAUGCAUUUCUCGUUGGUUGACAUAUUACAUAUUUCUCAACUUCUUGUAUUCCAUUGAUACGAACCAGGCUCUCUAAAUAAGAAUGAAGGGAGAUGGCGAAACGAAGAUGAUCUAGAUCAGUAUUAAUCUCAAGCUUCUUAAGCUCUUGGGUGGAGGCGUCAAAUAGGAGUACUUCAUCAUUUGUGUCUCUAAGAAACAAGUCACUAUUUUUUCCAAAUCCCAUUAAUGGGUGUACAACUCCAGAAAUGGAUUUAAUAUUGAAUUGUUUAGUCCACACUCCUUCACUUGUAACCCAUAAAUCACAAGACGUGUCAAUUCUUUCCGUUGGGUAAACAAUAGCACCAAGUGAUCCAUUAAACACCAAUAGAUCAACAUAGUAUUCUGGGAAAGACCCAACGAAUUCUGGGAUAGGUAAAACUGAGAACUUGUCAUUCCUCAUGUCAAAUGAAAGAAUUAGUCCUCUAAAAUCAAGAUAUGCCCCUGUCUCUGUUUUCCAAUAGCAAAUUCCGUCUACAUAAUUAUUUCCCAAAGUUUUUCCAUUUGGAUUAUAAUCAGGAUAUGGAAUUUCCUUCCAGGAAUUACUUCUAAGAGAAUACAACUCAACUUGGUAUAUAAAAUCAGGAUGUGCAUAUUCUUCUUCACUAUUAACAAAAGUAAGAGUAACGAAUCGUAUGAAUUUGUAGUCAUCAGUUUUAGAAUCAAAGCCAAAAGCAGCGUGGUCAAAAGAAACGCCGUCUAAAGUAAGGUAGGUUUCUUCGAAUGGGGAAAAAUAUGGAGGGCGUUGGAUUGAAGAUGGUGGAAGGAUUUUAAACUCUCUAUUUGAUGGGUUCCAAAUGGCAGCCUUAUCCUUUGAAGGAUCAAAUAAACACAAUAAUCCAUGACAAGCACCAUAAAUAGAGGGGAUAUCAUUCCUAAAAAAGGGCAAGUGAAUGUUUUGUUUUACCAUAUAAUUUUGAUAUUUUUCAUUUGAAAGUUGAGAGAAAUAAAGUUGGAAGGUGUUACCAUCACAGCGACUAAGAAGUAGAUUAAGGUGGUUGUUUUCAAGGUUGUUGUGAUAAUUAUUGGAAAUGAAAUGAGGAGUUUGAAAAGAAGAACACCAAUACUUACAAACAUAAAUACUUGAGUCUCAAAAUAAGCACUAGCUCAAUAAAACACAUAUGAUAAUUUAGAUUACUGUAAUAAAACACAUAUUGAUAAUCCAGAUAUUACAUUAACAUUUUUAAACAUAUAUGAGACAAUUGUGGCAAAGCUAGCUAUGGAAAUUCUAUGGUAUUGGAUCCACUAUUGCACGGGCUGUAAAAUAAGUUGGAACAAUUUUGAGGCCUUCCAAAGGUACCGGAUGGCCCCGGUCUUCCAUAACAGAUAAACAACUCCUUGAGUAGUAGAACAUUAGUUCUUUGGUGUUUACUACAUGAGAUUUGCGGAGAUGCUCCUAUAAGUUGGAAAACUAUAUCCGCAACUUGUCGGACCGUAUAGGUAGAUCUACGUGUGAGUCCCAUAGCUAAAUCCCAAAAUUCAUUAAAACAAAUAAGAGACAAUAAAGUAUAUUAAACACAAAUAGGAAUGUGAAGGGAAAAUAAAAACAAUUUAUGCGAUAUACCUGAAUUUAAAUUUGUCCUAAGUUGUAUGGCCGAUUGGAAGUAUGACAGAGGAUGUUGUGCAAAGUCGGAAUAUGUGCCAUGUUCCAUCCAUUCGUGGAACCAAAAUUUAAUGUUUGGCUCUCCCAAAUUCAAGUUCGGCCAUUGUGAGCGCAAGUUGUUCCAAAGUGCUGCAUCCCUUAUUAACAAUUGCUUUUAAAUAAGAAACAAAAAAUUUUAUUAGAUUAUAGAUAAAUUACUUAAUAGUUUCAGGCGAAGAAUGUACGUAUGCAUACUCUGAGAGCUAAUUGUGAUGUCAUAGGUUGUGGAUUGGUGCAGCGAUGAUUUGUAUCAUAUGGGGGCACCGGCCUGUCAUGAGCAUCUUGUGCCCAAAUUCCAUGUAUUUUGAAUUCAGUUGGGAUUGGGAGUUUACAGUUGAGAGUAGAGCUACAAACAGAUGGAGGCCAUUGAAGUGCCAGCUUGUAGAAGUCCGGAAUUGCUGGUUGCUGGGGUACUGCAAAUGCUACCCAUAAUGAAAAAUUGAUACAAUGCAUUUUUACAAAUUUACAAAUAAAAAGAAAACUACAUUUAUAAAUAUUACAUGCAUGGAUGGUUGGGCUGAGAUUGGAUGAUUGUGCUUUGCGAGUAGCUGGUUUAUGAUCUCCUUUAUAAGCUUGGCACACAUAUUUCACAAAAUUUUCAAAGUCCUGCAACCAUGAAAUAAAUAUUGAAGUUACUUAUCCCAAAGUGUUACUUCACAAUCACACCAAGAGAGAAAUAAACAAACUCACUUGUCUGAGUGGCUGAUUAUUCACCACCACCCAUGGCACAUAUUCUUGAGGUGGCUUCAUAUGUGCAGUCACAUUAGAAUAUUGCAGCUGAAGCCGCAAUUCAUUAAUUUGGAAAUUCAAUGUUAGAAAAAGCAAAGGAGAGUUAAUUAAAUACUAAGACAUGCAGCCAACCUUAUAUCCGAAUCCAGUAGUAUAGCAUUUGUUGAUUAUCUCCUCAUUCAAUCUCAGCUUUUCACUACAAUAUUUCCACAGUGCUUCAAUGGGCGCCUCCUUUAAGCUUUGUUGCUCUGUGCAGCGAAUGAAUUCCAAGUGCUCUUUCUACACCACAGGAGAGUAAUUAAACAAGAGUUGGAGAUGAGAACAAAUACUUAUGGCUAAUAGAAGUUACUGCAUCAGGCCAUAAAUGGAUGACAACUAUGUAUAGUGUUUAAGUGACGUUCUUCUUCUCCAUGUUGCACAUUGUUGCAAAAACUAUAAUUAGUUAUAACACCAAAAAGAAAUUGAACUUCAUUAGUUAAUAAUGAUAAUACAUUAAAAUGAAGAACGGAGUUGUAAACCUGGCAAUGGAUUUCAGCAUUGCCCCAAGGGACCAAUCUUAGAUUGGUAAUGGUAUGGAGGUCAGUGCGGAAGACCUUGAGUAGGCCAUUGGAGAUAAGCGAGAAUAUUGCAAGAGCAGCCAGAAUAUAGAAGAUUAAUGGUUGAAGAUAAGCCAUUGUUUCAGUGGUAGCUUUUGAACAAUGCUAGACGUCAAUUGUGCAAGGCUUCUUAUAGUUGAGAAUUGGGAUGAUGAAUAUUGCUUUCUGUCACUUUCAGAAACCAUGAGACAAAUUUACAAAGUUAUCAUCUUUAAAAAACAAUUAUACACCACUUUAAAAAAAAAUUAUUUACAUGAAAGAUUGUUUAUCUAUUUAUGUAUGAAUAUUGUCUAAACAUGAAAGGAGAAGUCUUAUUAGAUAACAGAGUUUUAUAAUUGAAAUUAAGUUGGCCUUCUAAAAUGCUCUUAGACCAUUAUUAGUGAAUUAAAUAAACCUACUUGGCUCAUAUAAAUAAUUUGAACCAUCGUGCAGUACCAUGAGACAAGAAUCUACUUAGUCUAAAUGUUGUAUUAAUUAACCAUUAAUGAAUAUUAAUGGUAAAAAGUCAGUAUGUAAGUCCUUGUCAUAAUAAAGAUAAAAGAAAAUUACUUUGGCACCACCUCUCAUUAAUUCAUAAUAUUUGUGUGAAUGUUUAUUAAUCUUCACAAAGGAUGGACUUCUUUAAUUAUGAACAAUUCUAAGUGCUUGUCAAUUCUUAUUAUGAAGUCAUUCUUUAAUAUAAAUUAUAUAUUAGUCUUCAUAUAGCUUUUCUUUUCUGCAGUCAUCGUAUUAAGCGACUUCGAGGAAAACGAUGAAGAAACAGUGGAUACUUGAUGGAAGAGAGUAAUGAUAAUAAUCCACCACAUUCAAGUCUUGAAUUGAAUAAUAUAAUUCAAUUAUACAAAUCUCAUAUUGUUAAAGUGAAUUUUUGAGAUUCUUGUCUAUAAGUCAUUAUACUUCAUUAAGUUAAUAAAAAUUAAGUUUAGACCGUGAACUUGUGGCCUACAAGGCUAAUGCAAUUUACAUCCAAGUCCUUUUUGUUUUUAAAAUUAUUUUUUACUGAAUCUUUUAGAAAACUUCUUAACCUGUAAAAGUAUUUUAAUCGACUGAAGCUAUUUUCAGUUAAGUUCAUAUUAACCUUUUUCAAACUGUUUUUAGCUAAUUCAAUUAACUUACUUUUGUUAUGGUUAACCAGUGAAAUUUUUAUAAAUACACCUUCAAAAUUCCCAAUUUAUUCUUUACAUUCUCUUUCAGACACUCCUUGUUUCCUCAAAAGCUUUCUUCUACAAUUUUAGCCGAGUAUUUAUUUGGUUUGUUUUUCCUACCGAUUAAUAGAAUUGUUUGUUGAAGUCACGAAAUAUUUGUAAGGACAAUGAUAUUCACACUUCAAACAGUAAUUCUAAUAUUCUAAACCUCCUAUUUCUAACCAUUCCAAGGAUAAAAAUUAGAUAUAAAUGAUUUUCUCCUUUUAUUAUGUUGAAUUUAAUUACAGAACAAAUUUAAAGGAAAAUGAGUCGGGUGUUCAAAUUCUUUUAAUUUAUUUUAAGACUAAUCAUGUUUGAAGAGGCAUGAAUAUUUUUCCCAAAUUUCAAGACUUUGAUUUGAAAAUUACAAGAACUAGUUCGCAAAAAGGUAUGAAGUGAAUAAAACAUAGAUAUAAUGACCCUAAUGUUUUUUUUUCAUUUUUAUUAUAUAUUUUUAUUAUUUUCAAUCUUCAAAUUCUAAUCAAAUUAUUAUUUUUUAUAAAAAAUUAUCUAGAUUGCUAAAAUUUUAAUAAUGUUGAUGUUGUGACCUAGGUGACACUCCACUUAUACUUCAACGUUGAUGCGAUUUAAAAAAAAAAUUGAACUUUUAAUAUUUUAUGUAUUUUUUUUUUUGUAAAGUACAUAUUGUUGACACCAUUUUUUUGGAUGGAAAACGGGGUCGACUUGGGUUUUAAAAAAUGAAACGAAAACGGGAGUCGUCACCAAUCCUUUUUUAUAAGGUGUGACUGGAUCACCUCGAAAAGUGGUUAUUUUUAAUAAAAGGUUUGAUUUUAUUAAAACAACAAGUUUGGUCCACGAAAUUCAGAAAAAACGGGUUCGGGAGUCGGUUACGCACGAGGAAGGAUUAGCACCCUCGAUACGCCCAAAAUUGGUACCUAGUUGAUCACUCAAGGUCUGCAUGUCGGAAAUUGAAAACUUUAAAGAAAUUUAAAAUACGAUCCUUAAAAAAACUUGAAUGGCAUGGAUUAAAAUUUAAGAGGAUAUUUGGCAAUUUGGUUAAACGAGAAAUCGAAACCCAGCACAUUAGGGCACGUUCCUCGAAUUUCCGAAGGCAAAACAUUGCCUUAUUUUGAAAUAUAUAUAUAUUUUAAAAAGGAUAUUAAGCCAUUUGGUUGAACGAGAAAAAUCAACACCCAGCACCUUAGGGCGUGUUUUCUCGAAUUUCCAAACGCAAAACAUUGCCAUAUUUUGAAAUUUUUUAAAGGAUAUUAAGCCAUUUGGUUGAAUGAGAAAAUCGACACCCAGCACCUUAGGGCGUGUUUUUCUCGAAUUUCCAAACGCAAAACAUUGCCUUAUUUAGGAAUAUUUUCCUUUUUUAAAAUAUGAUAUUAAUAUGCAGAGUGGAAUAAUAAAUAUGAUAGUGUGAAAUAAAAAUGAACAAAAAUAAAUAAUAAAACAAAUCAAUCAUGCAUAUAUCAUAGCAAAUAAAUAAAUAAACUAAAGCAUAAAGAUGGACAUAUAAAUGAAUACAUAAGUGAACAUAAAAUUAAAGGAAAAUAUAUGAAAAUUAUAAAAUAUAAAAAAGGUAGGUACAUAUGAGGGAAAUAUGUAUGUAUAUACAUAAAAUUAUGGAAAUAUAAAAGAUGUGUAUAUAAAAGUAUGUAUAUAUGUGUAUACUUUUUAUAAAAGAGAACUAUGUACGUAUAAAUAUGUUAUAUAAAUGUAUUAACGUGUGUAUAUAUAUAUAUAUACUUUGAAAUUAUAAAAUAAAAACAUAUGUACAUAUUUUAAAAUUAUUAUAUAAAAUAUAUAUAUAUAAGUAAGUAUAUACAUAUUCGUGAGAAAAAAAUAUAAAUAUACAUAUAUAUAAAUAUAUAUAUAAUGAGUACUUAUGUAUGUAUAAAAAAAUAAAAAAUAUAUAUACAUAUAUAUAUAUGUAAGCAAUUAUAUAAUAAUAAUAUAAUAUGUCACAUAUAUCUAAGAUUUAUAUAAGUAAAUAUAAGUAUAAAUAUAAUGAUAGUAAUAAGAAUAUUAGUAAUAAUACUAAUAAUAAUAAUAAUAAUAAAACUACUGAAAAAAGGACUAAAUCGAAAUAAAAUAAAAAUACUGGGCGAAUUUGAAAUAAAAAAGACGAAAAGGACCAAAAUGUGACGCGCGAGAAAGGACGGAGGGCCAAAUGGGAAAUAAUCCCCAUCCUCCAAAACGCGCAGGUUCAAUAGGGACCAAACUGGAAAGCAAAACAAAUUAAUGGUGCCAAAUUAAAACACAAAACGAAAAGCCAAAGGAGUAAAUUGAAAGAGGGUGACAAUGUGAAAGUACUCGCAGCGCAAAUAGCCCAUAAGGCGCAAAAACACGCGGACCUUGGCCGCGGGUCGGGUUGAGAUUCGGGUAAGGGCAAAACGACGUCGUUUUGGGGCCUUUCUGACCCUUCCAAAACGGCGCCGUUUUGGAUUCCUAUAUAAGUAAAAAAACCCCUAAAAAAAAUCAUUUCAUCCCUCUUUUUAAAAAAAAAAUUUUCAGAAAACUCUCCCUUCUCUCCCUUUCAGCCCAGACUCCGCUCAACAUCCGGCGAGUGCUCCGGCUAUCGGCGCCGUCGCGCCGGCCACCGUACACGGUGGCCAGAAAUCCAAAAAAUGUAUUUUUUUGCUUUUUUUUUUACGUUUAUUCGUUUUAUAUAUGUAAAAUAAAAGAAAUAAAAUCGAAUACAAUCAGUUUCGAAAGGAAGAAAAAUAAAAAGGAAAUGAGGAAAGGGAAUAGAUCUUAUACCGAAAANNNNNNNNNNNNNNNNNNNNNNNNNNNNNNNNNNNNNNNNNNNNNNNNNNNNNNNNNNNNNNNNNNNNNNNNNNNNNNNNNNNNNNNNNNNNNNNNNNNNNNNNNNNNNUUUUUGUUCUUUGCGUGUCUUCUCCCCUUGCAGGUGGAGUCGGUGGCGACGUGACGUGACGGAGGCGUGUGAGGCGCAGUGGCAGGUGGGCAUAGUAGGGUAGGGCGGCGGCAGAGGCUAGAAGAGACCUGAAGGCCCUAGGUACGGCGCCUAGGGUUUUUUCUUUCAUUUUGUUUGGAUGAAAAUGUUUAGUUUUGGGCUUAGGGUUUCAGUUUGGUAGUGGGCUGGUAUUGUAAUGUGGGCUUGUGGGUUGUAAUUGGGUAUUGGGUCUUUUAUUUAUAAUGGGCCCCGGGCAAAUUUGGGCUUUUACAGCUGCCCCUCUUUGCUCGUUGUUAUGUAACGAGAACAGAGCAAAGACUAAGAAAGACCAAAUUUGCCUGGUCUUGCCGAGCCUCGACUUCUCUUGACACUUCUUUUCAAGUAGCUUCGUUCCAGUCCAUUGUGUCUUGUCACUUCAAUCCACUCUACUGCGCUUUAGGGAAAUCUGACUUGUAGCUUCAAUCUUCUUCGCAGCAACUUCAGGGGGACGAGAUUUGUGGUUUAAGUCUAUUCCACUACAACGUCAGGGAGAUAAGACUUGCUGUGAUCUGCUCCACUACUGCUUAGGGAGAUAAGACUUGAUGCGAUCUGCUCCACUACUGCUUAGGGAGAUAAGAUCUGGUUUCUUUCGUCUGCUCCACUACUGCUUAGGGAGAUAAUACUUGAUGCGAUCUGCUCCACUACUACUUAGGGAGAUAAGAUCUGGUUUCUUUCGUCUGCUCCACUACUGCUUAGGGAGAUAAGAUCUGUGGUUUUAAUCCGCUCCGCUGUAACUUCAGGGAGAUAGGAUAGUGUCUUCGAUCUACUCUGCUGUAACCUCAGGGGGAUAAGAUCUGAAAUUCUUCGGUCUACUCUACUGUAACCUCAAGGAGAUAAGACCUGGUGCGAUCUGCUCUAUUGUAACUUCAGAGAGAUAAGAUCCUUUAUUUUAAUUCGCUCCACUAUAACUUCAGGGAGAUAGGAUUAUGUCUUCAAUCUGCUCCGCUGUAACCUCAGGGAGAUAAGAUCUGAAAGUCUUCGGUCUACUCCACUGUAACCUCAGGGAGAUAAGACCUGGUGCGAUCUGCUCUACUGUAACUUCAGAGAGAUAAGAUCCUUUAUUUUAAUCCGCUCCACUGUAACUUCAGGGAGAUAGGAUUAUGUCUUCGAUCUGCUCCGCUGUAACCUCAGGGAGAUAAGAUCUGAAAGUCUUCGGUCUACUCCACUGUAACCUCAGGGAGAUAAGACCUGAUGCGAUCUACUCUACUGUAACUUCAGAGAGAUAAGAUCCUGUCUUCGAUCUGCUCCGCUGUAACCUCAGGGAGAUAAGAUCUGAAAGUCUUCGGUCUACUCUACUGUAACCUCAGGGAGAUAAGACCUGGUGUGAUCUGCUCUACUGUAACUUCAGAGAGAUAAGAUCCUUUAUUUUAAUCCGCUCCACUGUAACUUCAGGGAGAUAGGAUUAUGUCUUCGAUCUGCUCCGCUGUAACCUCAGGGAGAUAAGAUCUGAAAGUCUUCGGUCUACUCUACUGUAACCUCAGGGAGAUAAGACCUGGUGUGAUCUACUCUACUGUAACUUCAGAGAGAUAAGAUCCUUUAUUUUAAUCCGCUCCACUGUAACUUCAGGGAGAUAGGAUUAUGUCUUCGAUCUGCUCCGCUGUAACCUCAGGGAGAUAAGAUCUAAAAGUCUUCGGUCUACUCUAUUGUAACCUCAGGGAGAUAAGACCUGGUGUGAUCUGCUCUACUGUAACUUCAGAGAGAUAAGAUCCUUUAUUUUAAUCCGCUCCACUGUAACUUCAGAGAGAUAGGAUUAUGUCUUCGAUCUGCUCCGCUGUAACCUCAGGGAGAUAAGAUCUGAAAGUCUUCGGUCAACUCUUACUGUAACCUCAGGGAGAUAAGACCUGAUGCGAUCUACUCUACUGUAACUUCAGAGAGAUAAGAUCCUGUCUUCGAUCUGUUCCGCUGUAACCUCAGGGAGAUAAGAUCUGAAAGUCUUCGGUCUACUCCACUGUAACCUCAGGGAGAUAAGACCUGACGCGAUCUACUCUGCUGUAACUUCAGAGAGAUAAGAUCCUUCAUUUUAAUCCACUCCACUAUAAUCUCAGGGAGAUAGGAUUACUAACUUUAAUCUGCUCCGCUGUAAUCUCAGGGAGAUAAGAUCUGAAAUUCUUCAGCCAGCUUCACUACAACCGAGAGAGGUAAGGUUCGUCUUCGACCUGUUUCACUGUCAAUGCAAGAAGGCAAGAUCUGUUGUCUUCAACCAGCUCCAUCACAACCGAGGAAGGCAAGGUUUGUGUCUUCGACCGGCUUCGCUGUCAAUGCAGGAAGGCAAGAUCUUUUGUCUUCAACCAGCUCCAUCACAACCGAGAGAGGUAAGGUUUGUGUCUUUGACCUGUUUCGCCGUCAAUGCAGGAAGGCAAGAUCUUUUGUCUUCAACCAGCUCCAUCACAACCGAGAGCGGCAAGGUUUGUGUCUUUGACCUGCUUCGCCGUCAAUGCAGGAAGGCAAGAUCUUUUGUCUUUAACCAGCUCCACUGCAACCAAUGAAGGCAAGGCUUUGUUUUCGAUCUGCUUUGCUGUUAACGCAGGAAGGCAAGAUCUGCUUAUUUAACCAGCUCCACUGUAACCAAUGAAGGCAAGGCUUUGUUUUCGAUCUGCUUCGCUGUUAACGCAGGGAGGCAAGAUCUGCUUCUUCACUGAUCUGUUCUCUAGGGAACAUGACCUGUAUGUUCUAUUUUAUGAACCUAAUUGUGCCUAGUGAUUAGGAUGACAUGAAAAUGCUCCUAACUAGAUGUGUAUGAAUGACAUUUGAAUGAAUGCAAAAUGAAAAUGGUUCCUUAAUGCUUAGGUUAUCAUCACGUAAAAGCUUAUUAAGGCUUUAUCACUGACGCGCUACAACGCCUUCUUGCUCGGCAGGCGUAUCCAAACAAACACUUAAUUUGAAUGGCCCCCAGUGUGAUCUUCAAACUUCAAUCCACUGGGAUGCAAAAUUUGUACCAUCAUUCUCCCACUGUAAUCCAAGAGUAGAAAGAUAUGGCUUUUCUCGAUCUUCUCCUAUCGCAAUUUAAGGACAUAGAAUGUGAAGCUCUUUGGUCCUUUACCUCAUUCCCAAGGUGUCAUACCAAAUGCUCAUACACAAUUGCAAAAUUUUAUUCUCCAAGAAAACCUUUUCUUUUUGCCUGGUGAACAUCACUUGUUGGUUCAUUGAAGCUUUGCUACCAACACGUCAUCUUGUCAUUUUGCUCAAUCAAUGUUUGGACAACAAAAUCUGAAAAGAUAGUCUUUAACUUAGACUCUUCCUUCUUAGAUAUUUCACCCUUUAAACUUGGUGUUUUCUAAACAAUAGCUCUGCCUCAGGUUCCUAUAUUAUUUAGAAACUUCUAGAGUAAUAUGCAAAACUUCCAUUGUGAAAGUGUUAUUAGUCCAUUAAUCAUUAUUCUAAUGCAACAUGCUUGCAAAGAGAACAUAACGAUAGAUAAAAUAGAAUUGAUUUGAGAGCAUAGCUCGAAAUGAAUGAAUUAUCAAGGGUAGUAAGAAUAAAAGAGGAAUUGAUUGGAAUACGUAUCUUGAAAAAGAAUGAAGUAUUCCAAGAACAACAACAAACUCAAUAUAUAAAUAGUAUGAAUGUUAGGCACCCUAGAUAUCGCAGCUUGAACUCCUCUGUACAAACUUUCUGAAGAUUUUCCUGAGUUUGACAUGUGUUUAGGAGAUCUACAUGACUCUGUCGAUGCCCCAAGACGUUUCCUUACCCUUUCAGGUAUAGCAAGAUCACCACAUGCCCCGAUCUGAUCACUUCAUGCCCUAUUCUGAUCAAUAUUUGAGCCGCCCUUCGGGUUUUCAACUCAAAUCCCUUUUGGCCUAAGGUGCCCUUUGCGGGUUUUCCCCUUAGCCUCUCUAUUUUUACUUUUUUAUUUUUUCAUUUUUCAUCAUUUUUUUUGUUUGACUCAAAGUACCCUUUGCAGGUUCUCACCUUGGUCCUUCCUUCUUCUUUAAAUGAAGUGUUUCUCAAUUGGAUCUGAGUUUAUAGGAUUGACAAUCUCACUCAGGAUCAGUGCUCCUCUGAAAAUGGUCUUCUUUACAACAUAAGGACAUUCUUGGUUUGGCAUUCAUUUCGCUUUAGAAUCCUUUCGUUAAGGAAGAAUCUUUUUCAACAUCCAACCCUCUCGUGGAAUUCUUUGAGACCAGCCUGUUUAUUAUGGGCUCAUAUUAUUUAUUUAUGGUACAUCCGACCCUGAUGAAUAGCUUUUAACCCUUUUCCUAGGGUCAACUGAUCACAUCGCGAUUGGGUCCCUCCAACAAGUAAUGAAGGGAUUUUAAUAGGUAAAACUACCUCAUUCUUGUAAACCAAAAAGAGAGGUGUUGCCCCAGUACAGAUGUUCGACAAACAAUGAGGGCAUAUGGUAAUUUCUCACGUCAAUCCUUGUAAGUCUCAGUCAUUUUCCUUCAAUUUUCGAUGUUUAACUCUAGGAACUUCAGUGACGAAUCAUGGUGUCCACUUCUGAGUUAAUUUGAGACCUCAGCUAUCAUGCUAUUGUUUAAGCUCAAAGCAUUCUCCAACACCAUCCUCACUGAAAUUCUGUAUCAGUAUAAAAUGACCUUGAUCCAUGCAGUAGCCUCUAAAAAAUGAAGCAAUGCCCAUCAGAAGUCUUCGAUAAUGGUGAUGUCCAUGCCCUAUUUUGCUCAAAAUUUGAGUCACCUUUUUUCGGGUUUUCAACUCAGAUCCACCUUUGGUCAAAGCGCCUUUUGCGGGUUUUCGCCUUGACCUCUCCUUUUUCUUUUUCUUUUUCUUUUUCUUUUUCUUUUUUCUAUUUUUGACUUUGAUUUUUUUAUUUUUGUUUUUCUUUUGAUUUUUUGAUUUUUUGAUUUUUUGAUUUUUUUUUUGAGUCUGAACUCAUGAGAUCAGGCAAGUCCUGGUCAUGUUUUUCGACCAGAAUCAAUGUUAUUCUAAAGUCUUCCACAUAAGAUCUUCCACUUUCAUCUUGUAUGUGAAAAACCUUCUUUGGUACCAGAUUUUUUUCAUAGAGCCCUUUUGGGACGCAACUACGACAAAACUUUGGAUCUUCCUCUUUAACCAGGAUAAAAUCCAACAACAUCUUGAAAGGAUGGAAACUCAACUUCAAAUGGGCAAAGCUAUGCUGAAUCAAUGAGAGAGGCAUUGCCCCGGCAAAGAAUUGCAUCGUUCGCACUGUAAAUUUCUAACAACAUGCUGUUGUGCAGGUUUUAUUAUAAGAAUCGAGGCAUACCCUGGUAUGAUCAUACAAAGNNNNNNNNNNNNNNNNNNNNNNNNNNNNNNNNNNNNNNNNNNNNNNNNNNNNNNNNNNNNNNNNNNNNNNNNNNNNNNNNNNNNNNNNNNNNNNNNNNNNUAACUCAAAAAGGUCUUGCUUCGCCUCUGUGGUCAGGUCAAUUCUAGUCUUCACCAAGCUCACAAUUUCUAAUGAUUCCUUGAGAGGUAGGAUCUGUUUAUCCUCUUGUUCUACCAUCCUCAACAAGUCUGGGGAUAGGCUACAAUCUAUGUCAUCUUCAAAGUCGUAAGAUCCCUCUAAACACAUGUCUCGCUCAAAAGGAGAUUCUAAGUAUGUAGCAAAGUCAUUCACGUCGUUGAUAUCCAGGGACCUACUGUAGGUACAAAAGAAUAUACAAAGAAUGUAUGAAUUUAAGAAUAAUUAUCUGCACAGUAUGAUUAAAAAAAUGAUUUGGAUGAAAGAAUAAAAGAAUAAUCAUUCAAGAAAUGAAAGAAUAUUGGUUCAAAAGAUCGCAAAGAUGCAUUCCAUUAAAAUAAUGAUGUUCAGACAUGAGCCUAUUUCACAAAAGACUUCUUGUUGCCUCUAGGCUAAAAGCAACAAGUGUGUUUUGAAUAUUACUCUGAGUAAGCUCUAAAUACUAUAGGGGUUCCUUUAGAACACUCCCAAGUUUAUAAGGGCGAACAUCUAAUAAGAUCUCUUCUCCGAUUGCUUCUUCGUAUUCGGCACUGAUGUGAACGUUUCCCAACAUCUCUUCAUUCAUGCAUUCCUUUCAUUAUCCGUAUGAUUGAGUAGCGGGUUUUCUGUACUAGAUAAAUCGUCCAAUUUGACAAUGCCUAUACUGAUAAGCCUUUCAACCACCUUUUUAAAGGCAAUGCAAUUUUCUAUGGAAUGCCCCGUAUUUCCCGCAUAAUAUUCGCAUUGUGCAUUCGCAUCGUGCCAUUUGGGGUACGGAGGCUGUGGAGGUUUUGAGUAGAAAGGGGAAACGAUGUGCGCAUCGAAUAACUUUUAGUACAGCUCCUUAUACGUCAUUGGAAUUGGCGUGAACUGGAGGUUCUCAGUACCUUGUUUCACCUCAGAUUCUUACUUUAAAGGACUCCGACGUCUGGUAGUUUCUGUUUUUGAUCGGUCCACAGUGAUUGGUUUUGAGUGGCCCUUGUUAUAUAUAUUCGCAUUAUUCCCCCUAUUCCCCUUCUUCUUUGGGGCCUCUAUAAUAUCUGGGUACCCUGCCCCUACCUGCUUCAUUUCUUCUGGAUCAUCACGUGCAACAAGAAAAUUAUUCCUCAAAUUGGAUCUUAGGCCCGUCAAGCCACUUACUGGUGCUAUUGUACUAGUCUGAUAUUGUUGAGAUCUUAUGGUAAAGAGUGCCCCUUGUGGACGCCCAUCCGGCUGGACUUGGACACUUGUCGGAGUAUAAUCUAGGGAAUGGGCAAGAUCAUUAUUAUCAACCCCAAAGUGGACCACUGGGUCCUUCCUUUUUUCUAACUCUCCAGCUGGCAGUCGGUUGAACUGACUCAUCAAGGUUCUUUGUAAUUCUAGCAUCUGAUCUCUCAUCUCCUGUUGAAAUUCAGUCAAUUGCUCCCGCAUCUGAAUCUGCAUUCACUCUAAUAUCUCCAACCUUUGGUCCAUUCCUUAGUUUCUAUUCGGGUACUGCAAAAAUGUUGGUUUUCCAGACUUUCUGAAAUAAUUUUACCUAAUUAGGGUCACUUCGUGAAAAUCUAAUGCAUGUGAUACAAUGUAAUGCAAAUGCAUGAAAUGAAUGCCUAAAGAGACGUUGAUUCUGAUUCAAUUAUAUUUAGGAAACUUUUCUAGAAAGUAAAUUCCCUUACAUAAAACGGAUACAUGUACGACCUCACCCUCAUAUUCCAAGAAACAACAUCGGUUUUUUCUUCAUCCACAUGUUUGAGGUAAUCUCUCCAAUAGAUGCCAUUGCUAGCUCAUUUUCUUGAUCUUGGUCGCGAUCCAUCAUCUGCCCAUCUUCAUAAAGCUCGUCCGCCUCUUUAAAGGGGUGGAAUGUUGAAGGCUCUUAGAUAAUUGCCUUGAAUCCUCAGGCUACGAAGCAGGGUCACGAACUCUUCCAUCGCCAUUCUUGUGUUUCUCAGAAUAUAUUCGGGAAGUCGUAUUGUUUUCCACUUUAUCAAGGAAUCCGUAUUCCAUGACAAACUUUCUAAUUUAGUAAUCGGACUUGAAUCAAUAUCUCUUUCCUAAGAUGCAAAUGCGAUGCAAUCAUAAUCAAAGCACAAAAAGAGGGGUUAGUACAAAAAUAAACAAGGAAAACAGAAAGUACCUAAUCGGGUGACUACUAGGGGUUUGGAGUGGCUCUAUCUAGGCUAAGUUCCUAAGUCCACUAUAUGAGGUUUGGCUCUAAAGAUAAGGUACCCGAACUAGCAGAUUCCUCGAUCUUCACCCAUUAUAGGUUCAUACAGACCGAGUUCGGUUCAGGGGAAUACAUUUCCCUAUGGCUGCACGGAGAUGAAAAUCUCACGAAGACAUAGGUACGGAUGUAUCCCGAAAGCGAUCCACUAUCCUGCACGGAGGUGAAAACCUCACGAAGGAGUAGCUUCUCACUCCCACUUAAAAGGUGUGACCAGCAGUCAUGCAAUGCAAUGCAGAAAGAUAUAAAAAUUUAAAAUACAAAACAUGAUGAAAACUAUAACUCAAAACAAAUGAAAUGCAAUGAGAGGAUCGUAUAUUUAAAUCAAAUUUUUGACUUUCGACAAAAAGACAAAAAGUAAUCAACUCGUGGCUUGACUCUCUUAUUUUUGGGUCCCCAGCGGAGUCGCCAAGCUGUUGACACCAUUUUUUUGGAUGGAAAACGGGGUCGACUUGGGUUUUAAAAAAUGAAACAAAAACGGGAGUCGCCACCAAUCCUUUUUUAUAAGGUGUGAUUGGAUCACCUCGAAAAGUGGUUAUUUUUAAUAAAAGGUUUGAUUUUAUUAAAACAACAAGUUUGGUCCACGAAAUUCAGAAAAAAUGGGUUCGGGAGUCGGUUACGCACGAGGAAGGAUUAGCACCCUCGAUACGCCCAAAAUUGGUACCUAGUUGAUCACUCAAGGUCUGCAUGUCGGAAAUUGAAAACUUUAAAGAAAUUUAAAAUACGAUCCUUAAAAAAACUUGAAUGGCAUGGAUUAAAAUUUAAGAGGAUAUUUGGCAAUUUGGUUAAACGAGAAAUCGAAACCCAGCACAUUAGGGCACGUUCCUCGAAUUUCCGAAGGCAAAACAUUGCCUUAUUUUGAAAUAUAUAUAUAUAUUUUAAAAAGGAUAUUAAGUCAUUUGGUUGAACGAGAAAAAUCAACACCCAGCACCUUAGGGCGUGUUUUCUCGAAUUUCCAAACGCAAAACAUUGCCAUAUUUUGAAAUUUUUUAAAGGAUAUUAAGCCAUUUGGUUGAAUGAGAAAAAUCGACACCCAGCACCUUAGGGCGUGUUUUCUCGAAUUUCCAAACGCAAAAUAUUGCCUUAUUUAGGAAUAUUUUCCUUUUUUAAAAUAUGAUAUUAAUAUGCAGAGUGGAAUAAUAAAUAUGAUAGUGUGAAAUAAAAAUGAACAAAAAUAAAUAAUAAAACAAAUCAAUCAUGCAUAUAUCAUAGCAAAUAAAUAAAUAAACUAAAGCAUAAAGAUGGACAUAUAAAUGAAUACAUAAGUGAACAUAAAAUUAAAGGAAAAUAUAUGAAAAUUAUAAAAUAUAAAAAAGGUAGGUACAUAUGAGGGAAAUAUGUAUGUAUAUACAUAAAAUUAUGGAAAUAUAAAAGAUGUGUAUAUAAAAGUAUGUAUAUAUGUGUAUACUUUUUAUAAAAGAGAACUAUGUACGUAUAAAUAUGUUAUAUAAAUGUAUUAACGUGUGUAUAUAUAUAUAUAUACUUUGAAAUUAUAAAAUAAAAACAUAUGUACAUAUUUUAAAAUUAUUAUAUAAAAUAUAUAUAUAUAAGUAAGUAUAUACAUAUUCGUGAGAAAAAAAUAUAAAUAUACAUAUAUAUAAAUAUAUAUAAUGAGUAUUUAUGUAUGUAUAAAAAAAUAAAAAAUAUAUAUACAUAUAUAUAUGUAAGCAAUUAUAUAAUAAUAAUAUAAUAUGUCACAUAUAUCUAAGAUUUAUAUAAGUAAAUAUAAGUAUAAAUAUAAUGAUAGUAAUAAGAAUAUUAGUAAUAAUACUAAUAAUAAUAAUAAUAAUAAAACUACUGAAAAAAGGACUAAAUCGAACUACUGAAAAAAGGACUAAAUCGAAAUAAAAUAAAAAUACUGGGCGAAUUUGAAAUAAAAAAGACGAAAAGGACCAAAUGGGAAAUAAUCCCCAUCCUCAAACGCGCAGGUUCAUAGGACCAAACGAAAAGCCAAAGGAGUNNNNNNNNNNNNNNNNNNNNNNNNNNNNNNNNNNNNNNNNNNNNNNNNNNNNNNNNNNNNNNNNNNNNNNNNNNNNNNNNNNNNNNNNNNNNNNNNNNNNNNNNNNNNNNNNNNNNNNNNNNNNNNNNNNNNNNNNNNNNNNNNNNNNNNNNNNNNNNNNNNNNNNNNNNNNNNNNNNNNNNNNNNNNNNNNNNNNNNNNNNNNNNNNNNNNNNNNNNNNNNNNNNNNNNNNNNNNNNNNNNNNNNNNNNNNNNNNNNNNNNNNNNNNNNNNNNNNNNNNNNNNNNNNNNNNNNNNNNNNNNNNNNNNNNNNNNNNNNNNNNNNNNNNNNNNNNNNNNNNNNNNNNNNNNNNNNNNNNNNNNNNNNNNNNNNNNNNNNNNNNNNNNNNNNNNNNNNNNNNNNNNNNNNNNNNNNNNNNNNNNNNNNNNNNNNNNNNNNNNNNNNNNNNNNNNNNNNNNNNNNNNNNNNNNNNNNNNNNNNNNNNNNNNNNNNNNNNNNNNNNNNNNNNNNNNNNNNNNNNNNNNNNNNNNNNNNNNNNNNNNNNNNNNNGGCUUUAUAGCCGAUUACAUGUUAUUAUUUUGCUUUUUUUGUUCUUUGCGUGUCUUCUCCCCUUGCAGGUGGAGUCGGUGGCGACGUGACGUGACGGAGGCGUGUGAGGCGCAGUGGCAGGUAGGCAUAGUAGGGUAGGGCGGCAGCAGAGGCUAGAAGAGACCUGAAGGCCCUAGGUACGGCGCCUAGGGUUUUUUCUUUCAUUUUGUUUGGCUGAAAAUGUUUAGUUUUGGGCUUAGGGUUUCAGUUUGUAGUGGGCUGGUAUUGUAAUGUGGGCUUGUGGGUUGUAAUUGGGUAUUGGGUCUUUUAUUUAUAAUGGGCCCCGGGCAAAUUUGGGCUUUUACACAUAUAUAUUAUCAUGUAGGUUAUAACAUCAAUUUUUUAUGAAGUACAUUUGUAUUAUCAUACCGUAUUCAACAGACUGUCAUUCAAGUGGCCAUCCGAGUUUUCUAUUUUUCAUCAUAUGAUGAUUCCCUAUGGAAUUAGCCCUUUAUUAACUGAUACAUUUUCAAUAAUUUCCCUUUAAAGAGGAAUAGUAUUGACAGACAUAUCUCUCACUUAGUUCAUCCUUUCUAGUACCUCUUUCCGUCAAAGGGAUUCUAACUAACUCUUCUUUACCGAUUUGUUUGUAACUCUUCUUUUCAAAUCAAUCCUUCCUACAUGACAAACCUUUUGUCUUCUUUAAUUAUGAACAAAUCACAAUUCUUAGAAGGGUUCAAAGGGUUAAGUGUUUUGAAGGACAGUGGCAGAUCAGAUUUAUGUCUAAAGAAACAAACUUAAUUGCGGACCGAUUGGCUAAGCUUUGCCUUGCAUGAAAGUCGAGCUUACAAAUUUUUGAUGUACCUCCUAAUGAAGUAUUGGGGACUCUUCAACAAGAUAAAGCUUGUGGUGCUUUUGAACAAUUGAAUUGAUAUGAUUUUGUUUUACCUUCACCAAAAAAAUACAAAUUAUAACAAAAGAAAAAUAGUAUAGAUAUAUAAUCAUAAAUUUUAUAAAACAUAAAUUCUCAAAGAGGCAUAGCACAUUAACUACAAAGGUAGCCUACUGGUGAUAAAAUCUUCCAGUUAAACAGAUAAACUCCAAAUUUAUCAUAUGACAAUAAAUGAAAAAGAAAGGUGGAACAAGCCAAAAUAAGCAGAUCAUUUAAGCAAGAAGAGCACAAACAAACAAACAAAAAUUCCUUCUUUUAUUAUGUUAAGUCGUGCCGUCUUUGUAAGGAAUAAAAAGGUGGCAAGAUGUCUUUGUUCCCAGGCUCGUAAACUCGCUCCUAGUUCUUCUCCCAUUUUCGUCCACUAGGUAAGGGGUAAAGUGCAAUUUUACCUUUACCGAUUUAAAAUUUUUAAAGAACCUAAAUGAAUAAUUUUUCAUUUUAGGGGGAGCUGGCCCUGCUAGUCCUUUUUAGGGGUGAACUCCUUUUGGUUCAGCUUUUGGGUACAAACUAAAUAAAUAAGAAAGACUAAAAAAGAUAAAGAACAAAUUUCUUGGAGCUUUCCUCUGACAAAUAUUUUAAUUAUGAAUGGCAUUCUAUGGUGCUAAUUACAGUUUAAUUUCGGUCCUUAAAAAAGUUUUUUUUUCUUUUUUUAUUUCACUCCGGCCUCUUUGUGAAAUUCCUUGGAGCUUUCCUUUGACAAAUAUUUUCAUAUGAAUGGCAUUAUAGUCCUUUUAUUCUAUUGUGCUAAUCACUUGGUUUCUUUGGGUCAUGGGAUUAUAAACCUUUCGUCUUCAUUAAUUAUAAACAAUUCUAAGUGCUUGCCAAUUAUUAUUAUGAAGUCAUUCUUUAAUAUAAGUUAUAUAUUAGUCUUGAUAUAGCUUUUCCUUAUUCCAUUUCUUGUUGGUUCUCAACUGUUGAAGGGUUCAAUAUCAUUUCUACUCUCCUUUUCUGCAGUCAUCAUAUCAAGCGACUUCACAGGGAAAACGAUGAAGAAAUAGUGGAUAAUUGAUGAAAGAGAGUAAUGAUAAUAAUUCAUCAUAAUCAGAUCUUUACGAGUAUUGAAUUGAAUAAUAUAAUUAAAUUUAAAUCAAUCAAUUAAUUAAUUCACACAUUUCUUUUAUAAAGUAAAUGUUUAAUAUUCGAAAUUAUUUUAAUAAAUCUUUUCUAAAAUCUUAACCUCAAGAUUUUAUUGACAUGUCAAUUGUCAAUUGUAACCUUAAUGCUUAUGCAUUUUAAAAAUUAUACAAAUCUCACAUUGUUGAAGAAAGAUUUUGAAAUUCUUGUUUAUAAGCAGGAAAAAUUAAGUUUAGAGGGUCUUGUGACUUGUGCAUUGAGCCGCAAAGCCAAUGCAAUUUACAUCCAAUGUCUUUUUUGUUUUUGAAAUUAUUUUUUUACUCAAUUUUUGAGAGUUAAAAGAAAAGUAAUUAAUCGUUUUAACUUGUAAGAUCUAUAUUUAGUCAAACUAAAAAUAACUUAAUCGAUUGAAGUUAUUUUUAGUUAAAUACAGAUUCAUUUUGAAGAUCAACAGAGAUUGGUGUUUGAAUGAAACAUGGAUGACAAGGGAAGAAUAGAGCAAUAGGAGAAAUAAUGAUACUGACUUGUUGUAGAUUGUGUUGGAAUAGCUAGUACCAUAAUUAGGGGAGAGUAAAACUCGAUUCGACUCAAAAAAAAUUUUAAUUUUAAAUUUUGAGUUAAUUGAAUCAAGUUAUUCGGUUUUUUUUAGCCAACUCAAAUAAGUAAUUUGAGUUUUGAGUUCAAGUAGAGUUAUAUUUUACAAUUUGAAUAAUAGAUUGGUAUAAAUACACCUUUGAUCCCUGUCAAUUUUAAAAAUGAGCAAAAUGAUUUCUCUAAAAAAAAAAAACCAAACUUGUUUAAAGUAUUGUGAUAAGGGGAGUAGUUUCACAUGGAUGAACACACAUUUUCAUUCUGUUAUAGACCGAAGAAACCUGAAGAAGAUCAUGUGGCACUUGAUACUAGCAUACUUUUAAUUACCACAACUAGUUUAGAUUUUGUGAAGAAGAGGGAGCACUGUGUGCUAUUGCUAUUGCAAUUCUAUUGUUGCAAUUUUGCUACUACAAUUUAGGGAGACUUAUUUUUAUCAACAAAAAUGUGACAAGGUUAUCUCGAUUUAAAAAUGCUUUAUUCUCAUAAAAAUGUAAGUAUGAACAAACAUAAAAUAUAUUAAUCGAUCAUGAUUGUCCGCACAUGAACGGAGAAAUCUUAGUACAUAAUAUUUUUUACUUGUUAUCUUAUUACAUAAUAAAGUUGUAAAGAAUUUAAACUAUAAUAAUUUAUAAUUUAAAUUAAUUUAAUAAAGUACCUACUGAAUCAUUAGCCUUCUAAAAUUUUAUUAGACCAUUAUUAGUGAAUUAAAUAAACCUAAUUGACUCAUAUAAAUAAUUGGAUCCAUCGUGCACUGCCAUGAGGCGUGAAUUACAUUCUAGUUAGUCUAAAUGUUGUAUUAAUUUCUUUUAACUUUUGGUUGAGCUUUUGGGUACUAACUAAAUAAAUAAGAAAGACUACAAAAAGAUAAAGAGAUGUCCUCUUUGCAGUGGCGUUUGUUGGGGUUAGCAAGGCACGGCUUUGUUAAAAUAGAAAUUUGUUUAUUUAAGUUUUUUAAAAAUUUUAAAAUUUUAAAUUAAUAAAGAUAAAUUAUAUUUUAGUUAACUUAAAAAUGAUAAAAAUUUGAUUUAAUCUUCUAAAAAUUAUAAAGAUACAGGUUAUUAAAAAUUACAGUUUAAUUUUGACCCCUAAAAAAGUUUUCUGACUUUGCCUCUAUCUCGUUGUAAAAUUUCUUCGAGCUUUUCUUUGACAAAUAUUUUCAUAUGAAUGGUAUUAUAGUCCUUUUAUUCUAUUGUGCUAAUCACUUGGUUUCUUUGGGUUAUGGGAUUUCCCACUUAGUUAUAUAAUAAUUAUUACCAAAAUAAUAAUCUCAUAAAAUAUGAGAUUUAUUAUAACAAACUUUAUGACAUAGGAAUAUUAUAUUUUUAUACCAAUUUUAUUGCUAUUUAUAUUCUUUAAAUUUUUAAAUAAAAAAUCAUGUGUUUAAAUAUAUUUGGAUUCAAUUUUUUAUUAUUGUAAUAACAAAAAAAUUAAUUAAAGUAAUACUUAGUUAGCGAUAUAGUACAAUUAUCUUCAUAGGAGAGUGCAUAAUCAAAAAGAUUCUAACAUUUUAUCCUCUUUUCGUGCUGCUUGAAUCUCCAAAAACGGUGGCCCACUUCAACAAACCUUUUGUCUCCCUUAAUUAUGAACAAUUCUAAGUGUUUGCCAAUUAUUAUUAUGGACUCAUUCUUUAAUGUAAGUUAUAUAUUAGUCUUGAUAUAUAAAGCCUAAAAAAGAUAAAGAACAAAUUUCUUGGAGCUUUCCUCUGGCAAAUAUUUUAAUUAUGAAUGCCAUUCUAUUGUGCUAAUUACAGUUUAAUUUCGGUCCUUAAAAAAAAGGUUUUUUUUUUAAAUUUCAGUCCGGCCUCUUUGUGAAAUUCCUUGGAGCUUUCCUUUGGCAAAUAUUUUCAUAUGAAUGGCAUUAUAGUGCUUUUCUUCUGUUGUGCUAACCACUUGGUUUCUUUGGGUUAUGGGAUUAUAAACAUUUCUAAGUGCUUGCCAAUUAUUAUUAUGAAGUCAUUCUUUAAUAUAAGUUAUAUAUUAGUCUUGAUAUAAGGUUAAGGAGGAGUUACGUGUAGUUCUAGGUAUUAUAUCAAAUUUUCUCAGAAUAUUUUUUAACAUUUGUAUAAUUAAAUAUUCAAGUUUAUGUGAUAUAAAUUAUAUAAUAUAUAAAAAUACAUUAUAAAAGUAUAAAUCAAUCUAGGUUUGGGCUAGAGGUAAUCGUGGGUUGGGCCUCAAUAUGAUAUUAACAUACUUUAUACUUGUCCAAACCCACCCAUAUUUUCCAAAGAAUAAUCCAAGUCCGUUUAGGCCCGUCUAUAUUAUUUUUUAAUUUUUUUAAAAAUAUUUAUAUUAUACUAUUUUAAUAUUUAAUAAGUUGCAUAUUUUUUAUUUAUUAAAUUUUUUAUAUAGUCCUCUUAACAUUAUUUUAUUGCUUACAUUAAGCCAGUAUUAUAUAUUUACGAAAGAUUAACUCAAGCCCUUUUAGGCCGCCCAUAUUAUUUUUUCAAAUUUUUUAAAAAUAUUUAUUUUAUUUUAAUAUCUAAUGCUCUCUAGUGUUCGUUCUGAUGAUUGGUGGUAUUAACGUUGGAUUUUGGUUUCAUUUAUUAAGUAAAAUAAACAAAACUCACAAUAUUUAGAGGUUCAUGAUUGGAUUUCUCUCCGAUUUGUAUCAAGAAUUUUGACCUUAAAAUAUAAAAAUUCGAUCUAAUCCCUCUAUCUGAACUGCGAUCCGACAAAUUCCCAAUCAACUUGGUCAUUUGAAUUCUUUCAAUAACCUUUGGGAUAAUGUUUAAAACCUUACAUAUUUCUAAUUAACAUCAUACACUUUCUAACACUAAUCAUAUCUUUUUAAUAAUAUUUUAACUUUAAUUAGUGUUGAUUAAUUAAAUAAAUUUGAAGCUAAAAAUCAAACAAAAUUAAUGAACAAUAAUAGUAAAACAAGGCUUAUGGAUUUGGUUUUGUUCGUGGAACUAAAUUUAUGAUUUUAGAGAAAGGGUUAAAUAAAGAUUGAGGGCUAAAAAGGUUUAGGAUUAUAGAGUCAAGGGUUUUGUUUGUUGAAUAAAACAUUGUGUGCAUUUUGAGUUUUUAUUCAUUUCACCACUUUAAAAAAAAUUAUUUAAAUGAAAGAUUGUUUAUCUAUUUAUGCAUGGAUAUUGGUUACACAUGAAAGGAGAAAUCUUAUUAGAAUUUAUAAUUUAAAUUAAGUUGGCCUUCUAAAAUUUUCUUAGACCAUUAUUAGUGAAUUAAAUAAACCUAAUUGGCUCAUAUAAAUAAUUUGAACCAUCGUGCAGUGCCAUGAGACAAGAAUCUACUUAGUCUAAAUGUUGUAUUAAUUAACCAUUAAUGAAUAUUAAUGGUAAAAAGCCAAGAUGUAAGUCCUUAUCAUAAUAAAGAUAAAAGAAAAUUACUUUGGCACCACCUCUCAUUAAUUCAUAAUAUAUAUUUGUGUGAAUGUUUAUUAAUCUUCACAAAGGAUGGUCUUCUUUAAUUAUGAACAAUUCUAAGUGCUUGUCAAUUCUUAUUAUGAAGUCAUUCUUUAGUAUCUUUUCUGCAGUCAUCGUAUCAAGCGACUUCCAGGAAACCGAUGAAGAAACAGUGGAUAAUUGAUGGAAGAGAGUAAUGACAAUAAUCCCACCACAAUCAAGUGUUAGAAUUGAAUAAUAUAAUUCAACUAUACAAAUCUCAUAUUGUUAAAGUGAAAUUUUGAGAUUCUUGUCUAUAAGUCAUUAUACUUCAUUAAGUUAACAAAUUAAAUUUAGACCGUGAACUUGUGGCCUACAAGGCUAAUGCAAUUUACAUCCAAGUCCUUUUUGUUUUUAAAAUUACUUUUUACUGAAUGUUUUAGAAAACUUCUUAACCUGUAAAAAUAUUUUAAUCGACUGAAGCUAUUUUCAGUUGAGUUCAUUUUAACCUUUUUCAAACUAUUUUUAGCUAAUUCAAUCGACUUACCUAUGUUAUAGUUAACCAGUGAAAUUUUUAUAAAUACUCCUUCAAAGUUCCCAAUUUAUUCUUUACAUUCUCUUUCAAAAACUCCUUGUUUACUCAAAAGCUCUCUUCUACAAUUUUAACCGAAUAUUUAUUUGAUUUGUUUUUCCUACCAAUUAAUAGAAUUGUUUGUUGAAUUCUAGAGAAUACGUAAAUUCACGAAAUAUUUGUAAGGACUGUUGACAACAUUUUUUUUGAUGAAAAACGGGGUCCAAUUGGGUUUUGAAAACGAAAAAGGGAGUCGCCACCAAUCCUUUUUUGAGGUGUGAUUGGGUCACCUUGGAAAGAGGUUGUUUCUAAUAAAUAAUUUAAUUUUAUUAAAACAACGGUUUUGGUCAACGGAAUCUAGAAAACGGGUUCGGGAGUCGGUUACGUACGAGGAAGGGUUAGCACCCUCGUAACGCCCAGAAAUUGGUACCUAGUUAAUUAUCUAAUGUCUUGAUGUCGAGAACUGAAAACUUGAAAAAUUUUUAAAAUACGAUCCCUUGGUAUUAAACAUUAAAAAUUUGGGAAAAGAAGCAUAUUUUAUGUUAAUCGAGAAAAAGAAUCGUAUCCAGUAAGUUAGGACACAAUAUCUCGAAUUCCCAAUAUACAAAAAAAUGCUUAUUUAAAAGGUAUUUUUAGCUAUCUCGGAUUCGAAAGUGAGGUCACAACCAGUAAGUUAGGAUGCGAUUCUUUUUAAAUCCCUAGAUCAUUUAAAACUUGAGUUUGAAAGAUUCGUGUAUUUAGAUUUAUUGUGAAAAUCGAAACCCAGUAAGUUAGGGUACGGCAUUCUCAAAUCUAAACACGAGAUUUUGCUUAUUCAAAAAUUGUAAUUUUAUGUAUUGAAAUGAAUUAAUCUAACAUGAAAUUAUAAAACCCGAUGUUAAUACUCAUAACAAGACGAUAUUGAAUACAAUAGUGCAAAAUAAUACGAACAAUUGCAACGUAAAUAAGAUAAAUACAAAGUAUGAAUCAAUAACAUACGAAAUAGCAAUGUAUACAAGCAAAUAAAAUUAAAGCAUUCAUUCAGAUCAAUAACGCAAAUGAAAUAAAUAACUAAAUGAAUACGAAUAUAAAAAGUAAAAAGAUAUAUGUGUGUGCAUAAAAUUAUGAGAAUGUAAAAAAUCUAUGUACGUAAAAAUAUGUGUAAAUAUNNNNNNNNNNNNNNNNNNNNNNNNNNNNNNNNNNNNNNNNNNNNNNNNNNNNNNNNNNNNNNNNNNNNNNNNNNNNNNNNNNNNNNNNNNNNNNNNNNNNNNNNNNNNNNNNNNNNNNNNNNNNNNNNNNNNNNNNNNNNNNNNNNNNNNNNNNNNNNNNNNNNNNNNNNNNNNNNNNNNNNNNNNNNNNNNNNNNNNNNNNNNNNUAUAUAUAUAUAUAUAUAGACAUGCGGCUAUAUACAAUAAAAAUAAUAAAAGAUAAAUAUGUAUAGGUAUUCAUAAAAAUAAAAUAUGUGUAUUCGUAUAUUAAAGUAUAAAGUAUAAAUAAUAUAUAUCUAAGUAGAUAUACAUAUGUAAGUAAACUUGGAAAGUUAUGCGUACACAUACUAUGACAAUAUGAAUGUAUAUGUAUAAAUUAUAGAAUGUAUUAAAGCGUAAGUAUGUAAAUAGGUAUGUACACAUAUAUCAUAAUCAAAAAACAGUAUAAAUGGGUAAACAAUAAAGGCAAAUAAUAAAAAUAAAAGCAAUAAUGAUAAUAAUAAUAAUAAUAAUGGUAAUAAAACUAAUUACUUUUAAAAAAAAUAAAACGGGACUAAAUAAAAAAAAAAGCAAAAUCCCAGGGGAGAAAAGUAAAAAGAAAAAAACUAAAACAGGGACCAGAUUGGAGGGAAGCCCAGAAGCAGGAGGACUGAAAGGGUAAAUAGACCCUCAGUCCAAAACACGCGGAUCCCUGGGAUCCAUCGGGUCAACGAGCGGGUCGCGCUCAAUACGGCGCCGUUUUGGAGCCAUUGAUCAGACUCCAAACGGCGUCGUUUCAGACAACACCUAAGGCCCAAGAAAUACCUUAAUCUGAUAGCCUCCAUUCAUUUUUUAAACAAACAAAGAAAAAGAAAAUAAAAAAACAAAAAAGGAAAACUGAGAGCCCGAAUGCUCUCCUCCCCACGCCUCUCUCGGCCCUUAAGCUCAGGCCGCCAUCUCCGCCUCCAUGGCCAAUGGCCGGAGUUGCGCGAGAACGGCCCCUAGGCCUCCCCCAUUUGCGGCGUCCCCGAAGGCUAAGCCUUCUCAACCGCGAGAUCAAAAGGAAAAGGGAUGAAAUGCCCCUUUUGGCUAGUCUCCGACGACGGCAAGGGUGGGGUUCCGACACCAGCCCGUCGAAGCGGUAAGGUAUUUACUCCUUUCCCUUUUAGUUCAUUUUCUUUGUUGAACGAUUGCGAAGGGAAAAAAAUAAUAAACAAUAAAUAAAGAGUAAAGUAAAUAAGAAACAAGAACAGAGAAGAAUAAACUGGAGUCAACCUUUUUGAUCUGUUUUUCCUUUUUUUGAAUUCAAAACGCUGUGUAAAAAAUUGUACAGAGAUAUUGUUUGGCUUUUAUAGCCUUUUCCAUUGUAUUUUGAUUGUAUUUUGCUGUCUUGCACUAUCUGUUGCGUGCUCCUGCUUUUUUCUAUCAUUUUUUUGCAGGCGUUGAUGAAGCUAGUAGCGGCGGGUGGCGAUGGGACAAAACGAAUGAUGAUGGCAGAGGGAUGGGCGCGGUGCUAGGCUUGGCUAGGGUUUCCGUUUUCUGAAACCCUUGACUGGGUUCUGGGCCUGUUGGGUUUAUUGGGCCGUUUGGGCUCUGUUAAUUGGCCCCGGGCAAUAAUUGGGUUGUACAGCUGCCCCUCUUUGCUCGUUGUCGUGUAACAAUAACAGAGCAAAGACUAAGAAAGACCAAUUUUUGCCCAGUCUUGCCGAGGAAAAGAUUCUCCGUUGCGGCUUCAAUCUGUUCCGCUGCGUCGCCUGGAAGUAAGAUUCGCCGUUGUGGCUUCGAUCUUUUAAAUUGCAAUGUCGGCUUGAAUCUCAAAAAACGGUGGCCCACUUCAACAAACCUUUUGUCUCCCUUAAUUAUGAACAAUUCUAAGUGUUUGCCAAUUAUUAUUAUGGACUCAUUCUUUAAUGUAAGUUAUAUAUUAGUCUUGAUAUAUAAAGCCUAAAAAAGAUAAAGAACAAAUUUCUUGGAGCUUUCCUCUGGCAAAUAUUUUAAUUAUGAAUGCCAUUCUAUUGUGCUAAUUACAGUUUAAUUUCGGUCCUUAAAAAAAAGGUUUUUUUUUUAAAUUUCAGUCCGGCCUCUUUGUGAAAUUCCUUGGAGCUUUCCUUUGGCAAAUAUUUUCAUAUGAAUGGCAUUAUAGUGCUUUUCUUCUGUUGUGCUAACCACUUGGUUUCUUUGGGUUAUGGGAUUAUAAACAUUUCUAAGUGCUUGCCAAUUAUUAUUAUGAAGUCAUUCUUUAAUAUAAGUUAUAUAUUAGUCUUGAUAUAAGGUUAAGGAGGAGUUACGUGUAGUUCUAGGUAUUAUAUCAAAUUUUCUCAGAAUAUUUUUUAAUGGAGGGCGUUGGAUUGAAGAUGGUGGAAGGAUUUUAAACUCUCUGGCUGAUGGGUUCCAAUGGCAGCCUUAUCCUUUGAAGGAUCAAGUAAACAUAAUAAUCCAUGACAAGCACCAUAAACAGAGGGGAGAUCAUUCUUAAAAAAGGGCAAGUGAAUGUUUUGUUUUACUAUAUAAUUUUGAUCUUUUUCAUUUGAAAGUUGAGAGUAAUAAAGUUAGAAGGCGUUACCAUCAAGGCGACUAAGAAGUAGAUUAAGGUUGUUGUUUUCAAGGUUAUUGGAAAUGAAAUGAGGAGUUUGAAUAGAAGAACACCAAUACUUACAAACACAGUUGAAGCGAGUAAGGGAUUUAACUGGAAGCUUUGACAGAAUUUCAAUAACCAAAGCUUCUGGCAAUUCAAACCUUGGCCUCUGCAUCUUGCUAUUUUGUUGGUGUUAAGAGGCAAUAGCAAGCUGGUUUCAGCUUGCUUGGACAGCAAGUGUCGAGCCUUGCUGAAGAAACAAACUCAAAAAGAAACAGAAAUCAAGCUUGCAAGUGGAAAAACAGAAAAACGAGAGAGAGUUUGAAUGAAAAACAAACUGAAAGUUUUUCAUUAACAUUAAACAAGGCAUUGAGCCAUUACAUAUAUUAGCUAACAUGUAAUACAAACAAGUAAUUGCCUAAUCAACUACCUAACUCCACUAAUCUGUCUUGAAACUUACAAAAAUAGCUUCAUCAUAUUGCUAUGUUGAUUUUCAAUCAAUCAACAUCAAAAUUACAUCAAAACAUUUAUCUACUUAGUUCAACAUGAACUAGAUUACAAAAUAAUUAAAAUUCAACUAAAACACAACAAUUAAUUUGGCAACUUCAAGCUCCAGCUUCUGCACAUCAUGGCUCGACUGCUUGUUGCCAUUUCUUCUUGUAUGGCCACCUUUGCAUAGGAACUAAUCUCAACACUCCUCCUUAGUUGCCAUGUUAGUGACACCUAGUUCCUUCUUCAACUUUAUAAACCUUGACACAUUUAAAGCUUUGGUAAAAAUGUCAGCAAUUUGCUCCUCCGAAUUGCAAUGAACCAGCUCGAUUUCAUGAGCUUGUUCCAUCUCUCUUAUAACAUGUAGUUUGAUGUUAAAGUGCUUCGUUCUGCCAUGAAAGAUGGGAUUCUUUGCAAUUGCAACAGCAGAUUUGUUAUCACAGUAAAUCUCUGUUGCUUCUUCUUGGUUUUGGUUUAAAUCAGCCAAGAUUUUUCUAAGCCAUAUGGCUUGAUUCACAGCAGAUGCAGCAGCAACAUAUUCAACUUCUGCUGUUGAUUGUGCCACCAGACUCUGCUUCUUAGAACUCCAGCAAAACAUGCCUGAGCCAAGGCUAAAUGCAUAUCCAGAUGUGCUUCUCAUGUCAUCACAUGAUCCAGCCCAAUCACUAUCGACAUAGCCUAUUAACUUCAUGUUUUCAGCUCUUUUGAACAUCACACCAUGGUUAAUGGUGCCUUUGAUGUACCUCAGCACUCGUUUAGCUGCUUGAAAAUGCUGAUUGUUGCAGCAAUUCAUGCAUCUGGAUAGCACACUAACUGCAAACAUAAUAUCGGGCCUUGUUGCAGUCAAAUAUAGUAGACUACAAAUGAGACUUUUGUACAUAGUCUCACAAACUGGUUCACCAGUUUCCUGCCUCGAUAGCUUCAUUCCAACAACCAUUGGUGUGCUUGUUGGCUUGCAGUUCUUCAUUGAGAACUUGUUUAAAACUUUCAUAGCGAAGGAACUCUGGCUGAGAAAGAUUCCAGUUCCAUUUUGUUUUACUUCCAUUCCUAGGAAGUAGUUCAUUCUGCCUAAAUCAGACAUCUCGAACAUUUUCAUCAUUUUCUUCUUGAAAUCAUGCAUCAUAUUUUUGUCUCCUCCAGUUACUAACAAAUCAUCAACAUAGAGUGACAAGAUAAGUUGAGUCUCAGCUUAAUUUUUCUUCACAUGCAGUGUUGGUUCACUGGCACUUCUCUCGAAUUCCAAACUGAGCAAGUAGGAAUCAAUUCGAGCAUACCAGGCUCGAGGGGCCUGUUUCAGGCCGUACAAGGCCUUUUUCAAUCUGUAGACCAUGUGUUCUUUGCCAGUGACUACAAACCCUUGAGGUUGCUCAAUGUAAAUCUCUUCUUCUAGGAAGCCAUUGAGGAAUGCAGACUUCACAUCCAGCUGAUGAAUGGUCCACUGAUUUUGAGCAACCAAAGCAACUAUCAUUCUGACCGUGUCAAGUCUGGCUACUGGUGCAAAGGUUUCCAAGUAGUCCAGACCAUACCUUUGGCUAAAACCUUUGACAACAAGCCUGGCCUUCAGUUUGUUCAAACUGCCAUCUGCAUUUUGUUUUGCUCGAUAGACCCAUUUUACUCCAAUGGUCUUCUUUCCAGCUGGUUUAUCAACCAGCUCCCAUGUUUGAUUCUUUUGAAUCAUAUUGAUUUCAUCAAGCAUAGCUUGUUUCCAGCCUUCAUCUGCCUCAGCCUCUUCAAAACUGCUAGGUUCUGCUGUAGCAACCUGUGCCCUUUCAUAAAUCUCAUCUAGGGGCCUUGUGCCUCUCACAGGUACAUCAGCAACAUCCAACUCAGAACCAAGCUGCUCGAGUUCAGUUUGAUUAGGCACCAAGUCUUCUGAAACUGUUUCAGGCUCAUUUUUCUCUCAAUUCCAGCAAGCCUUUUCAUCAAAGAUAACAUCUCUGCUUACCUGAACUUUGCUUGUCAAGGGAUCCAGAAUCCUGUAGCCCUUCUUGACCGAGCUAUAGCCCACUAGGAUGCCAGGUUGGGAUCUCUUUGACAGCUUGUCCCUCUUUGCUGCUGGUAUUUGUGCAUAGCAUAGGCAACCAAACACCUUCAGAUGUGCCAAUGAAGGUUUGAAGCCAAACCAUGCCUCGAAAGGUGUCUUGGAUGCAAGAGCUUUGGUAGGAAGCCUAUUCUGAAGGUAAACAGCAGUGUUUACUGCCUCAGCCCACAUGGUCUUAGGCAGUUUCUUCUCAAACAGUAAGCAUCUUGCCAUAUCCAUUAGGCUUCUGUUCUUCCUUUCAGAUACCCCAUUCUGCUGAGGUGUGUACACAUUUGUUAGCUGGUGUUUAAUGCCAGCAUCAUUGCAAAUGGGUUGGAACUGAGUUGAAUUGUACUCAGUGCCAUUGUCUGACCUUAUCGAUUUCAGCUUGCAGCCUGUUUCUGUCUCUAUAGCAGUUUUAAACUUCACAAACACUUGAGCUACCUCAGACUUGUGUUUCAAGAAGAAAAUCCAGCAAAACCUUGUAAAAUCAUCAAUGAAGAGGAUGAAAUACUUGUUUUUGCUGAGUGAUUCAGUCCUCAUAGGUCCACAUACAUCAGAGUGCACCAGCUGCAAUCUUUCAGUGGCUCUCCAUGCUAAACUUGUAGGAAAUGGCAGUCUUGCCUGUUUUCCCAUCUGGCACACUUCACACACAUCAUCAUGCUCCAUUGAGCUGGUGAAGUUCUUUGCCAAUCCCUCUUUGGCCAAUCGAGCCAUUGAUCUGAAGUUGGCAUACCCGAGCCUUUGGUACCAAAUCUUGGAAUCAUCAACAGAGGCAGUGUAUGCUGACUUUGAGUUAUUUGGCCAAUGGACCUCAAAGCAUUUAUCAGUCAUUGUGACUGUCAUAAGGCUUGAUCCACUUAGAUCAGCAAUGUGGCACUGUUUGUCCUUGAACACAACAGAAUAACCUUUCUCAAGCAAUUGAGCUAUGCUGAGAAGGUUUCUGUCAAUUUCAGGUACCAGCAAGACAUUUGAGAUAACUUUGUUUCCUGUAGGAGUACAUAUCAGCACCUCUCCUCUUCCUUCAGCCCUUAUGAACUGACCAUUUCCAACCUUGACCUUGGUUUUGCAACUUCUAUCCAAGGUUUUAAAUAAGGAGGUAUCUGGUGACAUGUGGUUAGUACAACCACUGUCCAAUAACCAGCCUUUUGAACUUUUCUUUUCAGCAGCUAAGCAAGAAACAGCAAAGACCUGCUCUUCUUGAUCACUACUGUCCUCAGCCACUCGAGCUUCAACCUUUGGCUGCUGAAAUUGAUUCUGCCUUGGCUUAUUCCUGUUUUUACAGACCCUUUCAACAUGGCCCUUCUUCUUGCAGUGUUGGCACACAGCAUCUGGCCUAAACCAGCAUCUAUCUUCUGGAUGUCUUGACCUCUUGCAAUAUCUGCAGGGCUGGUCAUUGCUCCUUGCAGCAUCAGGCUUAGGCCUACUUUUCCAAGGCUUUUUGCCUCUUUGAGCAUUUACGCUUGAGGCUUCUCUGGCUUUGGCUUGAAAUGCACCUUCUUGGUGAUCUUCAGCUCUGCUAGCUCUCCUUUGUUCCUGAGCAUAAAAGGUGUUAAUUAGCUCAGUCAAAGAGAUGCUAGCAAGAUCUCUUGAGUCCUCUAAGGAGGAUAUCUUUGCCUCAUAUCUCUCAGGCAAAGUGGAGAGGACUUUCUCCACAAUUCUUGCCUCAUCAAAGUGCUCACCAAGGAGCCUUAUGCUGUUAACCACUGCCAUGAUUCUAUCUGCAUACUGCUUCACUAUUUCUUCUUCCUUCAUCUUCAGAUUCUCGAAAUCCCUUCUCAAAUUCAAUAGCUGCUGUUGCCUUGUCCUCUCAGUGCCUUGAAACUCCUCCUUAAGCUUGUCCCAGGCCUGUUUUGGAGUCUCACAGGCCAUAAUUCUGGUGAAGAUGACAUCUGACACACAGUUCUGGAUGCAAGACAUGGCUUUGUGCCUCUUGGUCCUCUCAUCAGCAUGUUGUCUGAUCUGAGCUACUGUGGGAUUAGCCCUCAGUGGUGCUGGCUCAGCAUCUGUGUUGACAACUUCCCACAGAUCAAAAGCCUGCAGGUAAGUCUUCAUCUUUACCAGCCAUAUAUGAAAGCCUUCUCCAUUAAAGACUGGUGGGGCUGCUGGUGAAAAUCCUGAAGAAGCCAUCAGGUUCCUUGACUUUAAGUAACAGGUCCACUAAGACAAGAGCUCUAGAUACCAAUUUGUUGGUGUUAAGAGGCAACAGCAAGCUGGUUUUAGCUUGCUUGGACAGCAAGUGUCGAGCCUUGCUGAAGAAACAAACUCGAAAAGAAACAGAAAUCAAGCUUGCAAGUGGAAAAACAGAAAAAGGAGAGAGUUUGAAUGAAAAACAAACUGAAAGUUUUUCAUUAACAUUAAACAAGGCAUUGAGCCAUUACAUAUACUAGCUAACAUGUAAUACAAACAAGUAAUUACCUAAUCAACUACCUAACUCCACUAAUCUGUCUUGAAACUUACAAAAAUAGCUUCAUCAUAUUGCUAUGCUGAUUUUCAAUCAAUCAACACAAAAGUACAUCAAAACAUUUAUCUACUUAGUUCAACAUGAACUAGAUUACAAAAUAAUUAAAAUUCAACUAAAACACAACAAGUAAUUUGGCAACUUCAAGCUCCAGCUUCUGCACAUCAUGGCUCGACUGCUUGCUGCCAUUUCUUCUUGCAUGGCCACCUUUGCAUGGGAACUAAUCUCAACAUAUUUUGAUUUUCUUUGUAAUUGACUAAGAGGAAUAAAUAAGCAAGCAAAAGGGGAGUUGGUAGGUGUCAUCUAUGGUCGAAACCUUAACCAUGAAGCAAACAUAAAAGGUAAGCAUUUGAUACAUUAUAAUAAUUAUAUGCAAUUUAGGAAAUUUCCUUAUUUGCUCAUUUGUAUCCAUGUGAAGAAUGAUUAAGAUUGAAUAUAAUCUAAUAUAUACCUUUUGAAUUUUAUCCCCAAUUUUUAAAAGAAUAAAUUUAAAGAAUACAAUACGCUCAACAUUUAUGUACUUUUUGUAUAUUUAAAAUUUAAUCCCUAAUUUUUUAUUUUUAAAAAUUUAGUCUCUUUAUUUUUAAAUUUUAGAAAUUUAGGAUCGUUAAAAUUAUUUGACAUAAUUGUUGAAAAUACCUUCCAUGUUUAUGAGUUUUUGUGUUUGAGCCAUUAACCUUCUUUUUUUAUUGACACCCUCAACAUUACAAUUUGUUUAGAAAUCAACCUAAUUUUCACGGGAUACAAGAGUUGAUCGUCAGUCAAACAAAAGGUUAACGAAGUAGCCUAUGUGGCGUGUCAUAUAUGCACGAGAUCAUAGAUGAUGGCAUCUAUAAAAACAAAAUUGUUUAAAAAAAAUUUUUUAUUUUGUUUCAAUAUUCUUUAUUCUUCUCCUCUUUCUCUCUUCCCCUCUAGCUCCUGUCAUCGUCGUGUCCAAACCCUUCCACCGUUGCCUUCCCUCUCACUCCUAACCGUUGUUCUCACCAAAAAUGUUAGAAGAAAUGUUAGAAGAGAUACUAAUAUAUAUAGAAUUUAUCUGAAUUCAUCCCUCAAAGUCAGAAAAAAAAAUACAUCUUCAAUCACCAGCAAUAUCAUACAAUCAUUAAAAUCCAAAACACCAACUAAAAAAAAAACUAGCUUUCAUCCUAUUGACAAAUUUUGAAGAACAUGUAGAAAACUCAAAAUAAACCUUACCAUUAACAAUCCACAAAGAUCAUAAACAAAGCAACACAACAAAGACAUUAAACUGGGGAUAAAAAAAAAAAAAAGGUACUGACUUUAUCCAUGGAAAAAAAGGGCCAACCCAUUUGAGAAAAACAUCAACCAAUAAUCCUAGAAAGGUAAGUAAAAUUCCCAACUUGAUUCAGUACCAAAUAGACCUUCUCGAUUGAGAACAAAAACCUGGCUCCUUUAGCAAAGAAUUAUUCUCUUCCGCUUCACAUUAUUCUAAUAAUCUCUGUCUCAAACUUACCCUUUUCUCAUUAACAUCAUCAUCACCUUCAACUCAUAAUUUUAGCUCCGGCAUCACUUCUCCUCCCUCAUCAUCAUUUUUAUCAUCAUUGAAAGUCAUUGAAUUUUUAGAACAAGAACCCAAAUUUCACCUGAGAAAAUUAGAGAAGGUGAAGCAAUAAAUGGAUAGAUGAAUUGAAAAACAAAGAAGGAUAUCAAAUAUACCGAAAGAAACCAAACCUAAACCAAACAAAGCGAGUUUGAUUUUUCUAGUUUUUUUAAAUUUAAAAGAAAACCAAAACCCUAAAAUGGGUUACAACAGUGAGUCUCUUUUUGCUUUUUCUUUAUUCUUUUUGGUUGUAUAGAAUUUUGGGUGUUUGACGAAAUUGUCUUUUGUAAGGCUAGCAGAGAUGAACUAGACGUUGAUGAUGAUGAUGAGGAGGAGGAUGGAGAUGGAGAAGAUUUUGGGACAUUUAUGGUAAGAUCGAGGUGAGGUGUGAGAGGGAAGGCGACAGUGGUGGGGGUUGUCUAGCCACAUAGGCUACUUUGUUGACAUGUGGUUUGAUUGACUGUCAACUCAUGUUUCUCACUAAAAUUUGGUUAAUUUCUAAAAAAAUCGUAACGUUGAUAAUGUCAAUUCAAAAAAAAAAGAAGGUUAAAAGCCCAAACCCAAAAACCUAUAAAUGUUGAGGGUAUUUUCGACAAUUAUGCCAAAUUCUUUUGUUAAAUUUGUCGGUUUGAUAUUCUAAAUUUCUUUUUUUUUUUAAAAAACCAUACUCCAUAAUCAUAUUACCGAAAAUGGCAUUAUAAUGGACUUGAAGCUAACAAAAAAAUUUAACGAUGUUAACGCUUCUUUAAACUUACGUCAAAAUUUUAAUUAGAAUAAAAUAUUUAGUCAACGUUGAAGCACCAAACUAUAAAAGAAGUAUAAAGGCUAAAUCUCGAAUUUUAACAUAGUAUAGAGACCAAAUUUGAAAUUUAACUAUUUUUAUCCAUGUGAGCAUUUGAUAGGUUAUAAUAAUUAUAUGCAAUUUAGGAAAAUUUCCUUAUUUGCAUUUGUAUCCAUGUGAGGAAGGAUUAAGAUCAAAUAUAAUAUAAUACAUACUUUUUGAAUUUAAUCCCUGAUUUUUAAAAGAUUAAAUUUAAAGGAUAUCACAUUUAUGUACUUUUGUAUAUUUGAAAUUUAAUACUUAAUUUUUAUUUUUAAGAAUUCAAUCUCUCUAUUUUUUUAAAAUUAUAAAUUUUGGUAUGGUUAACACCGUUAAAAUUGUUAAAAUUCUUUGGCAUAAUUGUCGAAAAUACUCUCAAUGUUUAUGGGUUUUUGGGUUGAGCUCUUAAAUUAUUUUUUUUUUGGAUUGACACCCUCAAUGUUACGAUUUUUCAUAAAUCAAUCCAAUUUUAACAGGAAACAUGAGUUAACCGUUAGUCAAAUCGCAAGUCAAUGAAGUAGCCUAUGUGGCUUGCCACAUAAGCAUGAGGUCAUAGAUGAAGUCAUUUAUAAAAAUAAAAUUGUUUAACAAAUUUUUUUUCAUUUUGUUUCAAUCUUCUUUUCUCUUCUUCUCUUUCUCUCUUCCCCUCUAGCUGUUGUCGCCGUUGUGUCCAACCCUAUCGUCGCCUUCCCUCUCACUCCUCACCAACCCAACCCCCACCACCUCUCACUUCCCUCUCACUCCUCACCGUUGAUCUCAUUGGCAUCUCUUCUAACAUUUGUGGUGAGAUCGACAGUGAAGAGUGAGAGGGAAGGCGGCGGCGGUGGGGGUUGGACACAACGGCAACAGUAGCUAGAGGGGAAAAUAUAAAGAGGAGAAGAAAUAAAUUGAAACAAAAUGAAAAAAAAUGUUAAACAAUUUUGUUUAUAGAUGACAUCAUCUAUGAACUCGUGCUUAUGGGGCACGCCACAUAGGCUACUUCGUUGAUCUGUGGUUUGACCGACUGUCAACUCACAUUUUCCGUUAAAAUUGGGCUGACUUAUUAAAAAAUCGUAACGUUAAGGGUGUCAAUCCAAAAAAAAAAAAAGGUUAAUGGCUCAAACCCAAAAACUCAAAAAUAUUGAGGUUUUUUCGACAAUUAUGCCAAAUUCUUUGUUAAAUUUGUUGGUUUGAUAUCCUAAAAUUUUUUUUAAAAAAAAAGUACUUACUCCAUAAUCAUGUCACAGAAAAUGGCAUUAUAAUGGACUUGAAGCUAAUAAGAAAAUAUUAAAGAUGUUAACACUUAUUUAAAUUUACGUAAAAAAUUAAUUAGAAUAAAAUAUUUAGACUAAAUAAUGACAUUAUAAACAUUGAAGCACCAAAUUAUAAAAAAGUAUAAAGUCCAAAUCUCAAAUUUUAACAUAGUACAAAGACCAAAACUGAAAUUUAAAUAAUCAUACAAUUACUUUCUUUUUUGUUGCAUAUCAUUUCCAAAUACAUAAAACGAUCCAUAUUCAACUAUAACAUAUUGUACACCAAAAAAUAAUUUUGAAAUCAAACAAUUGAAGAAAAAGAGUUAGCUGGAUGCUACAGAACAGUAGUCAAUGUCUGUCAGUUUGACUUUGGCUUGCGCUGCAUGAUUCUAGCUUGUUAUGAAUGCUUAAACUAUGGGUCACUUUCAUAAGACUUUUUCUCUAAUUCCAUGUCCAUUGUAAUUGCUGAAAUUCAUCUUCAUUUUUAGCUACUUGUUAGUGUAUAAAUUGUAGAAAAAUGUCUUCGUUUAAGUUCGAAUUGUUGUAAACUGUCCCUUAAAAAUCUUUAAUACGCAUUGAAGAAAUGAAAACUCGAAUGAAAUACAUGCAUGUUAUCGUGUUUGUUGUGAGUAUGAUCAUUGCAGGGUUCAAUGGAGUCGAUGCAAUGAGUAAAUAUUACAGUCACUGCGGGAAACAUGACAUCGAAAAGGAGGCUCAAAAUCUGUUCCCAUGUUAUGAGAUUAGUUAACGGGAAACAUGAGUUAACCGUUAGUCAAAUCGCAAGUUUCUUAUUUAAAUAAGAAACAUGUCCUAAACAUGGUAUAUCACCACUCAAUAAGAAACCGAUUGGAAGUAUGACAGAGGAUGUUGUGCAAAGUCGGAACAUGUCCUAAGCUGUAUGUUGUACAAACUCUGAACCUGUCAAUACCAAGUCCGGCCAUAGUGUGGGCAAUUGGUUCCAAAGAGCUAUAUCACCACUCAACAAUUGCUUUUAAAUAAGAAACAAAAAAAUUGAUUAGAUUACAGAUAAAUUACUUAAUAGUUUCAAGUGAAGAAUGUAUAUGCGUACUUGGAGUCGUGGCCGGGUUAGAAUAGGUUGUGGAUGGGUGCAAGGCUUCCUUGCAUUGUAUGGGGGCACCGGCAUGUCAUGAGCGUCUUGCGCCCAAAUUCCAUGUAUUUUGAAUUCAGUUGGGAUUGGGAGUUUACAGUUGAAAGUAGAGCUGCAAACAGAGGAGGCCACUGCAGUGCCAACUUAUAGAAGUCUACCACUGGAAUUACUGGCGGCUGGGGUACUGCAAAUGCUACCCAUAAUGAAAAAUGAUACAAUGCAUUUUUACAAAUUUACAAAUCAAAAGAGAACUACUCCAUAUAUAGAUCUUACAUGCAUAGAUGGUCGGGCUGAGAUUGGAUGAUUGUGCUUUGCAAGCAGCUGGUUUAUGAUCUCCUUUAUAAGCUUGGCACACAUAUUUCACGAAAUUUUCAAAGUCCUGCAACCAUGAAAUAAAUGUUGAAGUUACUUGUCACAAAAUGUUACUUCACAGUCACACCAAGAGGGAGAAAUAAACAAACUCACUUGUCUGAGUGGCUGAUUAUUCACCACCACCCAUGGCACAUAUUCUUGAGGUGGCUUCAGAUGUGCAGUCUCGUUAGCAUAUUGCAGCAGAAGCUGCAUUUUAUUAACUUGGAAAUUCAAUGUUAGAAAAAGCUAAGGAGAAGUGUUAAUUAAAUACUAAUACAUGCAGCCAACCUUAUAUCCAAAUCCAGUAGUAUAGCAUUGGUUGAUUAUCACCUCAUUCAAUCUCAGCUUUUCACUGCAAUUUUUCCACAGUGCUUCAACGGGCCACCCCUUUAAGCUUUGUUGCUCUGUGCAGCCAAUGAAUUCCAAGUGUUCUUUCUGCUACAAAGUAGAGUAAGUAAACACGAGUUGGAGACGAGUACAAAUACUUAUGGCUAAUAGAAGUUACCACAUCAGGCCAGAAAUGGAUGACACAACUAUGUAUAGUGUUUAAGUGGCAUUCUUCUUCUCCAUGCUGGACAUUGUUGCAUAAACUAUAAUUAGUUACAGUAGAAGAAAGAAAUUGAACUUCAUUAGUUAAUAAUGAAAAUAUAUUAAAAUGAAGAAUGGAGUUGUAAACCUGGCAAUGGAUUUCAGCAUUGCUCCAAGGGACCAAUCUUAGAUUGAUAAUGGUAUGGAGGUCAGUGUGGAAGACCUUGACGAGGUCGUUGGAGAUAAAGGAGGCACAACGUGGACAUAAACUUGUUUCAUAGUACAGUGACACAGUAACCCUGUCAUUAACAUUAUCUAAAGAGGAAUGGGAGGGAGAAAUAAGCCAAAAUAUUGCAAGAGCAGACAGAAUAUAGAAGAUCAGUGGUUGAAGAUAAGCCAUUGUUUUAGUGGUAGCUUCUGCACAAUGCUGAACCUCCAUUAUGCAAUGUUUUUUAUAGUUGAGAAAGGGGAUGAUGGCUAUUGUUUUCUAUCACUUUCAGAAACCAUGUGACGUUAUCACUUUCAGAAACCACUUUAAAAAAUUAUUUACAUGAAGAUUGUUUAUUUAUGUAUAUGGUUCUUGCUUUUUCUAAUUUUACUUUGGAAAUUACAAAAAUAAUCAACAUUGUAGUUAUAUCUAAUACUAGUUUCAAUCACAUGUAAUAAGUUCCACGUUAAUAAAAUAAGUCCUUAAUUUUUCUUAACAUGGCUUUCGAUGUGUCUGUUUCAAUAUGUAUAAAUAUGGGGAAUCAACUUCACAAGUAAUUGCUUAUAAUGGUUUAUUGCUUAUAACAAUUGAUAUAUAUAUGUAUAUAUAUGAACUUAACCAAACAUCCUCAAAGUUGUUGGAAUUUUGGUUUCUUUAAAAUUUUAGUAGGGUUUAAAACUUGAUUAAGAGUAUGGUAAUUAAUGGUUAGAGGAGAAAAUGAAUUGAUUUGUUUUUAUAAGUACUGUUAGUCUUUCACAUGAAAUAGGGUAAGAAUCUCAAUUUAACAAAAAUGGAUUUGCUUUUAUCAAAGUCUCAAGAUUAUAAGGUAGCAUUGGUUGGCUGGUAUUUUCAUGCGUAAAAAUAUAUUCAUUUUUGUUAAAUUGUGAUUUUUCCUACACUUGUAUGUGAUUCACACUAGCAGGUAAAUUCUUUCGUUUGUUGAGUAAAUUAAAUUAUCAAAGGUGUUCAAAGUCAAAUAUUAACUUAAAUGUUGCAAUAAUUAAUGCAAAAGGGAGAUUAUGAGUGAUUGUUGGAGGUCAUACCAUAGGUAGAAAGGGAGGAAACAGUGGGACAACCAACAAAGCCAAGACUUGAUCCAUUUAUACUCAGCCAUUAAGAUGUAAUGUAGUAGUUUAUACUUCUGAUUUUGGUUUCUCAAGAAUUAGAUUUAUCCAUAAUCGAAUUGGAUUGAGAUUAUCUCAAGUUUUCCUAACGUAACCAAUGCCACAUUUAUUAAAAGUAUAUAAUCAUGUUUUAAAGUAGAAAAAAAUGAUUUUAUUCUUUGCAUCUUUGUUUUGAUUUGUAAGAAACUUGCAAGUAUAACUAUGCCAUUUUGGAAGGACAAUCAGAGUGCUUAUGGAGCAAAUCUUAACAAUAAAGCAAAGAAGCAUUUAAUACAUUAAUUUUAUUCUUGUAGUGACAGCGAUGUUUAAUUUUUAAGAGUUAUUAAAACUCUUUAUUUGCAACCCAAUGGUUAUCUGAAAUCGAAUUAAAUUUCUUUUUAUUUAAUAUACAAUUAAUUUUAAUUUUUUAUUAUAAAAAUAAAUAUUAUUUGUUUAAAAUAGUAUAAAUAACUUAAAAAUUCUUGUAAAAUCAUUAUUAUUAUUUUUUUGCAAAUAUUUAUUAAAAGGGCUUUCAAAUUUGUCAAAUAAUAUUAAAAAAAAGCAUAAAACAAAGUCAAUUUUGUUAAAAUAAGUCUAAAAAUCUAAAAUAAAACAUUAUUAUGAAAAAAUUAACAACUCUUCAUAAAUUCUAUUUAUGCCCCCAAAAAUGAUACAAAUUUGAUUUAUUCUCUAAAAAUUUAUAUAGAUAUAAGUUAUUAAAAUUGUGAAAUUGCAUCUUUACUAUCAUAAAAAUAUAUAAUUUUAUCCCCAAAAUAAAACUUUCCUAGCUUCACCCCUGAUCGACAAUGCUAAUAUAAGUUUGUUACAAAAGAUUGGCAUUAUAGUGGAAUUGGAGCUAACAAAAAAAAAAAUAACAAUGUUAAUGUUUCUUUAAAUUUAGGUCAGAAUUUUUAUUAGAAUAAAAUAUUAAGGGUAAAUUACACAUAAAAGUCCUAUUUUUUUAAAAUUUACCGAAAUGGGCCCGGUAUUUUAUUAUUUACCGGAAUGGGCCAUUUUCCCCGAAAUCGCCUCCACGUCAGCGCGAUGUCAGGGGAUGUGUCAGCAAAUCGCGUCCACAUCAGCGCGAUUACUUACGUGGCAACAAAUCGCGUCCACGUAAGCGCGAUUUGCUGACGUGGAAGCAAUAAUUCAUGAACAGUUUAUGUUUUUUAGCUUGGAAAACUUUGAAAGGCCAUAACUUUUGACUCGGUUAUCCGAUUGAGACGAUUCAUUAAAAUACAUUAACAUUACCUAAAGAGGAAUGGGAGGGAGAAAUAAGCCAAAAUAUUGCAAGAGCAGACAGAAUAUAGAAGAUCAGUGGUUGAAGAUAAGCCAUUGUUUUAGUGGUAGCUUCUGCACAAUGCUGAACCUCCAUUAUGCAAUGUUUUUUAUAGUUGAGAAAGGGGAUGAUGGCUAUUGUUUUCUAUCACUUUCAGAAACCAUGUGACGUUAUCACUUUCAGAAACCACUUUAAAAAAUUAUUUACAUGAAGAUUGUUUAUUUAUGUAUAUGGUUCUUGCUUUUUCUAAUUUUACUUUGGAAAUUACAAAAAUAAUCAACAUUGUAGUUAUAUCUAAUACUAGUUUCAAUCACAUGUAAUAAGUUCCACGUUAAUAAAAUAAGUCCUUAAUUUUUCUUAACAUGGCUUUCGAUGUGUCUGUUUCAAUCUUUAUAAAUAUGGCGAAUCAACUUCACAAGUAAUUACUUAUAACAAUUGAUAUAUAUGUUUAUAUAUGAACUUAACCAAACAUCGUCAAAGUUGUUGGAAUUUUGGUUUCUUUAAAAUUUUAGUAGGGUUUAAAUCUUGAUUAAGAGUAUGGUAAUUAAUGGUUAGAGGAGAAAAUGAAAUGAUUUGUUUUUAUAAGUACUGUUAGUCUUUCACAUGAAAUAGUGUAAGAAUCUCAAUUUAACAAAAAUGGAUUUGCUUUUAUCAAAGUCUCAAGAUUAUAAGGUAGCAUUGGUUGGCUGGUAUUUUCAUGCGUAAAAAUAUAUUCAUUUUUGUUAAAUUGUGAUUUUUCCUACACUUUUAUGUGACUCACGCUAGCAGGUAAAUUCUUUCGUUUGUUGAGUAAAUUAAAUUAUCAAAGGUGUUCAAAGUCAAAUAUUAACUUAGAUGUUGCAAUAAUCAAUGCAAAACAGAGAUUAUGAGUGAUUGUCGGAGAUCAUACCAUAGGUAGAAAGGGAGGAAACAGUGGGACAACCAACAAAGCCAAGACUUGAUCCAUUUAUCAAAUCCUUGCUAUCUCAACUCAGCCAUUAAGAUGUCAUGUAGUAGUUUAUACUUCUGAGUUUGGUUUCUCAAGAAUUAAAUUUAUUAUCAAAAUUAGAUUUAUCCAUAAUCGAAUUGGAUUGAGAUUAUCUAACGUAACCAAUGCCACAUUUAUUAAAAGUAUAUAAUCAUGUUUUAAAGUAGAAAAAAAUGAUUUUACAAAACACACAAGUUUUUAUAAGAGAAGAUUAGAAAGGAACAUAGCCUUUUGAAGUUGUAAUUUGUGAUGGGAAAGAAACGAUAAAACUUUGAUUUAAUUCUCUAAAAAUUAUAAAGAUAUAAGUUCCUGAAAUAGUAAAAUUGCAUUUUAACUAUCGUAAAAUUAUACAAUUUAAUCUCUCCAAAAUGAAAUUUUCCUAACUUCAUCCCUAAUUGACAAUACUAAUUUAAAUUUACUCCUAAGUCGUAUUUUAGAUCCGUCACUAUGCACACAAAAUUUUCAUCACCCAAGCUUCGGGUAGUUGAAAGCUCCUCCUUUGCAUCUUUGUUUUGAUUUGUAAGACACUUGCAAGUAUAACUAUGCCAUUUUGGAAGGACAAAACCUUAACAAUAAAGCAAAGAAGCAUUUAAUACAUUAAUUUUAUUCUUUUGGUUACAGCAAUGUUUAAUUUUUAAGAGUUAUUAAAAGUCUUUAUUUGCAACCCAAUGGUUAUCUGAAAUCGAAUUAAAUUUCUUUUUAUUUCAUAUAUAAUUAAUUUUAAUUUUUUAUUAUAGAAAUAAAUAUUAUUUGUUUAAAAUGGUAUAAAUAACGUAAAAAUUCUUGUAAAAUCAUUAAUUUUUUUGCAAAUAUUUAUUAAAAGGGCUUUCAAAUUUGUCAAAUAAUAUUAAAAAAAAGCAUAAAACAAAGUCAAUUUUGUUAAAAUAAGUCUAAAAAAUAUAAAAUAAAAAAUUAAUAUGAAAAAAUUAACAACUCUUCAUAAAUUCUAUUUAUGCUUAAAUAAGUCUAUUAGAAAGGGCAUGCCGUUUUAGCAAUGAAAAUAUAUUUUUAAAUAAUUUCAGAGUUUUUCUUCAAUUAUCUUAAAUUUUUACCCAUAUAUCAUAGGGGUUAUUAAGCUUUAUUGAAAACAAAUAUUUAGAUGGAUCUUAUAAACAUCCAUCUGUGACACUCAUAUACUUGUAUGGAUAUAAUUUUUUUUUUAAAUAUUCAUAUCAAUUAUUAAUUAUUUUUUAUAUCCUAUAAUUACUUCCUAAUUCAAUCUUAAUAUUCAAAGCAAUGGGUAUGAGGAGAAGCUUCGAGUUGAAAUUAAUACAAAAAAAGUAAAAGCAUAUACAGAAAAAAAAAUUCUAUUUAUGAAAAAUUUAACAUGUGGGUUGACUCAAUAGCUUUCAAAAAGCCAAACAAAAUUAAACUCUUGGUGGGAAAAAAGGGGGAAAAUAGAAAAUUGGAAGAAUAAAACCCCAAACUUUUAAAAGUAAAUACUUUUUUGGGAGGGAAAAGAUUUGAUUUUUUUUUUGUUCAAUUGCUAGAAUCUGGUUAGUGAGUUUCCCUUUUCUCUGUUUCCAAACUUUCAAUUAUUUAUCUAUUUAUGUAAGAAGGUUGCAGUUUAUAAGAAGUUAAUCCCAAAGCUUUGAUGGACAAAAGAAAACAUGUGUGAAACUAUCAAAGAUUCCAUUGACAGUAAACAAAAAUGGAUUUGCUUUCACGUAUCAACUUACCUAGCUACCAUAAUAUUAAUGCAAAUUCCUUUCUCAAACAAUGCUUUGAGUCUCAAAAUUAUAAUGUAGAAUUGGUUAGCUGGUAUCUUCAUGCAUCAAGAUAUCCUUAUUGGCAGGUUUAUCCAUGUGAAGAAGGAUUACGAUAAAAUAUUCUUAUUUGCAGGGCUAACCACUACCAAAUUUACUGGCAAAAAUAAAGUAGAUUAGUUUUUCAAGAAAAUCGGUCAAUUUUAAUUUUUAUGCAAAUCAUUGGACACCAUCAAUAAAAAUUAAUAAUUAUUUAAAGAGAUAUUGUCAUAUUUAUGAAAAGGGUUUUCAAAUUUAUCAAAUAAUAUUAAAAAAAAUGCACAAAACAAAGUUAAUUUUGUCAAAAUAAGUCUAAAAAUUCAAAACCAAAAAUUAAUAUGAAAAAAUCGAGAACCGAACUAUGAUGGACAGUUUAAAAACUCUAAAACCCCCGACUGUAUAGUAAUACUCUAUUUAUUUAUAGAGAGAAGAAGACGCACCUACGUAUUACUAAAAUAUUUGAAUUCAACAUUAUAAUCAUGUCACAAAAAAUAAAAUUAUAAUGGACUUGAAUUUAACAAAAAAUUUAACGAAGCUAACGCUCCUAUAAAUUUAUGUCAGAAUUUUAAUUAGAAUAAAAUAUUUAAACUAACUAAUGACAUUAUAAACGUUGAAGCACCAAACUAUAUAAAAAAGAUCAAAUAUAAAGUUUAAAUCUCAAAUUUUAACAUAGUAUAGAGACUAAAAUUGAAAUUUAUCUAUUAAUGUAUAAAGGUUGCACUUUACAAGCACUUAAGUGUUUGAUGAAAAGGAUAUAAAUUAAUUAUAUAAUAUAAACUACCAUGCCACAAUAAUUAUAUAAUAUACAAAUUCAUUAUACCCAUGCAGACUUCAUUUAUGCAUACAACGUAAUCUUAAAACUUAAAGUUGAAUAUAAUUAUUGUAACUUAACGUGGAUUGAAUGCAAAACUUAGGGUGGGUUUGGAUGGGCGAUUGGGUGCGGUGCGGUGCGUUUAGCCUACAUUUUGUCUCACGCUACAGUGUUGCUACAGUAUUUAAUCUCACCGCCACCGUUGUUUUUACAUUAACCGCAGGUAAACGCACUGCCCAUCCAAACUCACCCUAAGUAUAUCUUUAUAUUUAUUAGUGUUCAUCUAUUGCUUUCAAUAAACCACAUGUACAUAUUGAUUAUGACAUUCUAAAAUAAACACAACAUUUUAACAUAACUCUUAUAAUACAUUCUUUCAACUCUAACAUAUCAUAUCAUAUCAUUACAUUAAUUACACAUAAAAUAUUCUUUUACACAUAAUCUGCCAAAAUAUUAUUUGUUGUUAUCAUCAUACCGUAAAAUGAACCGGACUACAAAUUCAAUGCAUUUAGGGAAUAUUAUUUGAGAAAUGUCUUAGUUAUGCUGAAUAUUGCAUUCAAGAAAUGGAAACUCAAGUGAAGUAGAUGUGGGUUAUGGUGUUUAUUGUGAGUAUUAAGCAUUGCAGGGUUCUAUGGAACUCAAUAGCUUUCAAAAAGUCGAACAAAAUUAAAUUGUUAGUGGGGAUUGAAACUCAAUCGAUAAAAAAAGAAAAAGAAGAGAAAAUUGAAAAUUGAAAAUUGAAAAUUGGAAGAAUAAACAAUUAAUGUAAAUAGAAAUCUGAUUGGUGAGUUUUCAUUUUUGUUUUAUGAAAUUUCUCUUUUCUUUGUUUCCAAUCUUUCAAUUGUUUAUCUAUUUAUGUAUGAAGGUUGCAGUUUAUAAGAUCUCAAAUGUUUGAUAAAAAGAAUUUAAAUUAAUCCCAAAGCUUUAAUGUGCAAAAGAAAACAUGCCAAAAUUGUCAAAGAUUCCAUUGACAACAAACAAAAAUGGAUUUGCUUUCACAUAUCAACUUACCCACCAUAAUAUUAAUGCAAAUUCCUUUAUCAAAACAAUGCUUUGAGUCUCCAAAUUAUAAUGUAAAAUUGGUUAGCUGGUGUUUUCAAGCAUCAAAAUAUAUCUAUUUUUGUUGUGAUUCACACCAGCUGACAGAAAGAUUAGCUUAGCAAGAUUCCUUGCUUUGUUGAGUAAAUUGAAAUUAUUGAAGGUGUUCAAGGUCAAAUAUUAACCUAAAUGUUACAAUAUUUAACGCAAAAGGAAUACCAUAAGUGAUUGUUGCAUAUCAUACCAUAGAUAAAAAGGAAUAAAACGGUGGGACAACCAACAAAGUCAAGACUUGAUUCAUUUAUCAAAUCCUUGCUAUCUCAGCUCAGCCAUCAAAAUGUAACGUAGUAGUUUAUACUUGUGAGUUUGGUUUCUCAAGAAUUGAAUUUAUUAUCAAAAUUCAACAUUUCCAAUAAUUAUCAAAAUACCGGUGAGCUCCAGUUUCCGAGCGUUGCUGCGCUAUAAUAGAGAAAAAGCUUAGCAAUCCAGACUGUCUCUGUGCUAUUUUGCAAACUCGUAUGCUGGAGUGAGAAAUGAAAUCCAAGUGUAGCCAGUUUUCUCAAUUCAUAUUUGAUCUUUAAGAUAUCAUCCCUAUUAUUUAGGGAUGGCAAAACUCAAACCAUCAUUCAGAAUAGAGAGGAUUUUCUUUUGAAAGUGAAUGCAGAUUGAAUUUUAUAGUAGUUAAAGCAAUUAACACACAAGCUUGUAACACAAGGUAACUUGAAAAAAGUACCAUAAUUUCACUCACUCGAACGAAAUGGGAUCAUGGCAACAUGGAUUUGUGGCUGAUUCGAUGCUCGUGUUGUGUUGUGGUGUUCAUCGGAUCUUCAUCUGUUUAAGAAUCUUAACCAUCAGGUGAGACCUGUUUUGGAUUAAGUUAUAAAAAUUAUGCCACUUACAGCAAUUAUUUUAAUUAGUUAAUGACAACCUUAAACAUCAAAUCCUCUUCGACUUGCAAUUUUUUUCCGCAGAAAACAAUAUCAACAUCUAAGCAAUCUUAUAGAUAUCUAACCAACAAAAACCAAAUAUAAACUGAACAAUUCUCCAAAUACAGAAACCAGGAAAUAGUUAACAUCUCAAACAUAUAACCCAAACAAUAACAGCAAUAUUAAGAAGCUCACAACAAAAAAUUCCUAUUACAUCUUACACAUAUAUGUUCUAGCUCCGCAUCCCUCUUCAUAUUCAGUAUCCAUUUCAUGCCUUCUUCAUAUUUAGUAUUCAUUUGAUGCAUCUCUCGCUGGUUGACGUAUUACAUGUUUCUCAAUAUUCUCUUGUAUUCCAUUGAUACGAACCAGGCUCUCUAAAUAUGCAUGAAGGGAGAUGGUGAACCGAAAAUGAUCUAGAUAAGUAUUAAUCUGAAGCUCCUUAAGCUCUUGGGUGGAGGCGUCAAAUAGGAGUACUUCAUCAUUUGUGUCUCUAAGAAACAAGUCACCAUUUUUCCCAAAUCCCAAUGGGUGUACAACUCCAGAAAUGGAUUUAAUAUUGAAUUGUUUAGUCCACACUCCUUCACUUGUAACCCAUAAAUCAAAAGACGUGUCAAUUCCUUCCGUUGGGUAAACAAUAGCACCAAGUGAUCCAUUAAACACCAAUAGAUUAACAUAGUAUUCUGGGAAAGACCCAACGAAUUCUGGGAUAGGUAAAAUUGAGAACUUCUCAUUCCCCAUGUCAAAUGAAAGAAUUAGUCCUCUAAAAUCAAGAUAUGCCCGUCUCUGUUUUCAUAUAGCAAAUUCCGUCUACAUAAUUAUUUCCCAAAGUUGUUCCAGUUGGUUUAUAAUCAGGACAUGGAAUUUCCUUCCAGGAAUUACUUCUAAGAGAAUACAACUCAACUUGGUACAUAAAAUGAGAAUGUGGAUAUUGUUCUUCACUAUUAACAAAAGUAAGAGUAACAAAUCGUAUGACUUUGUAGUCAUCAGUUUUAGAAUCAAACCCAAAAGAAGCGUGGUUAAAUUCAACGUGAUCUAAAGUAAGGUAGGUUUCUUCGAAUGGGGAAAAAUAUGGAGGGCGUUGGAUUGAAGAUGGUGGAAGGAUUUUAAACUCUCUGGUUGAUGGGUUCCAAAUGGCAGCCUUAUCCUUUGAAGGAUCAAGUAAACACAACAAUCCAUGACAAGCACCAUAAACAGAGGGGCGAUCAUUCUUAAAAAAGGGCAAGUGAAUGUUUUGUUUUACUAUAUAAUUUUGAUAUUUUUCAUUUGAAAGUUGAGAGAAAUAACGUUGGAAGGUGUUACCAUCACAGCGACUAAGCAGUAGAUUAAGGUUGUUGUUUUCAAGGUUGUUGUGAUAAUUAUUGGAAAUGAAAUGAGGAGUUUGAAAAGAAGAACACCAAUACUUACAAACACAGUUGAAGCGAGUAAGGGAUUUAACUGGCAGCUUUGACAGAAUUUCCAUAACCAAAGCUUCUGGCAAUUCAAACCUUGGCCUCUGCAUCUUGCUAUUUUGAUUUUCUUUGUAAUUGGGUAAGAGGAAUGAAUAAAAUGGGAGUUGGUAGGUGUCAUCUAUGGUCCAAACCUUAACCAGGAAGCAAAGAAGCAUAAAAGGUAAGCAUUUGAUAGGUUAUAAUAAUUAUAUGGAAUUUAGGAAAAUUUACUUAUUUGCAUUUGUAUCCAUGUGAGGAAGGAUUAAGAUCAAAUAUAAUAUAAUACGUACUUUUUGAAUUUAAUCCCCAAUUUUUAAAAGAAUAAAUUUAAAGGAUAUCACAUUUAUUUACUUUUUGUAUAUUUGAAAUUUAAUACUUAAUUUUUAUUUUAAAGAAUUCAAUCUCUCUAUUUUUUAAAAGCCAAAAACAGUGAUGUAGUUUUUUUUUUCACACGGCAAUCAAAAAAAAAAAUUUAAAGGUAGUUUUUUUUUCUCGUUUCUGCUCUUUUUCUUUUUUUCGUCUGUUCUAUUUUACUUGCGUUUUUUUUUUUGAGUUUUUUCUUUUCUUCUUUCGACAUACAUAUAUCUACAUUUUUUUAAAAAAAAGAACAGUUUAUAUAUAUACAUACACAAAAAAAUAAAAAUAAAAAAACUCACCUUUGAACUUUCCGGACUCGGCUACGUCGGCCGGUGCGGCGGAGACAAGGCGGCCCUUUGGCCGGAAUCUGGAUUUCAUCCAGAGAAAAGAGACCCCCUUUUCCCUUUUUUUGGUUUCUUUACAGACUGCCGGGAAUGAUUUCUUUUCCUCAAAAGUUGUCUUUUAUAGCCCCCCCCCCAACACCCCAGCAAAACGAUGUCGUUUUGGUUGGCGUACUUGAGCAAGAAACGACGUCGUUUUGGCCUUAGGAUCCGCUUGUGACCCGACCCGCAAAGAGGAUCCGCGUGUCACCAUUUAGGGGGAUAUCUUCACAAUUGGUGCCUCCACUUUUGUCUCGCUUUCAAUGUAGUUUUUUCAUAUAUUUUUAAUUUUGGCUACAUAAUUUUUCGUCUGUUUUAAUUUGGUCCCCAGACCAUGCACACGCGCCUCACUAGAACGAUGCCGUUUGGUCAGUUAGGGAGUAUUUCCGUUUUUGCUCCUCUUCCUUUCACGCGUGUUGUGAUUUAGUCCUUUUUGUGCUUUUUAUUGUUAAUUUCGACCCUAAAACCUUGUUUAUUUUCAAUUUAAUCCUUAAUCUGCUAUUUUAGUUAUUUUUCCUGUUAAAUUAAUUAUUUUAACAUUAUUAAAACUAUUAUAUUGCAUAAUUAUUAUUUAUUAUUAAUAUUAUUAUCCUUAUCUCGUUUGUACCUUUUUAUUCUAAAAUUUUGUUAUAUAUAUAUAUACAUAUCCGCAUAUGCUUUUCUAAUAUAUAUAUGUAUAUUUUUAAGGUUAUUAUAAAUAUACUUUUAUAUUUCAUUUUUUAUACUUAUAUCUAUAUCCACGUAUUUUAAUUUAUAUACAUAUAGAUUUUAUAUAUACUUAUUAUAAUUUUUUUAUUGUCAUAAAUACAUACACAUGUACACAUACUUUUAUAUGUUCUUCUAUAUUCCAUAAUUCUUAUAUACAUCCAUAUACAUAUGUAUAUUUUAAUCUACAUACAUAUAUGUAUAUAUACACAUACGACAUAUAUUUCUAUUUUAUAAUUUUAAAAUAAAUAUAUAUAUAUCUAUAUAUUCUUCUUAUUUUUAUAUACACAUGCAUAUAUUUUAUAUUUCCUUUAUUGUUUCGUUGUUUCGCGUAAUGUCAACCUUUUUAUGCCUAUUUUAUUUUAAAAGCAUUUUAAUUCGACUCUUUUAUUUACUAUUUAUCUUACAUUAAUUAAUUUGUCUCUGUAUUUAUUUUGCUACGUACAAAAUCGUGCUACAUUUUACCCGAUUCAUUAAAAAUGAUGUUUUAAACAAGCAAUAUUCAUAUUUUGAAAUUCGAAAAGUCGUUCCCUAACUUACGGGGUUUCGACUUUCUAAAAAAAAUCCAAAUACCGAACAUUUUUAAGCAUAAAUUUUAAAUAAUCUCAAGAAUUACUAAAAGAUCGUGUUCUAACUUAGGGAAUAUGAUUUUUUUCUAAAACCGAUAUAGUCAAACAUCUUUUAAAAUAAAUUUUUCGGCGUUUAUUUGUGCAUCAAGAAUUUAAGACAUUGUGUCCUAAUUCACGGGACGCGAUUCAUUUUCUCGAUUAACGUAAAAUAUGUCCAUUUGUCAACUUUUUAAUAUUUUAACAAGGGAUCGUAUUUUAAAUCUCUUUAAAGUUUUCAAUUUUUGACGAGACACUAAUUAAUCAACUAAGUACCAAUUUUGGGCGCGGGGGUGCUAAUUAGAGGUGAUCAUGGGUUGGGCAGUCCGGCCCGGCCCGAUGGCCCACCCAAAAUAUGAGAGGGUUUGGGUAAAAAUAUAGGCCCGAAAUAUGGGUUUGGGCAAAAAAUGAGGCCCGUUGGCAAAACUUUUUUGGUCCAGGCCUGGCCCGAAUAUAUAAUAAAUAUAUAUUUUUAUUUUUAAAAUACAUUUUCCAUUUCCCCAUUUCCCCAUUUCCCAUUAGACAUUUAGUAUUUAUAUAAUAAAUAUAUAUUUUUUAUUUUUUAAUUUUAAAGUAUUUUUAAAAUACUUCUUUUAUUUUUUAUUUUUAAGAUACAAUUUUGUUGUUUAUUAAAAAAAGGGUCGGGCUCGGGCUUAGGAUUUUUUCUCGGGCCAGGCUUGGACAAAAUUUCAGGCCCAUAUUUUGGGCUAGGCCGGGCCCAGGCCUAGGACGCGGGCCAAAAAAAAAUUUAGGCCUGGCCCAGCCCAUGAUCACCUUUAGUGCUAAUCCUUCCUUGUACGUAACCGACGCCCGAACUCGUGCUUAUGUGGCACGGCACAUAGGCUACUUUGUUGACCUAUGGUUUGACCGACGAUCAACUCACAUUUUCUGUUAAAAUUGGGCUAAUUUAUUAAAAAAUUGUACCGUUAACGGUGUCAAUCCAAAAAAAAAAAGGUUAAUGGCUCAAACCCAAAAACUCAAAAAAUUGAGUGUUUUUUCGACAAUUAUGCGAAAUUCUUUGUUAAAUUUGUUGGUUUGAUAUUCUUUCAAAAGUACAUUAUAAUGCCUUUUUUUUUAACCCAAACCCAAACUUUUGAAAUCAAAUACUAUUUUGAGAGGGAAAAUAUUUGAUUUUUUUUUUUGUUCAAUUGCUUGAAUCUGGUUGGAUAGUUUCUAUUUUCGUUUUAUUAAAUUUCCUUUUUCUCUGUUUGAAGGCGACUUUAAAGAAAAGAGUAACAUGCGAAGGAAUUGCAUUGGACUUUGCAAAGAUCAUAAAACACACAUUAAAAAUAUGUAUUAUUAGUUCUGUUGGACUUAAAGAUUUUGGGUUGUAACACUAGUAGAAAUUAUAUAAAGAAAGAUAUUGAAUGUUAUGGGAUUGGGUUUGGGUUAUUUUAAAUCUAUAUUCAGAUUAAUGUUAUUUUAAAAUCGAAUAAUUUUGAGUUUAAAUCAUUCAAAGUUGUUGAUCGGAUUUUAUAAAGAUAAAAAAACAUAUUGAAAAUAUGUAAUAUUAAUUGGAUUAUUUUAAACUAUGACAUAAAUACUUGAGUCUCAAAAUAAACACUAGCUCAAUAAAACGCAUAUGAUAAUUUAGAGUACUGUAAUAAAAUACAUAUUGAUAAUUCAGAUAUUACAUUAAACAUUUUUAAACAUACAUGAGACAAUUGUGGUAAAGCUGGCUAUGGUAAUUUUAUGGUAUCGGAUCCAUUACUGCAUAGGCCGUAAAAUAAGUUGGAACAAUUUUGGGGAGUUCCAAAGGUAUGGGAUGGCCCCGGUCUUCCAUAACAAAUAAACAUCUCCCCGAGUAGUAGAACUCUAGUUCUUCUGUGUUUACUGCAUGAAAUUUGUGGAGAUGCUCCUAUAAGUCGGAAAACUAUGUCCGCAACUUGUCGGACCGUAUAGGUGGAUCUAGGUGUGAGUCCCAUAGCUAAAUCCCAAAAUUCAUUAAAACAAAUAAGAGACAAUAAAGUAUAUUAAACACAAAUCUGAAUGUGAAGAAAAAAUAAAAACAAUUUAUUCGAUAUACCCGGAUCUAAAUUUGUCCUAAGUUGUAUGGCCGAUUGGAAGUAUGCCAGAGGAUAUGGUGCAAAGUCGGAACAUGUGCCAUGUUUUGUCCAUUCGUUGUGCAAAAAGCUAAUGUCUAACUUUCCCAAUAUCAAGUUUGGCCAUAGUCGGGGCAAGUCUACCCAAAGAACUGGAUCACUUUUCAGCAAACUCUUUGAAAUUAAAAACAAAAAUCUGGUUAGAUGACAGAUAAUUUACUUAAUAGUUUUAGGCGAAGAAUGUACGUAUGCGUACUUCGAGUUUCUUCUUAUCUAGAUUAGGAUUCGGAUUGUUGCAAAGAUUACUUGGACCAUACUGGGUCACCGGCUUGUCAUUAGCAUCUUGUGCCCAAAUUCCAUGUAUUGUAAAUUCUGUUGGGAUAGGGGUUUUACAUCUCGAAGUAGAGCUGCAAACUGAUGGAGGCCAUUGAAGUGCCAGCUUGUAGAAGUGCGGAAUUGCUGGUUGCUGAGGUACUGCAAAUGCUACCCAUAAUGAAAAAUUGAUACAAUGCAUUUUUACAAAUUUACAAAUAAAAAGAGAACUACUCCAUAUAUAAAUAUUACAUGCAUGGAUGAUUGGGCUGAGAUUGGAUGAUUGUGCUUUGCGAGUAGCUGGUUUAUGAUCUCCUUUAUAAUCUUGGCGCACAUAUUUCACAAAAUUUUCAAAGUCCUGCAACCAUGAAAUAAAUAUUGAGGUUACUUAUCACAAAGUGUUACUUCACAAUCACACCAAGAGAGAAAUAAACAAACUCACUUGUCUGAGUGGCUGAUUAUUCACCACCACCCAUGGCACAUCUUCUUGAGGUGGCUUCAGAUGUGCAGUCUCGUUAGCAUAUUGCAGCAGAAGCUGCAUUUCAUUAAUUUGGAAAAUCAAUGUUAGAAAAAGCUAAGAAGUGUUAAUUAAAUACUAAGACAUGCAGCCAACCUUAUAUCCAAAUCCAGUAGUAUAGCAUUUGUUGAUUAUCUCCUCAUUCAAUCUCAGCUUUUCACUGCAAUUUUUCCACAGUGCUUCAACGGGCCCCCCCUUUAAGCUUUGUUGCUCUGUGCAGCGAAUGAAUUCCAAGUGCUCUUUCUGCACCACAGUAGAGUAAUUAAACACGAGUUGGAGAUGAGUACAAAUACUUAUGGCUCAUAGCAGUUACUGCAUCAGGCCAUAAAUGGAUGACACAACUAUGUAUAGUGUUUAAGUGACGUUCUUCUUCUCCAUGUUGCACAUUAUCGCAAAAACUAUAAUUAGUUAUAACACCAAAAAGAACUAGAACUUCAUUAGUUAAUAAUGAUAAUACAUUAAAAUGAAGAACGGAGUAGUAAACCUGGCAAUGGAUUUCAGCAUUGCCCCAAGGGACCAAUCUUAGAUUGGUAAUGGUAUGGAGGUCAGUGCGGAAGACCUUGACUAGGCUAUUGGAGAUAAGCGAGAAUAUUGCAAGAGCAGCCAGAAUAUAGAAGAUUAAUGGUUGAAGAUAAGCCAUUGUUUCAGUGGUAGCUUUUGCACAAUGCUAGACCUCCAUUGUGCAAGGCUUCUUAUAGUUGAGAAUUGGGAUGCUGAGUAUUGCUUUCUGUCACGUUCAGAAACCAUGAGACAAAUUUACAAAGUUAUCAUCUUUAAAAAAACAAUUAUACACCACUUUAAAAAAAAAUUAUUUACAUGAAAGCUUGUUUAUCUAUUUAUGUAUGAAUAUUGUCUAAACAUGAAAGGAGAAAUCUUAUUAGAUAAUAGAGUUUUAUAAUAACUUAUAAUUUAAAUUAAGUUAUUAACGUAUUUACUGAAUCAUUGGCCUUCUAAAAUGCUUUUAGAUAUCAAAUCCUCUUCGACUUGCAAUUUUUUUCUGCAGAAAACAAUAUCAACAUCUAAGCAAUCUUAUAGAUAUCUAAGCAACAAAAACCAAACAUAAACUGAACAAUUCUCCAAAUACAGAAACCAGGAAAUAGUUAACAUCUCAAACAUAUAACCCAAACAAUUAUAGCAAUAUUAAGAAGCUCACAACAAAAAAUUCCUAUUACAUCUUACACAUAUAUGUUCCAGCUCCACAUCCCUCUUCAUAUUCAGUAUCCAUUUCAUGCCUUCUUCAUAUUUAGUAUUCAUUUGAUGCAUCUCUCGCUGGUUGACGUAUUACAUGUUUCUCAAUAUUCUCUUGUAUUCCAUUGAUACGAACCAGGCUCUCUAAAUAAGCAUGAAGGGAGAUGGUGAACCGAAAAUGAUCUAGGUAAGUAUUAAUCUCAAGCUCCUUAAGCUCUUGGGUGGAGGCGUCAAAUAGGAGUACUUCAUCAUUUGUGUCUGUAAGAAACAAGUCACCAUUUUUUCCAAAUCCCAAUGGGUGUACAACUCCAGAAAUGGAUUGUUUAGUCCACACUCCUUCACUUGUAACCCAUAAAUCAAAAGACGUGUCAAUUCUUUCCGUUGGGUAAACAAUAGCACCAAGUGAUCCAUUAAACACCAACAGAUUAACAUAGUAUUCUGGGAAAGACCCAACGAAUUCUGGGAUAGGUAAAAUUGAGAACUUCUCAUUCCCCAUGUCAAAUGAAAGAAUUAGUCCUCUAAAAUCAAGAUAUGCCCGUCUCUGUUUUCAUAUAGCAAAUUCCGUCUACAUAAUUAUUUCCCAAAGUUGUUCCAGUUGGUUUAUAAUCAGGACAUGGAAUUUCCUUCCAGGAAUUACUUCUAAGAGAAUACAACUCAACUUGGUACAUAAAAUGAGAAUGUGGAUAUUGUUCUUCACUAUUAACAAAAGUAAGAGUAACAAAUCGUAUGACUUUGUAGUCAUCAGUUUUAGAAUCAAACCCAAAAGAAGCGUGGUUAAAUUCAACGUGAUCUAAAGUAAGGUAGGUUUCUUCGAAUGGGGAAAAAUAUGGAGGGCGUUGGAUUGAAGAUGGUGGAAGGAUUUUAAACUCUCUGGUUGAUGGGUUCCAAAUGGCAGCCUUAUCCUUUGAAGGAUCAAGUAAACACAACAAUCCAUGACAAGCACCAUAAACAGAGGGGCGAUCAUUCUUAAAAAAGGGCAAGUGAAUGUUUUGUUUUACUAUAUAAUUUUGAUAUUUUUCAUUUGAAAGUUGAGAGAAAUAACGUUGGAAGGUGUUACCAUCACAGCGACUAAGCAGUAGAUUAAGGUUGUUGUUUUCAAGGUUGUUGUGAUAAUUAUUGGAAAUGAAAUGAGGAGUUUGAAAAGAAGAACACCAAUACUUACAAACACAGUUGAAGCGAGUAAGGGAUUUAACUGGAAGCUUUGACAGAAUUCCCAUAACCAAAGCUUCUGGCAAUUCAAAUCUUGGCCUCUGCAUCUUGCUAUUUUGAUUUUCUUUGUAAUUGGGUAAGAGGAAUGAAUAAGCAAGCAAAAUGGGAGUUGGUAUGGUCCAAACCUUAACCAGGAAGCAAAGAAGCAUAAAAGGUAAGCAUUUGAUAGGUUAUAAAAAUUAUAUGGAAUUUAGGAAAAUUUACUUAUUUGCAUUUGUAUCCAUGUGAGGAAGGAUUAAGAUCAAAUAUAAUAUAAUACAUACUUUUUGAAUUUAAUCCCCAAUUUUUAAAAGAUUAAAUUUAAAGGAUAUCAC
rnacentral:lncRNA from 1 species